CCAAAUUCGAUAAAGUUAUCUUUUGUAGUGCCUCUAAAUGCGCUCUCGAGCGCCAUACACCUGUAGGUGCUCAAAUUCUCAGGAUGUUAAUCAAGUUCAAACAAUGAUUAAACUUGAUUGUUGUUACCACUUUGGUCAUCAUAUCUGUGGGAUUAUCUGCUGUCGAAAUCUUCUGAAGUAGAAUUUUUUCUUUUUCAAAGACUUCCCGCACAAAGUGAUAUCUUACGUCGAUAUGCUUGGUUCUUGAAUGAUAGACUUGAUUUUUCGCUAAAUGAAUAGCACUCUGACUGUCACAAUAUAGACUAAUGUGACUUUGAACAACUCUCAAGUCUUUCAAUAAUCCAUUAAGCCAAAUAGCCUCCUUAACAGCUUCUGUAACUGCCAUAUAUUCUGCCUCUGUAGUAGACACAGCUACUGUAGACUGUAAGGUAGACUUCCAACUCACUGGGGCUUUCACAAGAGUAAACAGAUACCCCGUAGUUGAACGACGUUUAUCUAAAUCACCAGCAAAGUCGAAAUCAACAUAUCCAACUACAAACUGACCAAGUGCUUCAUCCUGUUCAAAAAUUAAACCAACAUCUACGGUUUUUCGAAGAUACCAUAGAAUCCAUUUCACAGCUUGCCAAUUUCCUUUUCCAGGAUCAUGCAUAUACCUGUUCACAACUCCAACAGCUUGUGAAAUGUCAGGCCUCGUACACACCAUCGCAUACAUCAAACUCCCAACUGCAUUAGCAUAUGGGACUUUCGCCAUAUAUUCUCUUUCAUCUUCAGUCUUCGGAGAUAAUUGAGCACUAAGUUUCAAAUGAGAAGCAAGUGGGGUACUUACAUGUUUUGUGUUUUCAUUUAUACCAAAACAUUGUAAUACCUUUUUCAGAUAUUGCUUCUGAUUUAAACAGAGCUUGCCUCUCGGUCUAUCUCUACUUAUCUCCAUGCCGAGAAUCUUCUUGGCCUCACCUAGAUCUUUUAUCUCGAACUCUUGAUUCAACUGAGCCUUCAGCUUAUCUAUCUCAUUUUGGCUCUUCGAAGUGAUUAGCAUAUCAUCAACAUACAAGAGUAGAUAAAUGAAAGAUCCGUCAUGCAGCUUCUGCAAAUAUACACAAUUGUCAUAUUUACUUCUUGUGUACUUCUGCCUUCUCAUAAAGCUAUCAAAUCGCUUGUACCACUGCCUCGGGGAUUGCUUCAAUCCAUAUAGCGAUUUUUUCAGCUUACAAACCCAAUUUCUACCACCAGCAUCUGUGUAUCCUUCGGGCUGAGUCAUAUAGAUCUCCUCUUCUAACUCACCAUGCAAGAAAGCCGUCUUAACAUCAAGUUGAGCUAGCUCCAAAUUCAACUGUACUACCAAGGCCAACAAAAUUCUAAUGGAGGAAUGCUUCACAACAGGGGAAAAUACAUCAUUGUAGUAAAUUUCCUCCUUCUGAGCGUAGCCUUUAGCUACCAAUCUUGCCUUGUAGCGAAUAUCCUUCUUGCUAGGAGAUCCAUCUUUCUUUGCGAAUACCCACUUGCAUCCGAUUGCCCUUUUACCUUUCGGUAAUUGCGCCAAUUCCCAAGUAUUAUUCUUCAAGAGAGACUGCAUUUCUUCAUCCAUGGCGCUUUUCCAUUUAUCACUUUCUAAGCUUUGCAUUGCUUCUUGAUAAGUGAUAGGAAUAUCAUCAACAACGGGAAGGGCGUAGGCCACCAUAUCAGUAAAUCGAGCAGUUUUACGAAUUUCUCUCUGUGGCCUUGCAACUGCAACUGGUUCUGGUGUACUUAGUGGUUCUUGGGUCAGAACCUCUUCAACCUCUAAUUCCUCUAUUGUGGCUGGAGAAUUAGACUUAUUAACUGGGCAAAUCCCCAUCUGCUCAAACUCCAACUGUUUUGGAGUACACUCCACCUGUUGUGGAGUAUUGCUCGUCUGAAUAUCUUUAUCUGCUACCUUUUUCAAUGUGGCAGAUUCAUCAAAGGUAACAUCUCUGCUACAGAUCAUUUUCUUUGUGCUUAAGCACCAAAGACGAAAUCCCAUCACUCUAGAAGUGAUUCACAUAAAGAGAGCUUUCUUUGCCCUCGGAUCUAACUUUGACUCCUUCACAUGGUAAUAUGCAGUGGAUCCAAACACAUGUAAGGAAUCAUAAUCUGUAGCCGGUUUUCCAGACCAUACCUCCAUAGGAGUUUUUCUUUCUAAUGCAGAUGAUGACAAACGAUUAACAAGAUGGCCAGUGUAUGUCACAGCCUCAGCCCAAAAUUGCUUGCCCAACCCAGCAUUGGACAACAUACAUCGAACUUUCUCAAGCAAUGUUCGAUUCAUACGCUCUGCCAAUCCAUUCUGCUGUGGUGUAUCCCUAACUGUGAAGUGUCGAACAAUACCAUACUCUUGGCACACAUCGAAGAACGGAUCACUUUUAUAUUCCCCUCCAUUGUCCGUCCUAAGCCGCUUGAUUUUCUUGUCAGUCUGGUUUUCAAUCAUAGUUUUCCAUUUAAGAAAAACUUUAAGCACUUCAUCCUUAGUUCUCAUGGUAUACACCCAAACUCUUCUGGAAAAGUCAUCAACAAAAGUAACAAAGUAGUGUUUUCCUCCCAAUGAAGGUGUCUUGGAAGGCCCCCACACAUCUGAGUGAACAUAUUCCAAAAUACCUUUUGUAUUAUGGAUAGCAGUACUGAAUUUCACUCUCUUUUGCUUUCCCAGAACACAAUGCUCGCAAAAUUUUAAUUUGCAAGCCUUUGCACCUUUCAACAAUCCUUGCUUUGCCAGAAUUUGCAAGGAUUUUUCACUGGCAUGUCCCAACUUCAUAUGCCACAACUGUAUUGAGUCCAAUUCUUUGUUGCCGGAAGCUGCAGCGACUGCUCCAAUAACUGUACUACCUUGGUAGUAAUACAAGUUAUUUUUCCUGAUGCCCUUCAAUAUCACAAGUGCGCCAGAUGUCACUUUCAAAAUCCCAUCUCUCAUAGUAACAACUGAACCAUUGGAUUCCAAGGCUCCCAAUGAGAUGAGAUUUUUCUUCAAACUGGGCACGUACCGAACAUCAGUCAGAACUCUGGUUGAUCCAUCUUGAUUCUUUAAUUGGAUUGAACCUAUCCCAACAGUUUUACAAGCAUUGUCAUUGCCCAUAUAAACAACUCCUCCAUUUAGUUCUACUAAAUCAGAGAACCACUCCCGGUUAGGGGACAUAUGAUAGGUACAACCCGAAUCCAAUAUCCACUCAUCUGAAUGGAACGACGAUGAUGAUGCAACCAGUGAUAGUUCAGAGUCACUAGUAUCAUGCUUUGCAACACAAGCAUCUACAGCAGCUUUUCCCUUAUUCUUCAGCUUUGGACAAUUUUUCUUCCAGUGGCCUUUCUCAUGACAAAAAGCACAUUCAUCUUUCCCGAGUCUGGACUUUGACUUUGAUCUCCCCUUUUGAGUUUUCUUCCGAAUGUAUGAACGACCUCGGACUACUAAAGCUUCUGUAUCUCUGAUUGAGUUUUUCUGUUUGUCCUUCUUUCUCUGUUCAUAACUGUAUAAGGCCGCACAGACUUCGCUCAGAGAUAUAUCACUCCUGCCAUGAAGUAGAGUAGUUUCUAGGAACUCAAACUCCUCAGGAAGUGACCCCAACAGCAUCAAAGCCAAAUCUUCAUCUUUGAAUGUCUCAUCCAUAUUCAGCAAAUCAGUGACUAACUGAUUAAAUUUGGUGAUGUGAUCAUUCAUUGUGGUACUUGGGACGUAUGUGAAGCGAAACAGUCUUUUCUUCAAGUGGAGCUUAUUUUGACUGUUUUUCUUCAAAAAUUUUUCUUCAAGUGCCACCCACAACUUAUUUACAGAAGUCUCCUUUGAAAAAGCAUACCUCUGCUCUCGAGAAAGGCAUGAUCGAAUUGUGCCACAUGCCAACCGAUUGAUCGCCUUCCAAUCUUUCUCCUGUACAUCAUCUGGUUUCUCUUCAUCAAUGGCAAUGUCUAGACCCUGCUGAAAAAGGGCAUCUAGAACCUCACUUUGCCACAUACCAAAAUGGCCCGUGCCAUCAAAGAUCUCCACGGCCAAUCUUGCAUUUGCAAUUGUCGGUCUUGUCCACAUGGACGAUGUUGAAGCUCCUACACCGACCGUUUUCUCCAUAAUCUUUCAAUAUACCUAAGGAAAUCUUUUCUGAUGUGGAAGAUCAGUUUAAACUGCAACCACAGAGCAUACUACGAUUAACCUUCGGCUCUUGAUACCACUUGUUGUUCCAAUAGGGUCGGAAGCGUGUAAAUUAUUGUACUAAAAAAUCACACAAAGUUCAAUUCCCAGGGAAGAGAGGUGGAUCACAUGGAUCUCUUAAAUACCAAGUCUUUCCUUAGAUAGAAUAUCCCUUCUAUAGUAAUUUAAUAGCACAAUUAAAUACUACUAUUAUACCCUCAAAUAUUGAAAGAAAAAUAGGACAAAAAGAACAUAAGAGUUUUAACGAGGUUCGGUAAAUUAUACCUACGUCCUCGGGCACUAACACCAGAUGAUAACUUUACUAUCUCCAAAAUAUUACAAACAAAUAGAAUUCCUUAAGAAUUCUCAAAUGGGAGAAGAGAGAAAACUAAGAGAGAAAGAUUGGUUGGGAUGGUUGAAAUGAAAAAUGAAAAGGCCUAUUUAUAGUUGAAGUUCAGGGACUAACUUGCAAAUGGCCUAAAAAAUUAGGGACCAAAAUUGCAAUUAUCCCAUUCAACUUUUCAACAUUCGGUGCAACUUGCUCAACCUUUUUAACAAGUUGCUUCCUACCUUUGUUGACCUUUCAACAAUAUCUAACUGACGAAGAGAUGUCAAGUUACUGAAACAAGGAGGAAGCAUCCCCCCAAGUGCAUUGUCACUCACAUCCAACACUUCAAGGUUCCUUAGAUCACACCAUCCUGAAAAAUUUAUAAAUUCAUGAAAGAAAUUCUAAAUAAAUUUUAUUUUAUAAAACAGAAAAGAAAAUAUUAUAUUAUAGAAAGCUGAAAAAGAAAUUACUUUGAGCCAUAAAUUUAUUUACCUUGAUUAGGUAAGGGACCAAUAAGUCCACAAUCAUAUAAAGACAAUGUUUUAAGAGAAGCGAAUACUCUAAUGCUUUGCAAAAUGUUGGUGCUGAGAUUAGAUCUAUCAAGAUAUAUUUUCUCCACAAAGAAAAGGAUUUCCCUCGUAACUGUUCUCAAUAAAGGUCCCAAAUUGAGCUUUUGGUUCAGGAAUACUACCUGACAAGUUGUUGUAUGCCACGCUGAAAACCUCCAAAUAGUUCAACUCUACCAAUUGAUUGCGGAUUUCACCACUCAAGUUGUUGUAGGAAAGGUCCAGACUCUCAAUGUACUGAAGUUUUGAGAAUGAUGAGCGUAUAACUCUAGUCAACUUAUUGUAUGACAAGUUUAAAGAAUGGAUUUCACUCAAGUUCCCUAAUUCUGGUGGGAUAUGACUAGUUAAGUUAUUGCAAGAUAAAUCAAUCCCAGUCAUAUAUGAAAGGAUGCUGCCCUUGUACGGAUAGAACCCACUCUUAGUUGUGAAUUCUAUUACUUCUUCUAAGUAGCUUCCAGGAUAGUAAUAACCCAUUGCCAGUUCUAUCGGAAUGCGUGUUGAUUCAUCCUCUUCUAUAGGUGGCCCAUAGAACACAAUUUCUAGAGUCUUUUUCAUUUGCAUUGGAAGAGAUAAAUUUCCCAAACAAGAAGGUAUAGGACCAGAAAACAUAUUUUGAGAAAGAUCUAUGAUGCUUAAAGAAUGCAACUUGCAUAACUGAACUGGAACUUUGCCUUGAAAAUGAUUAUCUUUCAAGAGAAGAGCACUCAAAGAAGAAAGUGUGUUAAUCCAUUUUGGAAUACUACCUGUCAAAUUGUUUCCACUAAGAUCUAACGUCACUAAUGAAGAGCUAUUAUAAAAAGCAAGUGAUAGUGGACUUAUCAGUCUAUUCCCGUGGAGGUGGACAUGCUCUAUGUAUGGUGGAUUAAAACAUGACGGUAUAGAGCCAGAUAAAUUAUUUUGAGAAAGAUCCAAAAAGUCCAACCUAUUUAUGUUGCAAAAUUCCAUUGGAAUAGAACCCUCGAAACCAUUGUUGGACAAAGCUAAUCCCUCCAAAAACGAUGCAUUCCCUAUCCAUCUUGGGAGCUUUCCAUGCAACUUGUUGUUACUGAGAUCAAUUUCGCUUAGUGAAUUUGGAAACUUAAAAGUAGACACAUCAACAUUUAUCAUCUCUCCUAAAAAAUUAUUUCCAUCCAAAUAUAAAUUCUGCACCCCAUUUGCGUUGAGAAUCACAGGAACUACAUUUCCACUGAGGUUGUUAUUUGAUAGUCUCAAAAUGGUCAGUGAGCCUUUCGUGAUCAACUCUUUUGGUACUUUUCCAUACAAUUGAUUGUUUGAUAGAUCUAAAAAUGAUAAGUCCUUCAUGCCACUUAAACAAAGUGGGAUAUUUCCUUCAAAAGCAUUCUUGGAUAAGAAUAACAGCCUCAAAUAUGGAAAAGUUGAACAUAUAUUUGAUGGAACUUGACCUUGUAAUUUGUUUUGGGAUAUGUCAAUUAAAGACACAUUAGAAUUAGGAGCUGACGGUAAUGAGAGAGGACCUGUAAAAGAAUUACCCUUCAAGAUGAGAGCUCCUAACUUUGUGUUGUUUUCUAACAACCAAGUUGGGAAUGUUCCACUGACAUUGUUUUGAGAAAGAUCCACAUAUCUCAAGUCAUAUUGAUAGUAAAGGAAGGUAGGAAGUUUAAGACUGGGUUGUUGAGAUGUUAUGCACUUCAACAAACUGAUGGCUUCCAAUUGAAACUUUGGGAUUGAGGUAUAAAAGGAGGGUUCCAUUACCAUAUUGUUUUCAUCAAUUGAAAGGGCUUUGAGGUUUGAAAGAUUUGCAAAUGGUGCGAAUGAUAGCGGAAUUUGAAAAUGGUUUCCUAAAAUAUCUAACUCAUGAAGAGAUGUCAAGUUACUGAAACAAGGAGGAAGCAUCCCCUCAAGUGCAUUGUCACUCACAUCCAACACUUCAAGGUUCCUUAGAUCACACCAUCCUGAAAAAUUUAUAAAUUCAUGAAAGAAAUUCUAAAUAAAUUUUGUUUUAUAAAACAUAAUAGGAAAUACUAUAUCACAGAAAGCUAAAAAAGAAAUCAAUUUGAGUCAUAAAUUUAUUUACCUUGAUUAGGUAAGAGACCAAUAAGUCCACAACUAUCUAAAGACAAUGUUUUAAGAGAAGUGAAUACUCCAAUGCUUUGCAAAAUGUUGUUGCUGAGAUUAGAUCUGUCAAGAUAUAUUUCCUCCACAUUGCUCGACACAUUUAAUUCUAAGCAAUGACAAAACAAUAUUAUAGAAAGAAGUUCAUAAUUGAUGAGAAAACCUUAACUAAGUGGAGUACUUCCAUGUGUGAAAACAUCAGUGAGAUAAAUAAUUUUUUAUUUUCAAAAAUUAUAUAAAUAUAUAAAUAUUUUUUUUUAUGAAUUAGAUUAUUCAUGAUUUAUCCAACAUAAAUUUUGAUAGAGAGAAGAUGUUGAAACUUUAAUAUAACUCUUCAUCCAUUUUAUUAAUUAUUCUGUUUUUUUCUUUUUAGUAUUUUCUUAUAUUAUUUUUUAACAUAAGUAAUUAACUAAUAUAGGUAAUUUGUACAAUUUUCAAACUCCAAUCAACAACACUAUAAAUAAUAUUUAUAAAAUAAAAACAUGUCUACAUUAAAAUUGUUAUAUUACCUUUAAAUUUACCAAUACUUUAUAAAAAAAAAUCAAAUAUAUUGAAAUCAGCUUGCCAUUUAAUUCAUAAAUGCUUAAAGAUAUUUUACUCACCAAUAAAUAAAAUUCAAAAGAAUUAUAAGUAACCUCAGCGGAUUAAAUGAAAAUUUUAAAGCACUAAAUCUUGGCCCCAAAACAGUGAAGUUGAAAUAUACCAUCUCUCUUUUACUCCGUUGAAAUUUUAAAUAUUAGUUUUAAUUAUUAAUUCUGUUAAAAUUGUUUUAUUAAAUCUAUGUUCAUUACGUUAUUUUUUAGUUACAUUGCUACCAAUUUUUUUAUUAUUUCAAACUAUCACACCAACAAAUUAUUUUAAAAAUUUUAAUAAAUUUUUAAAAAAUAGAUACCAAAUUCCUAAAAAGAAAAAAAUAUAAAAAUUUAAUUACAAAUUUAUAAAAAUUAUGUAUACCUACCACAUUUUUUUAAACCAAAAAGUUAAUAGCAUGUACAUUUUGAAAUUUAUAAAAAAAUUUAAAUGGAAAUUUGAGCACCUCAAAAUUGAACGCGAUCAAGAAAAACAACUUCCAAAUUUCUCAAUCCCUUAUUUUUUUGUAAGUGAAAGAAAUAUGUAAAUAUUUGCUUUCAUCAAUAAAAUAAAUAUUUAUUAGAGAAUGUCGAAAUCUUAACAUAACUAUUCAUUCAUUUUAUUAAUUAAAAUAAUCGUUUUUUCUUCUUCUUUUAGUAUUCUAAGAUAAAAUAUAUUUUCAAAAUAAUUUUUUCUUGAUUCAUAUCAGAUUCAAAUAUAUCAGCAUACUCUUUUAAAAAUUCAAAUAUGUUUGAGAUCAAUUUAGCAUUUAACCUUAAGGUUAGUAUUUGGUAUUGGUAAUGAAAUUUUUUUAACUCUACAAGUGAAGUUAAAAAAUGGUCAGUAACUUAUUUCUUUUAAAUAUUUAUUUUUUAAUAUUUUACUAUAUCAUAUAAGAUAUUUGUUAUUAUCUCAAUCCUACUUAUGAAGUUUAGAAUUUCAUUAAUAGUGCCAACCCGAUUUUUGAAAAAAAAAACUAAUUUUUUUUUCAAAAUUUGAUAAAAGAAAAGAAUUUCAUUAAUAGUACCAAAUAUUUUCUCUUAAACUUAAUUUACUUUGUACUCAAUUAUAAAUGUUAAGAAAUAUUUUACAAUCUAAUAAAUAAAUUUUUUUAAUUAAAUUCACCAUAUUAAAUCAAAAUUUUAAAGCAUUCAAUCAUUGCCCUAAAAUUGUCAAAACAGAUCCUUUUGAAUUUUAAACUUUAUGAAUUCCGAAAGAGACUUUCAGCGUCUCAAUUUCUCUAUUUAAAUUUCACCUACUUAGUUUUUUUUUUCGGAAAUUCUUCAAAGUCUCAUUUAUUUAAAUCAACGGUUCUAUUAUAAAAUAGAAAAUUUUAAACUAAAAAAAUAUUAUUUUUAUUUAAAUCUAAUGUGCAUAUUUUAGUCUUUACAAAAAUAAAAUUUUAAAAUUCAAGUGUAACUAUUAAUACUGUUGAAAUUAUUUUAUUAAAUCCAUGUUCAUUACGUCAUCUUUUAGUUACAUUGCUACCAAGUUCUUUUAUUUCAAAAUGUCAAUACCAAUAAAUUAUUUUAAAAAAAUAACAAUGUUAACAAUUGAACUUGAAUUUUAAAAUUUAAAAAAUAGAGAGACCAAAUUCCCGAAAAUAAAAAUACAAGAAUUAAAUUAAAAAUUUGUAAAGAGUACGUAGACCUAUCACAUUUUUUAAAACCAAAAAGUUAAUAACAUCUGCAUUUUGAAAUUUAUAAAAAGUUUGAAAAAAAAAGUUUAAGCACCUCAAAAUGUAUGUUUAAAUCUCAUAAAAUUGAAGUUUUUUUUUUAAGUUAUUCAAAAUCGACAUUUAUUUAUUUUUGGCCAAAAAAUGCCAUUUAUUUAACUCUAAUAUGUAUUUUUAUGUUUUAUACUAUUAAAAAUAUAUGAAAUUAAAAUAUAGUUAUAUUACAUAUUUUUCCAUAAAUAUAUGUAUUUUUAUUUAUAAUAUCAUUGUUUUUAUUGUUAUAAUUAUUUUUUAUCUCAUAAAAAUUCAAUAAAUUAUUACAAAAAUAUAUUUAUAUACAAACAAAAUAAAUAUAAACAUAAAUAUUUUAAAAUUAUGAAAAUUUUAAAGAAUUUUAGUUUCAAACCAAAGUCGAAACACAUUAUAAUGGAGGAUUUAGAAAGUGUUUCACCAAACCCAUAUUUUAGUUUCAAGUAUGUUACGAUAUAACUUUAUUAAUAUUUAUGACAAUAACUAAAUUUCUAAAUAAAAAAAAAAGAAGUUUAAUUAAAUGAUACCUUGGUGGAUCACCAAAUCUUUCAAUUCAUUAUACCUCAUAUCUAGUUCCCUUAAGUUGAUCAAUGCUUCCAAAUCUAGCAAAACAAAAACAACAAAUCAACUUCAUUAUAUAUAUAUUCUCUUUAAACAUUAUUAUAUCCUAGUUAAAUAACUAAUAUUUUUACCUUUCAUAUCUAUUGAUCCUUUCAAUUCAUUGUAAGUUAUCCCCAAAGAUUUCAAAUUUGAAAGCUUGUUAAGGGAUGCAAAUACACUAGUAUUGAACUGAUUUCCAUCUAAAUUAAGCUCUUCCAAGUGGGUUAACUCCAAUUUUCUAUCACCAUCUACAAAAUAUUUACACAAUUUCAUCACUUAAAAGAAUUGACAUAAAAUUUAAUUAUAUGUAAGAAUUUAGGUAAUUGAUUAAAUAUAAAUGCAUACCUUUAAAAUAUUGAAAGCUUUCAAUUUGAUACCCACUUAAAUCGAGUUUAUUCAAAUUUGUCAAAUUGUUCAAUCCUAUAUAUAUUCACGUUCAAUUCAAAUAAUCACUAUGUUAAUAAUUUUAAUUUCUACUUAAUAUUUUAAUGAAAUAAAAAUGAAAAAAAGUAAAUCUAAAAGUUUAAUUGAAGUUGAAAAUCCUCAAAUGUGAAAUGUGAAUGUUCCAAUUUGAAACAUUUGAUUUUAAAAAGUUCUAGAAAGAAUUAUAAAGAAAAAAAAAUUAUAGAUAGUUUUAGUACCUUUAAUAUCUAAUGAGCCUUGCAAAUGGUUACCGGACAAAGUCAAAGACUUUAGGCUUGAAAGCCGUCCAAGAAAGGAAAUUGUGUUGUUUCGAAAGAGAUUAAAACUCAAAUCAAGUUCCUCCAAGUUUGUUAACCUCAGUUGUGUUCCAUCUAUCAUUGGAAGAAAAUAAUUAGUAUAGUUAAUAUCAUUCAAUAUAUAAAUAGUUUGGAAAAAAUGUUUCAUUCAAUAUAUACACACAAAAAAAAUGAUGGACAACUACAGGCCAUAAAUUUGAAAAGGAAAAGCCAAUUUACAAGCUUUCCGAUGAAUUGAUAACUACAUUUUACAAGUAAAACUUAAUUGAUUCAAUAUAUAAAUACUAGACUUGUAACUUUGUUUGAGAUACUUAAAUUAAUCCAUUUUGAAAUUCAAUCCCAAAUAUUGAUUAGUUAUAUAUAUUGAUGAUAUGAUAAAAUGAAAUGACAUAUUUCAACAACUUUUCCUUCAACAUGAAUUUAUUUUCAAGAAUGCUAUUCUUCAAAUAAUUCCAACUUAUAUCAAUAAUUUCCAAUUUAAUGAGCCACUGAUUUAUAUAUUAUAUAAUUAGUUACUACAAAACAUAUAUAAAUAAUAAUACUCCAUUUUUACAAUAAAAAUUCACUAAAGAUGAUUAGGAAAAAUGAAAGAAAAUACAUUUGAAGUCUGUCAUUGCCUUUUGGAAUAAUGGUCGGUCAAGAAUGUUAUGCACAAAUACUUAUAUCUUUAUUCUGUUCUCAUUUAAAUCCAACUACUUUAAAUUUGUCAAAUUAUUCAAUUUUGAAAUUCAAUCCCAAAUAUUCAUCAGUUAUAUAUAUUCAUAAUAUGAUAAAAGCAAACACAUAUUGCAACAUUAACUUUCCCUUAAACAAAAAUUGGUUUUAAAGUAAAAAAGAAACAUAUAAAACCAGUCUACCUUCAAUAUGAACUGACAUAUAAAUACUAUACUUAUACCUUGGUUUGAGAUUGUGUAACUUAAAUCCAAGUAUUUCAAGUUUGUGAAAUUAUUCAAUCCCAAAUAUUGAUUAGUUAUAUAUAUUCAUCGUAUGAUAAAAUCAAACUUGAACAUACAUUGAUUUUUAAAGUUAAAAAGAAACAGGUAAAAUCAGUCUACCUUGAAUAUGAACCAGCCUUCCUUUCAACUGAUUACCACUCAAUCUUAAAGUCUUCAAGGAUGAAAGAUUUCUCAUAUGGAACAAAAUGCUAUUCUUCAAAGAAUUCCAACUUAAAUCAAGAGUUUCCAAGUUAUUGAGUCUGGAAAGCAAUUGAAAACCUGAUAUAUAUAUAUAUAUAUGUAAAUUUUACUAAAGCAAAAGUGGAAUUACAACGGAUAAAAGAAUGGAAAACUAGGUACCAAGCCUAGAAGACCAUCCUCAAACUCCACUAUACAAAUAAAAACUAACGCCGGACCAAACUUAACUUACCUCUUUGAUGACUUGAUCCUUCAAAUUGGUUGUAUGAUAGGUCUAAAUACAGGAGAGAUGAAAGCUCACUCAAAGAUAACAAAAUGCUAUCAUUCAAGUAAUUUUCACUUAAGUCAAGGAUCUCCAAAUUACUCAAUGUGGAUGAUAGUUUUCCAAAGCCUGUAGAAGUGUUCUUUUAAAUAUAUGCAAGCAGUUGGUGACUUUUCUUCAAUAAAAUAAAAGUAAUUGUAAAUUAACAACGGUGAGAAUAGUGGAAUAGAAAAAGAUGUAAUUAAGGAAAAAUUAAAGGCACGACCUUCAUUUUCAAGGUUACCACCUAUGGCAUUUCCCGACAAAUAAAGACUCUUCAAUUCCUCAAAGGGAAGAAACAUAGAGGCAUUGAGAUACCAGGCAUUGAGAUACCAAUAAUCCACGUUGUAUUCCCAUUUUGUAGAAUUAAGGGAGAGUUGUAUGACUCUCCUAGUGGUGGUGUUGCACUUAACUCUUUCCCAUUUACAACAAUCUGAACCCUUCAGAUCAACCCAACUUUUCAAUGGGUUACCACAAUUGAAGAAAGGCUUGAGAUGCAAGAGAGCGAUUCUCUCAUGCUCCAAACAAGCAUCUAUAGUACACCAUCUGCAUACUUCUAACACUAACAACAUUACUGCCAUCCUAAUAAACCAUAACCAUUUCCACUCCAUCAUCACCAUCUCUCUGUUUUCACUUCUCUCUCGGCUAUAUGUUACUUUUUUUUUUUAGGUUCUAUAUGUAUAUAAUCUAAAGAAGCCUAAGCUUCUUAUUUAUAUACAAGCAGGACAUAUUGUAUCCCACUAAUUCACUAUAAUAUAAAAAUAAUAUAUAAUUAAUUAAUUCCUCAAAAAUUGGAUCAAUGUAGGCUUCUUAUUUACGUAAAUUAUUCCUUACUGCAAAAACUCUUGGUGGAAAUUCGUUAGGAAAGGAUGAAAGGACCACAGAAAUUGUAACGCCCCAAUUUUCGAGAAUUCUGUGAAUGUUGGCAUAGGUUUAAUUAUGUUGGUGGGCCUCUAGAAAGCCCAAACUUAAGAUAGAACUCGACAAUUUUAGUUAAUUUUUGUUCCAUAAGAAAAAGGGGGUGAAAUUAUGAAAUAGAACCUAUGUGAAAAUGUUUGAAAAUGCUAUAGGCUAAAUUGAAGUGGCCAAAUAAAUAGGAGUGCAAAAUAGGAGGAUUUGCAUGACAAACCUCCCAUUUUACAUGAAGUGGCCAGCCAUCAUGUUGUUGUAGAUAAAAUUUGCACUUGAUAUCCAUAAUUUAUGGUACAAAUUGAUACAAAUUGAUAAUAUGUUAGGUAAAUGUUCCAUGAUAAUGGGUUAGGUAAAUGUUUCAUGAUAAGAAUUUCAUGUCUUUUGUAUUAAAGAAUUAAAUGGAUGAAAUAUGAAGUUUUAUUAAAAGAAAAGGGGUGAAAAGAACAAAGUUUUGUCCAUCUUUGUUCAUCAUAGCUGAAAGUUAGAGAAGAGAAAGGAGAGGAGAAAGCUCUUGAAUGUUCGGUCACUUGGGGAAGAAAAUUGAAGGUAAGUUCAUGGUAGUUUGCUUUUAUUUUGAGGUUCAUGAGUUCUUCUUAAUUCUACCUUAACUCUUGAAGCAUAUUUUAGUUUUUAGUUGUGUUGUGAGCAUUUAGUCAUGAAUUAAAAUGAAGGAAAUGGUUGUUGUUUCAUGUUCUUUUGAUAAAAAUGGAAGAUAGGUGAAGUUGAGCCAAACAAAUGAGCAUGCAUGUGCCUUAGAUGCUAAGGGGAAAAAUCGGCUAACAUGUUGUACUUUAAAAUGAUGAAAUGGAGAUUAUACUUAAGUAAAAUCAUAGAUAUGUGAUGAUUGAUUGGUGAUAUACAUGUUUAAAUAACAAGCAUGCAAGUUAGGUGUGAAAGAGUGAUUUGGUAAUAAAUCUGCUUGGGACAGCAGCAGUAACGUGACUUUGGAAAAUCACCAUAAAUUGUGGGAGAUGAAUUAGAAGCUGAAUAAAUUAUGUAAUUAAAUAUUAAUGAGUCUAGUUUCAAAUGGAAUAAACGAGAACAUAUUUUGAAUUCUGUACAAUGAGAAAUUUGAUUCGUAAUGAAGAGUGGUCAGAUUAGUCAAACAGUGAAACAUGGGAAACUUUAAGAAAAAUAUGGUAUUUAUUGGCCAUACAAAAAAUUCUGAAAAUUUUAUGGAUAGAAGAUAUAUGAGUCUAUUUUCGGGGAAAAUUAACGGAACUUGAUUUGGAGUUUCGUAGCUCCAGUUAUAAAUAAUUUAGUGACUGUUGCUCAGAAAGACAGCUUGCAGUGAAAUUAUGAUUAUGUGGUAAACAUUGACAAAAAUUUGUUAAUGAGUUGCUUAUUGUUUUCUUAUAAGCUUACUAUGAUCUGUAGGUGUGGUUAGCCGAAUAUUGUAAGGGGUUAAUAUGUAGUUCGUAUUUGAAUAGUUAGAUUAAUGUGUUAGUAAUCCAAUUGUAGGCAGUUCGUAUGUGGAUCUCGUCAGCAUAUCGUCGCAAACAGGUGUGUAACUAACACCCUCUUUCUUAGUCUAGAUCGGCAAAAGCCAAAAAGUUGAAAUGCCGAAAACCGGUAUUUUGUAGAUUUGCGAGUGUGCGAAUGCUCGUGAGGUAAAUCGAUUAAUGUUUUUGGUAAGCUGCAAUGUUUGGACUGCAAAGUGCAUGAUUUCUGUGCCCUCGAUAUUUUUGGGCUUAAUGGGCCAAAAUUGGAAUGAUGGGCCAACGGGCCCAAUUCGGUAAGAACCCUCGGUACGUGAUUUUGUAGUACGUGAAAGGUAGAAAUAUGCAUGAAAAACCCUAAAAUAGAUAAAUUACUAAAAUACCUUUAAAAGUGGAAAAUUUACAGUUUUACCCUUAGGAGAUAAAUUACCAAAAUACCCUUAGGGUUAAAUUGACCUAAAUGCAUGUUUGACUGUUGUUAUUUACUGCAUGCCAUGUUGUUAUUAUCUGAUGCAUGGGACUGGGAUAUUGACGGAAGAAGUACUGAAAGUGGCUUGUCCACGUACUAGAGGCUUUGCCUCAAUUUACUGUUAACUGAGCAGCAAGGUUGCAACUGUGGAGUGUUGGGCUGGGUGGGUUGAGCUAUUCCCCACAUGGAGUGUAUGGCUGGUAUGGGUGGAGUGUAGUGGUUGGUGGGUUGAGUAGUCUCCCCAAAUGGGCUUGCAUAUGUUUACCGAUGUUGCAUGUAUUUUGAAAUGGGCCUAUGGGCCAUACUGUUAUCUAAUAAGGGGCUAAGGCCCAGUUUAUUGUAAUCUAAAAAGGGCUCUGGCCCAGUACCACUGUUACCUAAAUGAGCUUAGGCCCAAUGGGCUUGAGCUGACUUGGGCUUUGAAUGGGUUUUCCUUACACACUGAGUUUCCCCAAACUCACCCCUUUUAUUUUCAUCCACGCAGGAAAUCCCCAACCAUAGUGGGCUUGGAGCUGUGAGGGAAUUCGGAGUGGCCACCCGUUCUGAAAGUUUGAUUUUCUUCUGGUGAACUGGACAUCCUUUUAUUUACGUUUGAAGUUUUGGGUUUUUAAAUGUAAUAAGGCCGCUUAAUUAUUUUUAAUGGUUUUAAUAUGUAUUACUAAGAUAGGUAUUACUUAUUUUAACUGUUGAAAUUGGAUAGCUUUAGGGCGCGUUUUCAAAAACAACAGUUGAUUUCAAAAUAACACGACAACAAGCAAAGCUUCCGCAAUGAAAGUAUUUUCCAAAAUUAAUCACUUUUCCUAAAAAUGACUUAAUCGAAUCGGUUUCCUAGAAAUAUCCAUGACGUUAAGGUGUGGCAAUGGCGGUAUGCAUGUCUAAGAUUGGAUCCAAAGGGAGCUUGGUACUUAAGUAGUCCGAUGGACUCACCACCUCUUUUCCGGUUUCCUACCUGGUGCACGGCUUCCAUUCACUUUAACCCUUAAUGAAUUAAUCUUUUGAACAUCAAGUAUGAUUUUCUGGACUUAGAAUGGAAAUUUUAUUUUACGUUUUUGAUGUGGCAUGCCGGAUCCGGCCAUAACUUCUGAGCCGGGUUUGGGGUGCUACAAAAAUGCUUAUCAACUCUUGACUUUGGCGUUCAAUGCUAAAUUUUUCUAAAAUUUUUUCAUGGAGAGAAGAUGGGACGACAAGAAUGAUAAGUGUUAAGUCAUUUAAGUUUACACAAAAUUUUAAUCACUCAUAAAAACAAAUCUUGACAUUCUAUUAAAGAAUUUAAACAUGGUUUAACAUUUAUUUUAAAUCUAAUGUUAAUGUUAAUCUUGAAAAACUAAUGGCCAAAAAAUUAUGAAAAGUGAGAGAUGGACAUAAAAUCGUGUAGUUGGGGUUAUAAAAUUCUUCUUGUGGCUUUCUUGUGAGUUUCAUUUAUACCCUUCUUACACUUAUUCCAACUUAGUUUUGACUUGGCUUUAUUAAUGGAAAAUUUAGGUCUUCAUUUUUCGUUUUAUUCAUGGAAAUUUUACUUCUUUGAUUUUGGAUUUAUUAAUGGAAACUUUAAGUCUUCAGUUUGCUUUUAUUCUUGUAAAUUUUAAGUUUUGAUUUUGGAAAUUUUAGAUUUUGGAAAAAAAAAAUUUGCCCGGAAGAUUUUGUAAGUUUAGACCAAAUAUGAUUAUAUAAUUCUUACUACUUUUUAAUUACCUAGAAAAUAUUUAAACAUAAUUUUUUAGAAAAAUAUUUAAAUAUAAACAUAUAAACUUUUUUUAUAAUACAUUUUAUUUUUUUUAAUAACUUUACAUAUAAAAGGAUGAAAUGAUAAUUUUAUUUAGUAAAGUGAGAUGGGAUGGAAUAAAACAAGGAAUUACCAUAACGGCUCCAUAAUUAUUGUCUAAUGAAAAAAAAAUUUCACCCGUCCCAUCUCACAUCCACUUCUCUAAAAAAAAGUCCACUCCAUUCUAAGUUGAUCAUUUCAAAAUCCAUCAAACAGUUGAAGAAAAAAAAGCACCACAGAAGCUACAGUAAUUCCAAUGUAGCAUUAAUAAUGAAUAGCCACGUUUAGAAGAUUGCCUUUGCACAAAAAAAAUAAUAAUAAUAAAGCAACGAGGAAACCUUUCAGCAAAUGGAAAAAAAUAGCAUAAGAUACUACAAGUUCUAUGGUGGUAUUUUCCAGUUCAUCGAAAAAAAAUUAUAAAUUUUUGAAUUUUUGAAGAUUAUUUGUAAUUAUUUAAAGGGAUGAAUUUGUAUUUUUUUAAAACUAUUAGGGACCAAAGAGAUAUUUACAUCAAUUUAUUUUUCUAGUUUUUUAAAAAUAUUUGAGUUGUAAAAUUUAAAUUGAAUUGAACCCAAAAAAUCAAGUUAUUGAUUCGAGUUGGUUCAAAAAAAUUAAAUAAUUCGAUUCAUUUAACUUGAACUUUAAAAAAAAAUCAAUCUUUCUAAUAUGACUUGAGUUUUAUUUGAAUCAUUUUUGUAAUUAGUUAAUUAAAUUGGGUUAUUUAAAAAAAGCCCCUCUUAACUAAUAGCCAAAAAAAAAAAAAAAUUCCGAUCAUGUAGAAAAUUUUGGUCUUAUGGAAAAAUAAAGUAUUGAAAUGUUCAACUUGAUAUUGACAUCCGAAAAUUGAUAGCCAACCAACUUAUAUGUAGAAUGUUUUUAUUGUUGAUUAUUUAUAUUAACUGGAUUUUUUAGUGAGUAAUAUAUAGAAAUAAUAAAUUAAUAUAACAUUAUACUUAUAAUAUUAUGUUUGUCACACCAAAUUUUGAAAAUAGUAAAACUUAAUGAAUUUAACAAAUAUCGUUUAGUGAUAAUUGAAAUUUUAAAAUUUGAAAAGUAUAAGGUCUAAAAUAUCAAAUUAAAAUUUAGGAAUUUUAAUAUUAUAUACUACACCUCUAUAGGACACGUGUUAAUCCUUUGACCCUAUUUACGGAGUUUAAAAACUCCACUGACAGUAUACCAAAUAUUAGUCCUAAUUAUUAUACUAUUCAUAAUUUAAGGAUAAAGAUAAAAUACAAUAUUUGCUUAAAAAUUUCAAUUAUGAUGUAAUAUAUAUACAUUUGGUUACCCAUUAUGAUAUAAGAUGGCACCAUCUACCAAGUAGUUGGAGGAAAUCGUUAAGAAAAUAUCAUUACAUAUAUCAACAAUCACAUAAUUUAUUGCAUUAACAACUUUCUAAGUGCUGACUAUUGACUUCUGCCUCAACCUUGAGCUUAUAUAGGCUCCCCUAAUAAUUUAGGUUAUGGAAAUAAUCUCACAAUUAAUGCCUGAAAAAUUAUUAUACAUCAAUUUAUAAUUUUAAUCUCUUAUUGAUAUUAAUGUUAUGGAUUUAUUAAAAUAACUAACAUUAUUAAAAGUUUAUUUUUUUUAUAAAAAAACCAGAAACUAAAAACCAUAAAUUCUCAAACAUUUAAAAAUUAAAAUUAUGAUGCUAAAUUGAGAAAAACAAAUUAAUAGGUAUAUUCUUGUGGGUGGAAAUUUAGUGGAGAUGCCCAUCAGCUUUCCUAGUUAACAAAAAUGAAGACUUAGAAAAUGUGUAAUCAUAAUCCAAGUCGUCGUGAUGGCCCAACAAUAGGUAUCUUAAUUUGUCUUUCUUCGAGAUCAAACAUAAAUAAUAAAUUUUAUAAACUUAUAACUAUAAUUUUAUAAUUAUAUUAAUAUAUAAUUUCAUGAGUUCUUUAAAAAAUUGUAUCUUUUAAUUUUUUUAAUUAAAUUAGUAAUUCAUUAACUCAUAAUAUUGAUUUUUAUUUAUUUAUCAAAAAUAUUGUCGUAAAUCUGAUAAUUAAUUUUUCCUACUCUAUUAUUUAAGUAUCGGUAAAGUCAAAUCCAACUUGUUUGACCAAAAAAGUUUCUGUGGUGUAGAAAAUUUCAGUUUUGUGAAAAAAGGAUGUUCUAUGCACUAAUGGGUGGCGUUCACAUUGGGUUUGGGAAUUUUAAACCUUUGAAAUUUGAUAGCAAAAACGUUUUAUGUACACAAUUUUAUUUCUUGAAAUUUUAAUAUUUUCUUUGAUAUUGUUAAAAGUAUAGUUAUGAAUAUUAAGGAUAUUAAAUUUUUUUAUAUUUUUUUCUUGGUUUUUCAUGCAAUAUGAGUAGAUUUCAAUUUUUUAAUGAUAACAUUAUAUACCGUUCUAAAAUAUAAAUAAAUACAAUAUUUAUAAUUAUUCGUAAUUUUUUCCGAAUUUUUAAAUAGAAGGAUAAACACAUCGAAUCUAUGUUUUCAUGUAUUGACAAUAAUAUUGAUACCAAUCAAAUAAUAUUCAAUCAGCAAAAUAAAAAUAUGAAAAUCUAAAAGUUUUUAUAAUUUUUGUGUUGAUUUAUUAUUAAAAAAUUAUAUAUUUUAAGCUAUGACUAGGCUUGAAAUUUAAUUUGUUGCCAUAUACAAUAUUUUAGCUAGGUUUGAGUUUUAAAUUGAAAUUUUUAUUAUCUGUUGAAGGUUGAUUCUAUGGUUGCUUGUGUGCUUGAAACAAUACUUACUUCUUUAGGUAUUGUUUUAUUGUCUUAUUUGUUUAUUUUAAGAGUUGAUAAAUUUUAGAAUAAAAGUCUUACGUUAGUGAUUUUUGAAAAUAUAUGAAUGAGUAAAGCUCAUAACAUAAAGAUCAUUUGGGUUGAAAUUGAAAACUUUCGAAAUUGAAUUCUUACAACUCAAGGCAAAAUACUUGUCAAAUAAAAAAGUUACUUUUCAUAUUUUAAAGGCAUUGGAUUCAAUCGAAACUCUUAUGGAAGUAGUGUCUUAUGUUAAUUUUUAGCAUUCUUUAUAGAGAAGUGAUUGGAUUGUAAUUUUUAGGUAAACAGAACUUAAGUAGUAUAUAAAUAUAAGCUUUGUCUAGAUUAAGAGACAAUCAAAAGAUUAAAAACUUGAUAGAGCACAAAUUUGUUUAAGUAAGAUUGUUUAUGUGUGCAUUAUUUUUGUAAACAAUCAAAAGAGAAUCUUGAGUAGCAAAACUAAGCUUUUGAGGCAGAAGCUUAGAGCGAGAGUAUCUAGUCUUUGUACGACGGUGAGAUCAGUAAAUUGGUGAGUGUUAGACCUGGUUAAGACUUAAAUAAUUUAUUGCAGUACAAAAAAGAUAGUGAACCAUUGCUCUGGGCAAGACUCCAUAGAUAUAGACUCAGUGGUGGAUCCAGAAAUACGACUUAGGGGGACAAACUUUAAAAAGGGGUUGGUGGUUUUUGGGGGGGGUUUAGGGGGCAAAAUUUAAAUUUUUAAGGGGUUUAACGUAAUAAAGUUAUCUUAAGGAGAUGCUAUGUAAAUUUCUAAAACAUUGCCCCCACCUGCCCCCCUUAUGUCCAUCAAUGUGUAGACUGAAAUCGAAUUACAUAAAUAAUCUCGGUGUUCAUCCUUAUGUUUUCCGCACUUUUUAAUUUUGUGGUUGAAACUAUGAUCAUAGUUCCAAACACCAUUUUAAUCACAGUGUUAAGAAAUAACAUAUGUAAUGUAGAAUAUCACAAAAUGUGUUGGCAUUGAUAUAUUGGUUCAAACAUUCUUCAUACAUCCAUGGCUACUGACGUGCAGUAAAAGACGAGGGGAGACAGAAGAAGAGAGAAAGAAGAACAUACUUAACUAGUAGACAAAGUGCUCUUCAGUAAAGUACUGAUAAAUCCAGUUCAAUGUGUACAAUGCUCCGUAUGCACUGCAAUAACAAGGGAUUAUAUUAGUCCCUAACCAAGAAUUAAACGUUUCCAAGUUAAUGACAUAUAAAGACAAAAAAAUUGCAUACAUUUCAUGGUGCUAAACAGGAAGAAGAGCUAAAAGAAUUGAAGGCUAAAGGGACAUGAUUUUUUAGAUCAACAAUGCUCUUAAUAUUUCAUUGCAUACAUAUCCUCAUGCCAGGCUUGUCUAUAAUAGGCCCAACAAUGCAUAUACUCUUUUCGCACUUAUCCUAUAACUUAAUGGAGCCUAUAGUAACAGAUAAUAGAGUCGUGAUAUGGAUCACAGUUCCUAGUUGAACUGGCCAUCGUGAUAUGUGUCCCAAUUUCAAAAACCUGACCAACUACGAAUCAGAGGAUGAAGUCAUAGUGUUUCAAUUUAUACAGUUGUCAUAGAGAUUUGCUAAGGAAUAUUAUGAAAUUUUACAUAUCCCUUACUUUCAUGGUUAUAUUCUAUUUAAUAUUUUUUUGACUUCCAGAAAGAGGUGAUGCCUAGUGAUGUACUGAUACAAAGUUCCAUUGUUCCUGUCUUCACUAGACAAUCCUUCUGUAUGGAAGCCUGUUAAUCAAAGAUCGUUGACAAUUUUAGGUUUGAAUCUCACCAUGCUUACUUUUACAAAGAUGAGUUUUUCACUGACAAAAAGGAGGUUCAGAGAUGUGCAAUUUCCUUGGGAUAUGUUGCACAUGUGUGUUCUAUUUCUUCUGCAACGUUAGCUUUUAUUACUGAAUUCUUUUUUAUAAUAUCAAGCUGAAGAUAUCAAGUGUUUUUAACCUACCACCUGCAACCCCUUGUUGCUUGGAGAUGCUGAAGUAAUUUUUUAUCGCUAGGAUGGAAAGAUGGUAUAGUGGGCUGUGUCUUGAUUGUUUGCUUGUUAAGGCUAUAAUUUUAAUCAUACCUAUUAUUGUUUCUUGUUUCACGAAUUGCAUCCACUGUGCUAGGGUGGUUCUCGCUCAUAUAUUAAUCACCAUGAGGCUUCAGCAAAUGCAAAGCCAGCCAGCAUCUUUUGAUUUGUCAUUGGAUACUACACUUUCAGCAAAUGUAAAGCCAGCAGAAUUUCCGCUGUUUUUAGAAGGUCAAGACACAACAAGAGCAACAUAUAUGUUGUAUUAUUAGUUAGUACAAAGUUCAAAGAUAGUAAUGUUAAUUAUUUGGAUUAACUAAUGUUAUUGUAAAAUUAUAAAAUCAAAUCAUGCUAAAUUAAAUAUAAAAAUUAAAUCUCAAAUUUAAGUAUAAUAGAGGGAUCAAAACUAGAGGUAUUCAUGGGCCGAACCGGGCUGGGCUCAACUAAAAAAUCAUGCCCAUUUAUUGUACCUGGGCAGGGCCGGGCCCAAAAACGGCUUAAAAUUUUGUCAAGCUCAACUCAGAUAAAAAUACUAAAACCCGAACCCGAGCCCGUAUUAAUUUUUAUAUUAUUUUUAAAUAUAUAUAAUACAUCAAAAAUAUUAAAAACAUCAAAAUAAAUUUUUCCCAACAAAUUGAAAAUAAAUUUUAAAAAAAAUGUAAACUUAAAUAACACUAAAAUAAAUACAAAUUAACAAGUAAAUGCCUCUAAAAUAAUAAAAAAAAUUAACAAAUGCCUUUAAAAUAAUAACAAAAUUAACAAGAAAAUAAGUUUUAUACAAUAUCCAAACAAUAACAAUAACAACAAAAUAGUAGAAACAUAAUAGUAAAAUAGUAGCAAAAUAGGGAGAAAACAACAAAAAAAUAACAUUAAAAAAUGCAGCUUCUUUUUUCCCUUUAGUGAAUUCGGGUAGGGCCAGGUCGGGCCUGGGCUAAAAAUACCUUACUUGAGGCCUAGCCCAUUUCUUAAACAGGCCUUAUUUUUUUGUCCAAGCCCAUUUUUCGAACUUAUAUUUUUGCUCAAACCCUCCCACAUUUCGGAGGGCCUUCGGGCCAGGCCAGGUAGCCCAACCCAUGAACACCUCUAAUCAAAACUAAUUUGACCAUCAUCAAAACUAAAUGAUGUUAUUUUAAAAGUAAAGAAUAAAAUUUUAUUAAAUUAAAAUAUAAAAGUAAAAUCCCAAAUGUGAGCAUAAUUAAAGAGUCAAAACUAUAAUUUAAUCAUUAUCAUAUAAUUUCUAAAAAAUGAAAUUCGUAACUUUAUGGUUGGACGUAGAUGAUGGAUUGAUGAACACUUUAUGGUUGUUCUUCAAUUCAGUACAAAUCAGAAGCUAAAUUCAAGCUGAGCUUGGGUAGUUGGUGGGCCACUUUGUUCCCAUGUCUUUUAGUGUGGAAUUCGUCGUCAGAAGUCUUCAUCUUAUUCUUACCUUCUUCCACAUUAUAUAUAUAUAUAUAUUUUUUUUUUCUUUUUUUUUUCUCAAUCAAGAAAUUACAAAUUUCAGCAUUUGCAAGAAAUGCAACCAUGCUACAAAAUGCAAACAUUCCCCCAGCAAAAAAGACCCUUACCCAAGUACCAAAAACCAACCACAAACUGGUAACAGCAAACAAACACCCGCCAGAACCCCAAAAUCCCCAUCUAUUAAACAAAACUCAAAACAAAAACAAAACUAACACAAGAAAACCCCAUAACUCCACAUAACAGCUUACCAACUCGCCUGAAGAAACACAACUACAACACUCCAAAAAUCACUACCAUUCCUUAAACAUACCAUGCCUUUCCAAACCUGUAAUCGCCAGCACAAAAGCCAUCAUGUUUCCGUUCUUAUCCAUUUUCGAAAAAGAGACAUUACCAACUCUGUACAUCCUAAUUUCAAAUCACUUGAAGAAAGUGUGCAGCAACCACGAACAAUUUUAGCUUCAAUCGAACACCAAUCUUUAAACAUUAACUCCCAAAUAAAACCUUCACUGCGCCACUCUCAACCAUAUCGGAAACAUUUGAUGCUGCAAAACCGAAAAUAAAGCUCUUAUGACACCCUCUUAUCACUCAAGACUCCUCCGCAGCUAAACUCAAUCUUCGUUUGCAAUCCCACACAUAAAGAACCCAUUUGGAGAAAGCCAGCCAAAUGAAGCAUCUGAUUGGAAUUUAAUAGAAUCAAAACAACUCCAGAUCGGCCAUAUCCACCAAAAAUCUCCUGCAUAUAAAACUUCGUCAUAUCAAGCAGUUUUCUUAUAAACAAUUCUCCCACUUAACUUCAAAAAAACCCCCCAUUUCUUUUAAACAUUCACACACUUCCUUAUUCAAAAUUGCGAAUCAAUAAAGCCUUGGGAAUCCAACGACAAUAUGACAGCUGCCACACCAUGAAACAACCCAAAACAGUGUUGUCAAAUCAUUCCCUAGCUCCCAUCUUGACGGCUCUGAAUCUGCCCAUAAAGCUAUUCUAUUAACCAUUGCAAUUUCCAAGAUCUCUCCAAACUAUCGACAUUUCUUUAAAAUUUGUUGUCUUAACUCUCCAAAAUUGCAUUUGGUCUUCAUCUUCAUUUUCAAUUUUUCAAUUCUUUGUGAGCCUUUUACCUAAAAGCUGAAAAUGUAAAUGAAUCCAAAGAUACCAGACCUUCUUGUUACUGCUCUUCAAGCCACAUAAUCUCCUCAAUUACGUCUCUUUCGUCUCCCCUCACCCUAAGCCCCAAUUAUUUCUUCCUAACUUCCCAUGUCUGCUUAGCCUUCCUCAGAAUUAUAUUUCUCCUAUUAUUGAUGUCCAAAUCAGACAAGGAAAGAUUUACUACUUUGUCUUCUCUCCCUGGCACAACACUGCUCUUAUCCUUUCUCCUGGUCCGAUCUCUUCUUUGAAUUUCUUUGGAAGACAGCACCCGUCCUGGAUGACUCGCAUGGAUCUGAUUCUUUUGUUAAACUGUUUCUUCUUCCUCCUGCUUCUAAUUGUGCUUAAAAAUUCCUCUUCAAUCUCCUGUCUAAUGCUCCGACCCUCUGUUUCUGGAAUUUCAACUCUUCUCCGACUCCAGACCUAUCACCAAUUCCGAUUCCGACACACUUUCAUCAGCCACCACAUGUUUACUAACCUUCUUCGAAACAAUAUUUUUAUGAUCCUCCGACCAUCCUAACUCCCUUACACUUACCAGGAAACUAACAUCUCCCACCUCCAAAAAUACCAUCUCAUCAAUUUUUUUAACUUGUGAGAUUGAAAUCAGCAUCUCAACUUUCUCGAAGUUGUUAGCUCCUGACAAGUUUUUGUUAACAUUGGGAGAUAACAUUAAUGGCAAACAAUACAAAGUGGUGCAAGUUUAGCACCCUAAAGUUGACUUUGAAAAAGUUGCAUGGGAUAAUUUUUUUUUGGUCAUUGAGAUAAUGGGCUAUUUAUUGUUUGGUUCUUGAACCUCAACUAUAAAUAGGCCUUCUCAUUUCUCAUUUCAAUCAUCCCAACCAAUCUUUCUCUCUUAGUUUUCUCUCUUCUCCCAUUUGAGAAUUCUUAAGGAAUUCUAUUUGUUUGUAAUAUUUUAGAGAUAAUAAAGUUACCAUCUGGUGUUAGUGCCCGAGGACGUAGGUAUAAUUUACUGAACCUCGUUAAAACUCUUGUGUUUUUUCUUGUCCUAUUUUUCUUUCAAUAUUUGAGGGUAUAAUAGUAGUAUUUAAUUGUGCUAUUAAAUUACUAUAGAAGGAAUAUUUUAACUAAGGAAAGACUUGGUAUUUAAGAGAUCCAUGUGAUCUACUUCUCUUCCCUGGGAAUUGAACUUUGUGUGAUUUUUUAGUACAAUAAUUUAUACGCUUCCGACCCUAUUGGAACAACAAGUGGUAUCAAAAGCCGAAGGUUAAUCGUAGUAUGCUCUGUGGUUGCAGUUUAAACUGAUCUUCCACAUCAGAAAAGAUUUCCUUAGGUAUAUUGAAAGAUUAUGGAGAUCUUUGAUGGCACGGACCAUUUUGGUAUGUGGCAAAGUGAGGUUCUAGAUGCAUUUUUCAGCAUGGUCUAGACAUUGCCAUUGAUGAAGAGAAACCAGAUGAUGUACAGGAGAAAGAUUGGAAGGCGAUCAAUCGGUUGGCAUGUGGCACAAUUUGAUCAUGUCUUUCUCGAGAGCAGAGGUAUGCUUUUUCAAAGGAGACUUCUGCAAAUAAGUUGUGGGUGGCACUUGAAGAAAUUUUUUUGAAGAAAAACAGUCAAAAUAAGCUCCACUUGAAGAAAAGACUGUUUCGCUUCACUUACGUCCCAAGUACCACAAUGAAUGAUCACAUCACUAAAUUUAAUUAGUUAGUCACUGAUUUGCUAAAUAUGGAUGAGACAUUCAAAGAUGAAGAUUUGGCUUUGAUGCUGUUGGGGUCACUUCCUGAGGAGUUUGAGUUCUUAAAAACUAUUCUACUUCAUGGCAGGAGUGAUAUAUCUCUGAGCGAAGUCUGUGCGGCCUUAUACAGUUAUGAACAGAUAAAGAAGGACAAACAGAAAAACUCAAUCAGAGAUACAGAAGCUUUAGUAGUCCGAGGUCAUUCGUACACUCAGAAGAAAACUCAGAAGGGGAGAUCAAAGUCAAAGUCCAGACUUGGGAAAGAUGAAUGUGCCUUUUGUCGUGAGAAAUGCCACUGGAAGAAAAAUUGUCCAAAGCUGAAGAAUAAGGGAAAAGCUGCUGUAGAUGCUUGUGUUGCAAAGCAUGAUACUAGUGACUCUGAACUAUCACUGGUUGCAUCAUCAUCGUCGUUCCAUUCAGAUGAGUGGAUUUUAGAUUCGGGUUGUACCUAUCAUAUGUCCCUAACCGGGAGUGGUUCUCUGAUUUAGUAGAACUAAAUGGAGGAGUUGUUUAUAUGGGCAAUGACAAUGCCUGUAAAACUAUUGAGAUAGGUUCAAUCCAAUUAAAGAAUCAAGAUGGAUCAGCCAGAGUUCUGACUGAUGUUCGGUACGUGCCCAGUUUGAAGAAAAAAUCACAUCUCAUUGGGAGCCUUGGAAUCCAAUGGUUUAGUUGUUACUAUGAGAGAUGGGGUUUUGAAAGUGGCAUCUGGCGCAAUUGUGAUAUUGAAGGGCAUCAGGAAAAAUAACUUGUAUUACUACCAAGGUAGUACAGUUAUUGGAGCAGUCGCUGCAGCUUCCGGUAACAAAGAAUUGGACUCAAUACAGUUGUGGCAUAUGAAGUUGGGACAUGCCAGCGAAAAAUCCUUGCAAAUUCUGGCAAAGCAAGGAUUGUUGAAAGGUGCAAAGGCUUGCAAAUUAAAAUUUUGCGAGCAUUGUGUUCUGGGAAAGCAAAAGAGAGUGAAAUUCGGCACUGCUAUCCAUAAUACAAAAGGUAUUUUGGAGUAUGUUCGCUCAGAUGUGUGGGGGCCUUCCAAAACACCUUUGUUGGGAGGAAAACACUACUUUGUUACUUUUGUUGAUGACUUUACCAGAAGAGUUUGGGUGUAUACCAUGAGAACUAAGGAUGAAGUGCUUGGAGUUUUUCUUAAAUGGAAAACUAUGAUCGAAAAUCAGACUAGCAAGAAACUCAAGCGGCUUAGGACAGACAAUGGAGGGGAAUAUAAAAGUGAUCCGUUCUUCGAUGUGUGCCAAGAUUAUGGUAUUGUUCGACACUUCACAGUUAAGGAUACACCACAGCAGAAUGGAGUGGCAGAGCGUAUGAAUCGAACAUUGCUGGAGAAAGUUCGAUGUAUGUUGUCCAAUGCUGGGUUGGGCAAGCAAUUUUGGGCUGAGGCUGUGACAUACGCUGGCCAUCUUGUUAAUCGUUUGCCAUCAUCAGCAUUAGAAAGAAAAACUCCUAUGGAGGUAUGGUCUGGAAAACCGGCUACAAAUUAUGAUUCCUUACAUGUGUUUGGAUCCACUGCAUAUUACCAUGUGAAGGAGUUAAAGUUAAAUCCAAGGGCAAAGAAAGCUCUCUUUAUGGGAAUCACUUCUGGAGUGAAGGGAUUUCGUCUUUAGUGCUUAGACACAAAAAAAUGAUCUGUAGUAGAGAUGUUACCUUUGAUGAAUCUGCCACAUUGAAAAAGGUAGUAGAUAAAGAUAUUCAGAUGAACGAUACUCCAUAGUAGGUGGAGUGUACUCCAAAAUAGGUGGAGUUUGAGCAGAUGGGGAUUUGCCCAGUUAAUAAGUCUAAUUCUCCAGCCACAAUGGAGGAAUUAGAGGUUGAAGAGGUUCUGACCUAAGAACCGUUAAGUACACCAGAACCAGUUGCAGUUGCAAGGCCACGGAGAGAAAUUCGUAGACCUGCUCGAUUUACUGAUAUGGUAGCCUACGCCCUUCCCGUUGUUGAUAAUGAUAUUCUUGUCACUUAUCAAGAAGCAAUGCAAAUCUUAGAAAGUGACAAAUGGAAAGGCACCAUGGAUGAAGAAAUGCAGUCUCUCCGGAAGAACAAUACUUGGGAGUUGGCGCAAUUACCGAAAGGUAAAAGGGCAAUCGGAUGCAAGUGGGUAUUCGCAAAGAAAGAUGGAUCUCCUAGCAAGAAAGAUGUUCACUACAAGGUAAGAUUGGUAGCUAAAGGCUACGCUUAGAAGGAGGGAAUUGACUACAAUGAUGUAUUUUCCCCUGUUGUGAAGCAUUCCUUCGUUAGAAUUUUGUUAGCCUUGGUAGCACAGUUGAAUUUGGAGCUAGCUCAACUUGAUGUUAAGACGGCUUUCUUGCAUGGUGAGUUAGAAGAGGAGAUCUAUAUGACUCAGCCCGAAGGAUACACAGAUGCUGGUGGUAGAAAUUGAGUUUGUAAGCUGAACAAAUCGCUAUAUGGAUUGAAGCAAUCCCGAGGCAGUGGUACAAGCUAUUUGAUAGCUUUAUGAGAAGGCAGAAGUACACAAGAAGCAAAUAUGACAAUUGUGUGUAUUUGCAGAAGCUACAUGACGGAUCUUUCAUUUAUCUACUCUUAUAUGUUGAUGACAUGUUAAUCGCUUCGAAGAGCCAAAAGGAGAUAGACAAGCUGAAGGCUCAGUUGAGUUAAGAGUUCGAGAUGAAAGAUCUAGGUGAGGCCAAGAAGAUUCUCGGCAUGGAGAUAAGUAGAGAUAGACAGAGAGGCAAGCUUUGUUUGAAUCAGAAGCAAUAUCUGAAAAAUGUAUUACAAUGUUUUAGUGUAAAUGAAAGCACAAAACAUGUAAGUACCCCAUUUGCUUCUCAUUUGAAACUUAGUGCUCAAUUAUCUCCUAGAACUGAAGAAGAAAAAGAAUAUAUGGCAAAAGUCCCAUAUGCUAAUGCAGUUGGGAGUUUGAUGUAUGCGAUGGUGUGUACGCGGCCUGACAUUUCACAAGCUGUUGGAUUUGUGAGCAGGUAUAUGCAUGAUCUUGGAAAAGGACAUUGGCAAGCUGUGAAAUGGAUUCUACGGUAUCUUUGAAAAACCAUAGACAUUGGUUUAGUUUUUUAGAAGGAUGAAACACUUGGUCAGUUUGUAGUUGGAUAUGUUGAUUCCGACUUUGCUGGUGAUUUAGAUCAACGUCGUUCAACUACGGGGUAUCUGUUUACUCUUGCUAAAGCCCCAGUGAGUUGGAAGUCUACCUUACAAUCUACAGUAGUUGUGUCUACUACAGAGGCAGAAUAUAUGGCAGUUACAGAAGUUGUUAAGGAGGCUAUUUGGCUUAAUGGAUUGUUGAAAGACUUGGGAGUUGUUCAAAGUUACAUUAGUCUAUAUUGUGACAGUCAGAGCGCUAUUCAUUUAGUUAAAAAGCAAGUCUAUCAUUCAAGAACCAAGCAUAUCGACGUAAUAUAUCACUUUGUGCGGGAAGUCUUUGAAAAAGGAAAAAUUCUACUUCAGAAGAUUUCGACAGCAGAUAAUCCCGCAGAUAUGAUGACCAAGGUGGUAACAACAAUCAAGUUUAAUCAUUGUUUGAACUUGAUUAACAUCCUGAGAAUUUGAGCACCUUCAGGUGUAUGGCGCUCGAGAGCGCAUUUGUAGGCACUACAAAAGAUAGCUUUAUCGAAUUUGGGGAGUUGAAGGAAGUGUGUGACGAUGUGAUUAUCCUAAUCAAAUCUUCAAGGUGGAGAUUGUUAACAUUAAUGGGAGACAACAUUAAUGGCAAACAAUACAAAGUGGUGCAAGUUUAGCACCCUAAAGUUGACUUUGAAAAAGUGGCAUGGGAUAAUUUUUUUUUUUGGUCAUUGAGAUAAUGGGCUAUUUAUUGUUUGGUCCUUGAACCUCAACUAUAAAUAGGCCUUCUUAUUUCUCAUUUCAAUCAUCCCAACCAAUAUUUCUCUAUUAGUUUUCUCUCUUCUCCCAUUUGAGAAUUCUUAAGGAAUUCUAUUUGUUUGUAAUAUUUUGGAGAUAAUAAAGUUACCAUCUGGUGUUAGUGCUCGAGGACGUAGGUAUAAUUUACCGAACCUCGUUAAAACUCUUGUGCUUUUUCUUGUCCUAUUUUUCUUUCAAGAUUUGAGGGUAUAAUAGUAGUAUUUAAUUAUGCUAUUAAAUUACUAUAGAAGGAAUAUUCUGACUAAGAAAAGACUUGGUAUUUAAGAGAUCCAUGUGAUCCACCUCUCUUCCCUGGGAAUUGAACUUUGUGUGAUUUUUUAGUACAAUAAUUUACACGCUUCCGACCCUAUUGGAACAACAGUUUUCACCCAUCGACACCAGAGUUCCCCACUUUCCCGCUAUCCUUUUGAACGUUUCAUAGUUCCAACAGUUCAUCGGGACCCCAAAAACUUCAAUCCAUGGAACCCUUUCAGAGAACACCAACCUUUCUGACCAGGGUUUGAUUUUUAUGAAAAACUCCUUCCAGUACGACCACUCUCUCUGUUUCAAAAUUUCAAAUAGUUCUUUGUCCUGAAUCUCAAUAAGAAAAUAGUUCCCUUGAAUUCUCUUCACACCAAUUUCACCGAGACCUAUUCUCGCUACUUUAUCAACUAAACUCUUCAAUUCACAGAACGAAGCCACUUCCCCCACCAAGCAUUUCUGUAGUUUCCACAGUUGCUCAUCCUCUACAUGACCUUGAACUACUUCUGCUAUUUUCAUACCACCUAAACCCUAACCAUCACCUACUCUUCUGUCGAGCAUGUUCGGUGUCUGCACAUCCUCCAACUGUUCCUCGACUUCCUUUCCUCUCUUCACGUUUUCCAACCCUUUUUGACUGGAUUCUUUAAGAAACGAAGGAUUUCUUUGCUUGAAAGCCCUUCACCAUAUUGACCUCCUAUCUUUAAACCUUACUACCUUCACCCAUAUUCUACUUCCAAGGAUCACAAAGCCAUUCAAUCUUGAUAUUGCCCUAUAUGCAUCCGAAUAAUUAGUGUAUCUCACAAAACCAAAUCUACUGCCCCUUUUACUUUUUUUCUCCGGAAUGAAAGCAUCUACCACCUUUCCAUGAUAACUGAAAAGAGAACAUAAUCCUUUCCAAUGCAUGGAUGCCGGAGUAUUAAGCACAAACACCGUGAUCUGAAACCCUCCCGAUACCAUAUUGAUUUACGAUUUUAUUAUGAGAUAAUAAAGGGAGCAUUAUAUUUUAUAUAGAGAGAGCAUAGUUAAACAAUAUUUUAGCUGAGUUUGAGUUCUAACAUGGAAUUUUUAUUAUCUUAAUAAAUAAUAUAUCCUAAUUAAAUUCAAUUUUCUUAAAAAAUUAAUUUUAAAUAUAUUAAUGAUUAUUUUAAUUAAGAUUAUAAAACUUGUUGAACACUUCUGUUAGUGUUUGGUUUUCCGUGCUGUCAUUUUCUAGUUCACAUUUUAAUCAAGAGUUUGAGUUGGACAUAAUGUCGUGUAAUUUGGGUUGUAGAAUUCUUUUCCACUCUAUUAAUUAUUAGGUUAAAUUACGUUUAAUGUUAUUAAAUUAUUAGUAAAUUUAUCUUUUGGUCAUUAAACUAUAAAAAGUUAUAAAAUGGUCAUUGAACUAUUCGAAACUUUUCAUUUAAGUCACUAAACUAUUUAAGAGUUUUUAUUUAAGUUACUAGACGGUUAAACUUUUCUUUUUUUAAAAAAAAAAGUUUGGGUAGCUAGUUCCUAGCAAAGGUUCGACGAUCGGUAUAGUUGAUCAGUAUCCAUUGAAGAGUAGAAAAACAUACCUUAGAUCCAAGUUGAUUUGACAGUCAAUGUUAGAGGUCGAAGAAAAAAGCUAUUUAUAUUUUGAUUCAUAGAUUCAUGACAUCCUAAGAUAUUUUAUGAGAAAAAACUCAACUGUAGAAGAGAAGGAGAAUGAGAGCUUUCGAUUGGUGCAAGAUGUGUGAAUGGAGAAGGUCAUAAAACAAUGAUUUUAACAGUUCAAUGACUUAAAUGAAAAUUUUCAAAUAAUUCAGUGAUUAUUUUGUAACUUUUUCAAUGACCUUAUUAAACUAUGCGUUAUGAAUGCUAUUAAGUGGAUGUUCAUUAUAAUCAAUCUUUCACCUUUCAUCUUCCUUAACUCUUCACAUUGCAUCCCCUUGUAACCCUUUCCUAUUUAUGUAUUAAAAAAUGAGUCUAAUCUCCCUAUAUAUAUAUAUAGGAGUAUACUACUUGCAAUGAUGAUGAAAAAAGAAUAGAAAUGCAAUAGAAAUCCCCCUUAUUCUCAUCUAUUAUUCUUGUGUUUUUUUACAUUACUAAGCAAAUUAAGGGAGGAAUAAAGAUUUGAUAUGGAAAUAAUGUAAAAACAAAGAAAACAAAUUACAAAAUUAGGAAUAAAGAACAAAAAAAAAAACACAAAAGAAAAUAUUUGAUGACAUACAUAUUCUCAUGGCAGCCUCAUCUCUGAUAGCCUCAGCAAUGCAUAUUCUAUUAUAAACUUGGUCUGCAUUUAUUCUAGAGCCUGUAGUUAAGAUAUUUUAGUUUGCAUCUCUAAUAUGUUAAGCACCACUGCCAUAGAAAUAGCAAAUAUUUAUUUGGAUAAACAUAUCUUAAAAAAAAAAUUUGAAUCAUUGUUAUUUAUAUACAAGCUCGACCUAUGGCAUCCAACUAAUUCACUACAAUAUCCAAAUAAUAUAUAAUUAAUUAAUACUUCAAAAAUUGGAUCAAUCAAAUAAUUUAUACGACCGAAACAAAUCUUCACACAAUUUUUUUUGCUUGAUUUACAAAUUGUAAUUAAUUAUAUUUGCUAAAACUUGGUCGAAAUUCCUUUUUGCAAAAUUAUUGGUGGAAACUCUAUAGGAAAGUUUCACUGUAUUCAUUAAUUAAUUUCUCUUAAAAAUAUUAUUUGUAAUUUAUGUCUUGAAAAAAUUUUAGGCAUGUUUGAUAAGUCCACGUCCAACCCAAAAAUUAAGUCUAAAAUUUUGUCCUCGCCUGACCCCAAUAAAAAUACUAAAACUCAGGCUCGGCCUGACCCGUAUUAAUUUUUUAUAUAAUUUUUUUAAAAUAAAAUAUAGUACACUAACAACACUAAAAUAAAUAUUUCCCAACAAAUUGAAAUUAAAUUAAAAAUAUAUAUUUAUACUUAAAUAACUCUAAAUUAAAAAAAUAUAUUUAUACUUAAAUAACUCUAACAUAUGCAACUUACCAAGCAAAUAUUUUUAAAAUAGUAGUAAAAUUUAAAAUAAAAUAAGAGUUUUACAAUAUCCAAAUAAUAAUAGUAAAAUAAUAGUAAAAUGGUAGCAAAACAAUGAAAAAAAAAGUAAAAAAACAACAUACUUUUUCUUUUUGCAAAUUCAUCCUUAGCCCAAGUAAAAAAAGCCUUACUCGAGGUUUUAAACGAGUCUUAUUUUUUUUUACACCUAAUUUUUAGACUUAUAUUUUUAUCUAAAUUUUCUCACUUUUUAAAUCAGACAGUCAGCCCAUCUACAUAGGAGGACUAGACUUGUUGUAAAGUCUUAUAUUUUGUUGGUGCAAUAUGUGCUUAGCUAUUUCUCCUUUCAUUUACCUGUUUUUUCUAUUCAGUGUGUCUAAAUUUUUUCUUCACUUUUCUUAUUUGGACGGUGAGUGGAGAUUUAAUACAUUCAAAAAGCUACUGCAUAUACAUAAUAAUGGAUUAUGAUAUUACUUUAAAUUUCAUAGAAAAAAGAAAUAGAUAGUUGAAAAUGAUAAAACUACAAGAUAAAACUAUAAAUUUCCUCCUAAAAAAGAUACGAUCUUUUAUUCAAAAUUCAAAAAUCAACAAAAUAUUCAUCACUGUCCAACUUAGCACAGUUAAAUAAUUGGGUGAGGAAAUCAAAUAAUAAAUACCAACUAAAUUUGUUGCAAUCUUUAUGAUAGCUAAACACAUUGUCUGAAAAUGUGAUAAGCAAGAACAUUGUCCACAUUUGAGUAGUGAUAGGUGGUGAUGCAUUUCUCAACGAGAGAAAACCAAGCUCUCCACCAAUGUGGAUCUAUGUAGAGGAUAACAAAAAUUGUCAACACUACAGCUACAUAAGAAACCAAAAAGCUCACACAAAAAUCAUAUGUAUCUAGCAAACCAUCUUCUCCUAUAUCUUUUGAUACAGUUGAUAUCAUUGAUGGUGAACUGUUUUUGGAACAACUUUUAUGCAGUAUAUCUCCAUAUCCAUGUUCGAAGUCAGACAUGGGUAAUUAAAGAAAAAUGAAGAGUCGAAGCAUGAUAGACUAAGGACUAGCUCUUCAUUGCUGUUGUGGUUGAAAACUGCUUUUCAAAAAUGACUUUAGAAAUAAGUGUUGUUGAAAAGUGGUAGAAAAGUGCUGCAGAAAAGUGUGUUUAUUAAUUUUUAGUGUUCUUCGUUGCUUUCUAACUUUAUAUGUUGAUUAUCUUUUAUUAAGUUUACUGUUGAAUCUUAUAGUGAUAUUCUUUUACAUCAUGUAUGUUAAUUUACUUGGCCCAUAUAAAUGUUAGAUGUAGGUUAUCAGCUAAUUAGGAAAAACUAUGAUGAUAGUCACACCUUACAUCCAAAAGCAAAGCUUUGUACAUGUGUAUGUAAGGUUGCUUAGCAAAUCUGAUGAGCCUUCACUGAUGUUUUAAGGUUAAGUUAAUGCUCCUUUCCAGCAAAAAACAGUAUCGAGAUCACGGUAUUUUGAUCGCCUUUUGCCUGUUAUGUUAUUCGUUCUGAAAUGAUUGCAUAAUCUGUACUCUGAUUGCAGGAUAUAGAGCAACUUUUGAAUUUCAUGGGUGUAAAGUGUUUAGGACCGCGACAUGUUGUUGCAAAUUUGAAGGAGCUUCUAAGGUCUCUCCAGUCUUGAGAAUAUAUAGAUACCUGAAUUAAUUUGAUUUUGUAGGAUCAACUAUAAUUAGCUACUUAUUAACAAUCUGAUUUUCUUCACACACGACACGUGCGGAUUUUUUACCCAACCCAUUUCAUUAAAGAAAAAAAAAGAGCUUUAAAAAAGGAUCACACUUUUUUGUUGUUUACAGAAUCAUAAUGUUAAUUAGAGUGGAAUAUUUCAGAUUUUGUGAUGAUAAGCAUAUUCUUGAGUAAAAAAAUGGGUGUGGAACUUAUUUGAACUUUGAAUGUAUGUUUUGUUGGUGAGAAUAUGAAGUUGAUAAAGAUUUGGUAAGUAGAUAAUUAAAUAUUUUAGCAUUGUUGGCAUUAUAAUAUUGUAAAAUUUAAAUAAUUUAACCUAACCUUUUUUUAGAAUUAAUAUUUUAAUAAUUCAAUCAUUUUACUUGUUAAUGUAAUUGUUUGUCAUGCAUAAAAGUUUUUGAAUCGAUUUUAUAUUUUUAUUAUAUUGUUUCAAAAUAUUAUUUUUGUUUGUCAUGCAUAAAGGUUUAGAUUCAUUUCUCUAGUGUGUUUGGUUUGAUUUUACAUUAGACAUUAGAAAUUUUUUACUUAUACAUUAGAUUACAUUUAGGGUUUAAGGUUUAGGGUUUCAAAAGAUAAAGAUAUAAACUUCCUUCCUACAAAGGAAAAGAAUUUUUAUUUGUGAAAAAUAAAAUAAAAAUAAAAUAAAUAAAAUAAAGAACACACAAAUUUUACGUGGAAACCCUUUCGGGAAAAAACCACGGGCAGAGGAGAAGAAAAUUCACUAUGUCGAAAAAUUUGACUCAAAUACAAGAGGAAUAGCCUAUGUCUAUUUAUAGGCUUGCAAAGCCAUAUUCUAGUAGGAUUGAAACACCUUAUCCUAAUCAAUAUAAAAUAGAUGGAGUUUAAUAAGGUUUAAAAAUCUUAUUCUAAAAUAAAAUAAAAGAAGUCUAGUUCUAUAUGAAUUUUACUUUUAUUUUAUUUUCCAUCGUAUUUUAUUUAAAUAAGAAUUUGGGUCACUUAAUUCUAACAAUCUCCACCUUGACACAAAUUCUCAAUGAACAAGUUCUUCAUCGCGAACUUUCAAUAAACAAGUUCUCCACCUCUUCCAUAAAACCCCUUAAGGGUUUAACUUCAACAUUGAACACCAACCAAGUCUAAGCAAUGCUCAAACUUGGUUAUAGGAAGUGACUUAGUCAUCAUAUCUGCAGGAUUUUCAUGAGUACUAAUUUUGCUCACAACAAUAUCACCACGAGCAGUAAUAUCACGAACAAAAUGAUACCGAAUAUCAAUGUGUUUUGUUCUCUCAUGAAACAUUUGAUCUUUUGUAAGAAAGAUGGCACUCUGACUAUCACAAAAUACUGUGCUGAUUUGAAGGUCUUCAUUGAGUUCACUAAAUAGUCCCUUCAACCAAAUAGCUUCUUUACAAGCCUCAGUAAUCGUCAUGUACUCAGCUUCAGUGGUAGACAAAGUGACUGUAGUUUGCAAAGUGGCUUUCCAACUAAUUGCACAACCUCCGAUUGUAAAGACGUAACCUGUGAGAGAUCUUCUUCUAUCAAGGUCUCCAGCAAAAUCAGUAUCAACAUACCCUAUAACUCCAUCUUUAGUUCUUCCAAACUGUAAGCAAACAUCAGUAGUGCCUCGUAAGUAUCUUAAAAUCCACUAAACUACUUUCCAAUGUUCUUUACCGAGAUUUGCCAUAUAUCUGCUAACUGCACUGACUGCAUAUGAUAAAUCUAAACGUGAACAAACCAUAGCAUACAUGAGAGAUCCCACUGCACUAGAGUAUGGAACAUGUGACAUGUACUCAAUCUCAUCAUCUGAUUGAGGAGACAAGGCCAAUGAAAGUCUGAAAUAGGCUGUUAAAGGAGUACUAAUAGGCUUAGCACUCUACAUAUUGAACCUGCAAAGAACUUUCUCAAUGUACCCCUUCUGACUUAGGUACAAUUUACUUACUUUUCUAUCUCUGAGAAUCUCCAUACCAAGUAUCUUCUUUGCUGGUCCUAAAUCUUUCAUCUCAAAUUCUUCACUUAGUUGGGCUUUAACCUUUCUUAUCUCUCCUUUAUCUUUCACUGCUAUCAACAUGUCAUCAACAUAAAGAAGUAGAUACACAAAAAAACCAUCACUGUUUUUCUUAAAGUAAACACAACUGUCUAAACUACUUCUUUUGAAAUCAUGAGAAGUCAUAAAGGAAUCAAACCUCUUGUACCACUGUCUUGGUGACUGUUUCAAACCGUAAAGGGACUUUCUCAGCAAGCAAACAUAGUCCUCUUUUUCUGAGACUAUAAAACCCUCUGGUUGUUGUAUGUAAAUAUCUUCCUCAAGUUCUCCAUGCAGAAAUGCAGUUUUUACAUCUAACUACUCAAGCUCCAAAUCAUGCAUGGCCACAAUACCAAGCAAAGCUCAAAUCGAACUAUGCUUAACAACUGGAGAGAACACAUCUGUGAAGUCCACUCCUGGAAUUUGACUGUAACCCUUUGCAACAAGCCUUGCUUUAUAUCUGGGUUCUUCAACUCUUAGAGUCCUUUCUUUCUUUUUAAACACCCAUUUACAACGAACAGCCUUUUUACCUUUAGGAAGUUUCACAAGGUCCCAUGUUCUGUUUUUGUGGAGUGAUUCCAUCUCUUCUUGCAUAGCAAACAUCCACUUUUCUGAGUCUUUACAGCUAACCGCCUCAGAAUAAUUAGAUGGCUCUUGAUUCGCAUUUAUAUCUUCAGCCACAUUUAAAGCAUAAGCAACUAGAUCAACCUCAGCAUACUUCUUUGGAGGUUUAAUUUCUCUUCUAGUUCUGUUUUUGGCGAUAGAGUAUUGUGGUGAAGAAGCAACUCUAUUCUCAAUUUUUGUUCUGGCUUGAGGAGUUGACUUUGUAUUAAUCUGAUGCUCCACCUGCUUUUGAUUUUCUUUAUUGGAAGAUUCUUUAAGAGAUAAGUUAGGUAGCAUAGCAGUUUCAUCAAAAACAACAUCUCUGCUAAUCACAACUUUUUUAUUUUCAGGACACCAUAACUUAUACCCUUUUACACCAGCUUUAUAACCAAGAAAAAUGCAUUUAAUAGAUCUCGGUUCUAAUUUUCCAUUAUCAACAUGAGCAUACGCAGGACACCCAAAAGUCUUUAAAUUAGAAUAAUUAGCAGGAUUACCAAACCAUACCUCUUGUGGAGUCUUUUUCUCAAUGGCAACGGAUGGAGAUCGGUUGAUCAAAAAACAUGCAGUAGAGGCCGCUUCUGCCCAAAAUGCCUUCGGUAAGUUGGCAUUUGACAACAUACAUCGAACCUUCUCCAUGAUCGUUCUGUUCAUUCGUUCCGCAACGCCGAUUUGCUGUGGAGUAUGACGAACUAUUAAGUGUCUCAUGAUCCCUUCUGACUUGCACAAUCUAUUAAACUCAUCAGAACAAAACUCUAAGCCAUUGUCUGUGCAGAGGUAUUUUAUCUAUUUUCCCUUCUGUUUUUCAAUCAUAAUUUUCCAAGACUUAAAUGCGGAAAACACAUCGCUUUUCUACUUCAGAAAAAAUGCCCAAACUUUUCUGGAAAAAUCAUCAAUAAAGGUUAGCAUAUAAUUUGCUCCACCUCUCGAAGGCACUUUGGAUGGCCCCCACAGGUCAGAAUGAAUAUACUCCAACGUUCCCUUCGUGUUAUAGAUUCCUCUAGUGAAUUGAACUCUCUUUUGCUUCCCAAAAACACAGUGCUCACAGAAAUUCAGUUUGCAAAUUCCUUGCCCAUUAAGAAGUCCUCUUUUGCUUAAUUCUGCCAUGCCAUUCUCACUCAUAUGCCCUAGGCGCAUAUGCCAAAGUUUAGUAAUAUCAUCAUCUGACAAGGAAAAGGAAGCGACAGCUGCAUCACCAGUAACAGUAGAACCCUGUAAAACAUAUAACUUGGCAAUCUUUCUCUGCCCUUUCAUCACAACAAGGGACCCUUUGGAAAUCUUUAAAACCCCACUUUCAGCUGUGUAUCUAUACCCUUUUGAAUCAAGAAUACUCAACGAAAUUAAAUUUCUUUUCAAUUAUGGAACAUGUCGCACGUCACUAAGUGUUCUGACAACUCCAUCAAACAUCUUAACUUUAAUUGUUCCAACACCUGCGAUUUUACACGAAGCAUUAUUUCCAAUCAAAACAACACCUUCAGAUACUGUUUCGUAAGUUGUAAACCAAUCCCGAUUGGGACUCAUGUGGAAGGUGCAGCCUGAAUCAAGUAUCCACUCCUCGCUUACUUUAGAAUCAUUGACAGAAGCGACUAGAAGUUCACCAUCGCUGUAGUCUUCUACAACAUCAGCUUCACCGGAAUUUUCUGGUUGUUUUCCCUUUUGAUUCGCAGCCUCCCUUUUAAUCUUAUUUUGUAGCUUAUAGCACUCAGAUUUAAUGUGCCCUUUCUUCUUGCAGAAGUUACAAGUUUUACCUCUAUUUGAAGACUUUGAUCUACCCUUAGAUUUAUCACGAGGAUUCCGUUCCUGUGUCCUACCACGAUCAUCAUCAGCAUUCCGAUCUUGUCUCCCACGAACAAGGAGACCCUCUCCUUGAGAGUCGAGUUUAACCACAAGAUGCUUCAUCUUAUCAUACGAGGUUAAAGAAUCAUAAACCUCAUCAACUGUGAGAGACUCGCGGCUAUAUAAAAUCGUGUCUCUAAAGGUUGAAUAAGACGGGGGCAACGAACAAAGUAGAAUCAACCCUAGAUCUUCCUUAUCAUACUGAACCUCCAUGGCCUCCAAGUUUGAGAGAAUUUCUUUAAACACUGUUAAGUGUUCGUGUACAGACGCACAUUCCUCCAAACGAUGAGCAUAAAGACGCUGCUUCAUAUGCAAUUUGCUUGUUAGAGUUUUCAACAUACAUAUUUGUUCUAGGCUCUUCCAUAAUGCAGCGGCAGUUUUCUCUUUCAUCACAUCCUGCAAAAUUUCGUUGGAAAAAUGCAGAUGUAAUUGUGUUAAUGCCUUUCGAUCCUUACGCUUCUUCUCUUCAUCUGUUAAUGUCGAAGGCAUCUUAUCUAUCCCUAGCAAGGCAUCCUCCAGAUCCAUCUGUGCAAGAACUGCUUGCAUCUUAAUUUGCCACAACGUAAAUCUGGUGUUGCGAUCCAACAGCAAAAUUUUAUACUUCAAAGACGCCAUUACCGUGAUCGAGAUGAAUAACUCGGAAGCUCUGAUACCAAUUUGUGAAAAAAUAAAAUAAAAUAAAAUAAAGAACACACAAAUUUUACGUGGAAACCCUUUCGGGAAAAAACCACGGGCAGAGGAGAAGAAAAUUCACUAUGUCGAAAAAUUUGACUUAAAUACAAGAGGAAUAGACUAUGUCUAUUUAUAGGCUUGCAAAGCCAUAAUCUAGUAGGAUUGAAACACCUUAUCCUAAUCAAUAUAAAAUAGAUGCAGUUUAAUAAGGUUUAAAAACCUUAUUCUAAAAUAAAAUAAAAAAGUCUAGUUCUAUAUGGAUUUUACUUUUAUUUUAUUUGCCAUCGUAUUUUAUUUAAAUAAGAAUUUGGGUCACUUAAUUCUAACAUUAUUCAAAAUGAAAAAAUCAACAAAAUAUUCCUCGCAACUCAACUUAGCACACUUAAACAUUUAAGUGAGGAAAUCAAGUCACAAUUUCUUUUUUCUGAAACAAUGCCAACCAAAUUUGUUGAAACCUUUGUAAUAACUAAACACAUUGCUUGAAAAUGUGAUAAACAAGAAAAUUACCCACAUUUGAGUAGCGACACGUGGUGAUGCAUUUCCCAAUGAAAGAAAACCAAGCUCUUCGCCAAUAUGGAUUUAUGUAGAGGACAACAAAAAUUGUCAACAACACUACUACAUAAGAAACCAAAAAACUCACACAAAAAUCGUAAGUAUCUAGCAAACCAUCUUCGCCUGUAUCUUUUGGUACAAUUGAUAUCGUUGAUGGUGAAUCGGUUUUGGAACAACUUUUAUGCAGUAAAGUUCCACAAAGAAAAGGGUUUCCCUCAUAACUGUUUUCAAUAAAGGUCCCAAAUUGAGCUUUUGGUUCGGGAAUACUACCUGACAAGUUGUUGUAUGCCACGUUGAAAACCUCCAAAGAAAUCAUCUCUACCAAUUGAUUGGGGAUUUCACCACUCAAGUUGUUGUAAGAAAGGUCCAAACUUUCAAUCUGCUUAAGUUUCGAGAAUGAAGAGGGUAUAACUCCGGUCAACUUAUUGUGGGACAAGUUUAAAGAAUGGAUUUCACUUAAGUUCCCUAAUUCUGGUGGGAUAUGACCAGUUAAGUUGUUGCAAGAUAAAUCAAUACCGGUCAUAUUUCUAAGGAUGUUGCCCUUGUACGGAUAGAACCCAUUCUUUGUUGUGAACUCUAUUAGUUCUUCUAAGUAGCUGGUAGGAUAGUAAGGAUUUAUACCUCUUUCCAAUUUUCUCAUCGCAAUUGCUGUUGGUUCAUCUUUUUCUGUAAAUGCAAGAUAGAACCCACCGGCUAGACUCUCUUUCUCUUUCAUUGGAAGAGAUAAAUUUCCCAAACAAAAAGGUAUAGGACCAGAAAACAUAUUUUGAGAAAGAUCUAUGAUGCUUAAAGAAUACAACUUGCAUAACUGAAUUGGAACUUCGCCAUGAAAAUGAUUAUCUUUCAAGAUAAGAACACUCAAUGAAGAAAGUGUGCCAAUCCAUUUUGGAAUACUACCAGUCAAAUUGUUUCCUCUAAGAUCCAAUGUAACUAGUGAAGAGAUAUUAUAAAAAGCGAUUGGUAGAGGGCCACUUAGUCUAUUCCCGUGCAGGUGGACUUGCUCUAUGUUUAGGGUAUUAAAGCAGGACGGUAUAGAGCCAAAUAAAUUGUUUUCAGAGAAAUCCAAAAAUUCCAAGGAAUUCAAGUUGCAAAAUUCCAUUGGAAUAGAACCCUCGAAACCAUUUUGGGACAAAACUAAUCUCUCCAAAAAUGACACAUUCCCUAUCCAUCUUGGGAGGUUUCCAUAAAACUUGUUAUUUCUGAGAUUGAUUUCCCUUAGUGAAGUUGGAAAUUGAGAAAUAGAGACAUCAACAUUUGCCAUCUCCCCAGAAAAAUUAUUUCCAUCCAAAUAUAAAUUUGACAACCCAUUUGCAUGGAGAAUCAUGGGAAGCACAUGUCCACUGAGGUUGUUGUUUGAUAGUCUCAAAGUGGUCAACGAGCUUUUUGUGAUUAACUCUUCAGGUACUCUUCCAGACAAUUGAUUGUUUGAUAAAUCUAAAAUCGAUAAAUCCUUCAUGCCACUCAAACAAGGAGGGAUAUCACCUUCGAAGGCAUUCUUGGAUAAGAAUAAUAGGCUCAAAUGUGGAAAAGAUGAACACACGUUGGUUGGAAUCUGACCUUGCAAUUUGUUUUGGGAUAUGUCAAUUAAAGACACAUUAGAAUUAUGAGCUGACGGUAAUGAGAGAAGACCAGUAAAAGAAUUACCCAUCAAGAUGAGAUCUUCUAACUUUGUGUUGUUUUCCAACAACCAAGUUGGGACUGUUCCGCUGAAAUUGUUUAGAGAAAGCUCCACAUAUCUCAAAUCAUAUUGGUAGUAAAGGAAGGUAGGAAGUUCUAGAUUGAGUUGUUGAGAUGUAAUGCACUUUGACAAACUGAUGAUUUUCAAUUGAAACUUUGGGACUGAGGUAUAAAAGGAAGGUUGCAUUACCAUCUUGUUUUCAUCACCCAAAAGGACUUUGAGGUUUGAAAGGUUUGCAAAUGGUGCGAAUGACAGUGGAAUUUGAAAAUGGUUUCCUGAAAUAUAUAACUCACGAAGAGAUGUCAAGUUACUAAAACAAUGAGGAAGCAUCCCCUCAAGAGCAUUCCAACUCACAUCCAAUACUUCAAGGUUCCUUAGAUCACACCAUCCUGAAAAUUUUAUAAAUUCAUUGAAGAUAUUGUAAUUAAAAAAAGAAAAUGAAAUAUUAGAUAAAUAAAUCUCACAAAGAAUUCGAUUUUCUAGAAGUUAUAUUUGAAAAUUUAUGGAGUCAUAAUUUGUGCCUUAAAUUAGUUUACCUUGAUCAGGUAAGGAACCAAUAAGUUGACAGUGGGGUAAAGACAGAGUUUUAAGAGAACUGAAUACUCCAAUGCCAUGUAAAAUGUUGGUGUUGAGACCAGAAAAGUCAAAAUAUAAUUCCUCCACAUUGCUCGACACAUUUAAUUCUAAAGGAUGAGAAGAGGUAUUCGAUGUUAAUCAAACGUAAUCUGUUUUGGAAAAGAAAAUAAUAACUUUCACUUACCUUGAGUAGUCAGAGUCAUGUUCAGAUAACUCUCUUGUAGAUAAAAGGUUUUAACUGAUGAAAAAACCACCACUAAAUUUUGUAAUGGAAUGCUUCCAUAGGUGAAAACGUGAUCAAGGUAAACAACUUUCAAAUUCUUCAAUCCCUUAUUUUCUGUAAGUGAAAGAAAUAUACUUAUUCAAACAAAAUACACAAAUAUUUGAAAAUUGCGAUACUUGAAUUCCUAAUCAUAGUACAAAUGCCUUAAUUGCCAUCUCCCACUUCAAUUUUCACCAAACCUAUAUUAUUACUAUCUUCAACUUCAAUUUUAUUUUCAAAGGAUUGAAGCUAAACCUCUCAAUUAAAAUAUAAAACAAUUACCAUUAUUAUAAAAUCUGAGAAUUUAAACUAAAUACUGAAUAGAAAAAGUUUAAUUAAAUGAUACCUUUGUGGAUCACAAAAUCUUUCAAUUCAUUAUAGCUCAUAUCUAGUUCCCUUAAAUUAAUAAAUGCAUCCAAAUCUGGAAAAAGAAAAAAUAACAAAUAAACUUCAUUAUAUCGUCUUAACAGAGUCAAAAUUUUAGCAUCAAAAAACUAAUAAUUUUACCUUUCGUAUCUAUUGAUCCUUUCAAUUGAUUGCCACUUAUGCUCAAAUAUUUCAAAUUUGAAAGCUUGUUAAGGGAUGCAAAUACACUGCUAUUGAAGAGAUUUCGAUCUAAAUUAAGCUCUUCUAAGUGGGUCAACUUGAAUUUUCUCCCACCAUCUACAAAAGAUUUACAUAAUUUCAUCACUAAAAAAGAUUAAUUAUAUGUAAGAACUUAGCUAAGUCAUCAAAUAUAAAUGCAUACCUUUGAAGGAUUGAAAGCUUUCAAUUUGAUUCUCUCUUAAAUCAAGUUUCUUCAAGUUUGUCAAAUUAUUCAAUCCUAUAUGUGUCCAAGUUCAAUUCAAAUAAGCAUUUUGUUAGUAAUUUUAAAAUCUAAUAAAAAACUGAAAAAGUAAGCCUAAAGUUUUAAAUGAAGAUUAAAAAUCCCUAAAUGGGGUGCUGAUGUGCUUGACAAAGGGAUUUGCAAAAGUUGGUGGCCAUUAAACAUGUCUUGGUAAAUUUGUGAUGCGGUGUGUUUGUGAACAAUAAAGUCUCAUUGUUGAGUCGAAUUCUGUUACUAAAAUCAAAUUGAUUUUAAAGUUAAAAAGAAACAGGUAAAAUCAGUCUACCUUGAAUAUGAAACAGCCUUCCUUCCAACUGAUUAUUGCUCAAACUUAAAGUCUUCAAGGAUGAAAGAUUUCUCAUAUGGGAAAAAACGUUAUUCUUCAAAAAAUUCCCAGUUAAAAUAAGAGUUUCCAAUUUGGUGAGUCUUGAAAGCCAUUGGAAACCUGAUAUAUAUUAAAUUACUUGUUAAUUGUUUUUGCUUUCUCAGCUAUAUGGAAAUUUUACUAAAGCAAAAGCAGAGUUACAUUACAGGGGAUAAAAAGAAUUGAAAACCACUGUCAAACGCCACAAUACAAAUAAAAACUAACACCGGGACAUACUUAAAUUACCUCUUGAAUGACUUGAUCCUUCAAUUCGAUUGUAUGAUAGAUAUAAAUAUCGAAGAGAUGAAAGCUCACUCAGAGAUAGCAGAAUGCUAUCAUUCAAGUAAUUGUAACUUAAGUCAAGCAUCUCCAAAUUAUUCAAUGUGGAUGAUAGCUUUCCAAAACCUGCAAGAGUGUUCUUUUAAAUAUAAACAAUGGGUUAGUGGUUUUUCUUCAAUAAAACAAAAUAAAUAAUAAGUAAUUGUAAAAUAACAGUGAGUACUUAUGUUGGAAACUUGUACGUAGUAGAAUAAUAAUAUAUGAAAUUAAGAGUAAAUUAAACGCACGACCUUCAUUUUCAACACUACCAGCUAUGGCAUUUCCUGAUAAAUCAAGACUCUUCAAUUCCACAAAGGGAAGAAACAAAGAGGCACUGAGAUAUCGAUCUUUUAAUUUUUCUCCCAGAAACCAUCCUUCAGAAUGAAGGGAGAGUCCUAUGAGUCGCUUAGUGGUGGUGUUGCACUCAACACCUUUCCAUUCACAACAAUCUAAAUUCUUCACUUCAUCCCAACUGCUCAGAUCAUUAUAAUGAUUAUUGAAGAAAGGUUUGAGAUGCAAGAGAGCAAUUCUUUCCUGCUCCAAACAAGCAUUAGUAGUGCACCACCUGCAUCCUUCUAACAGCAGCAACGCACUCAUCACCGCCAUCCUCAUAAACCACACCCAUUUGGACUCCAUCAUCUCUCUCUUUUCACUUCUCUGUCAACUCUAUGCUACUUUUAACUUCUAUAUGAAUAUAAUUUGAAGAAGCCUUGAUCAAAACUUCCUUAUUUAUAUACCAGCAGGGCCUAUGACCUCCCCACUAAUUCUCAGUCAUACAAAAUAAUAUAUAAUAAAUUGCAUUCCCUUUGCUUGAUCAAUUCUUGACUUUGGGUCAACUCUUAGCUUAAAUACAUGGCUAAAUUUAUUUUAGGUUAUACAAAAUAAAUGGAGCAAUGUGAGGAGAUAAGUUCCAAGUUCAAUCAAUUAAAAAAAAAAAGAAAAGAAAAGUGUAAGGGAACAUAAAAUCAUGUAGUUGGGGUUAUAAAAUUCAUGUGGCUUUCUUGUGAAUUUCAUUUAUGCCUUUCUUACACUUAUACAAAGUUAGUCUUGACUUCGCUUUAUUAAUGGAAAUUUUAGGUCUUCAUUUUUUUUUUAUUCAUAGACAUAAUAUUUUUUUAUUAUUUAUGUUUGUUUUAUGACCUAUGUUUGAGGUUUAUGGAUUUUCGCUUUCAACAAUGUCAUCUCAACCGUUCAAACAUACACUUGCAGGUAAAAUAAUACUUUUUAAAAUCACAAAUAUUUAUAUUUCUAUGCAUAAAUUACAAUAUAUAAAAUAUAAAUGCUUUCUUGCUUAAGAUACUAAUAAAGUAAUUAACAAAGUAAUUAUUAUACCUAUAAUUAUUCAAAAUGCCACUUGUUAUCUAAUAAAGUAGGGUGCAAAUGAGACAUCCGUACCCGCAAGCUAUUCGAAUUCGACUCAAAAAAUUUUAAACUUGAUUCAGUAAUUAUUGAGCCGAGGCUGAGCAACUCGAGCUAUAGGUCGGUCCGAAUUCUAGCUUAGUAAUACUUGACUCGAAUAGUUCAAGAACCUUAUCGAACUUUUCAUAUUUUUAUAUUCUUAAAUUAUAUUAUUGCCCUUAAUAUAUAUUAUUAACCCUAAGUUUAAUUAUUGAGGCGAGCUCGAGCUCGAGUACAAAAUUGAUAAACGAAUUUAAUUUUGAGCUUAAAAAUAUAUGUUCAAUCAAGAUUGAAGUGAGUAUCAAGCUUUAAAUUUCAAAUCAAACUUAAACUUAAUAGUAUUUGAGCUCAAAUCAAUUCAAUUACACCCUACAAUAAAAUAUACCAACAAAACCUACAUUCCAUAUUUGCUUAAAAACUUUGCUAUAAAUUUUAUAUAUGUGUGUGUUUAACGUGACUUCUUUGUGAGUUCCAUAUAUGUCCAACUUGAUGACUAUGAAAGUUCCUAUGGUGUAAAAAGUUUUAGUUAUGUGGAAAAAUAAGCUUUUUUAUUCACACGUUUAAUAUGCUUACUUGUGACGGUCAUUUCGGGCUUGACAUCAAUUUUCAAAAAGUUGUAAUUGGUGGAAAACUUAGGUCUUUUCACUCGCUUUUAUGAUUCUUUUUACAUGAUAUUACAAUAUAAAAUAGUGAAAUUAAAAUUAAUUGAAAUACUGACAAAUUUGAACCCAUGUAAGUCUAGGCAUAAAUUUCACUACUGAUCUAAUUUCUUGAUAUUUAAUUAAUUAACAUAUAUACUUUCAAUUAUAAGAAUUGAAACAUAACUUUCAAGUCAAUUGGAUUAUGCCCCUCUUACACUUCAAAAGAAGUAGAUUUUGAACUCAACAUGAACCUGUGAGAUUUCAUACCUAAAAUAUAGGUAUAAGGUUUCAAUUCAUGGAAAUGUUGGAAGUCUUGGAAAUUUCUUAGUCUCCUUUCUUUGGAUGUUUUUGAACAAAAAUGUUUUAAGUCUUUUUCGAUGCUAAACUUCUGAUUGGUCGUCGGUUCACUGACCCUUUGGUUCAAAGCAAUAUGAAGCAUUGGCCAUUCAAGGCCAUUGCUGGUCCUGGUGAUAAGCCAAGGAUUGUACUACUACAGAUUUGAAUAUUUGUACACAUUAGAUCGGCUCUUUGUAAAUUUAAAUCUUCUAAUUCGGAUAAUAUUCGAAUUUAAAUAUUUUAAUUACUAUCCGCAAUAGAUUAAAAACAAAUCAAUCCUUGGAUAUCCACAUACAGAUUAUGCAAUACAGAUUGACCACCUUAUAUCUAUGUAUGCUACUACAAAACUUGCACCAUUAAAAUCUCAAGCUGGUAAUUGGAGCUUCAUAUUGUUCUCCCAGCUGCAGGCAUAAUAAUCAAAUAAGUUGCAAUCAUUAACAUAGGUAUGAAGUGCUUUCCAGAGUGUGAGAAAGGGGGGUUACCUCUGGAAGUAAUAGUAGUAGAAAUCAGCAUAAAGCAAUGUCUGGACAAGACCGCAAAUCCAAGCUGAAAGGCAGCAAUCAUGUAAACAAGGUGUUAGAAAUAACACAUAUUGCAUAGAAUAUAACAACUGUGUUUGCGAAAAGCUUUCAUCUCUACUUAAUUGUCCAAACCGAUCCAUAUGAACUUGAUGCAUGUGAAACCUGCAUCUAAAAUUAAUUGUUAAAAAUCUCCAUUAUAUAGGGAAAAAAAGCAUCACAGAAGCUACAGUAAUUCCAAUUUAGCAUUAAUAAUGAAUAGCCACGUUUAGAAGAUGGCCUUUGCACAAAAAAAGUAAAGCAAUGAGGAGACCUUUCAGCAAUUGGUGACUGUAACCACAAUGUAAUCCCGCAGAGCAAAUAAGCAAAAAGAAAAGGAAUCUAUUGGGCAUUAGGAAAUUUAUCAGAUCACUCCAUAAAAUUUUGGACACGAUUAUAUUUCACAUGGGAAAAAAAUAACCUAAGAUACUACAAGUUCUAUGGUGGAGUUUUGUUGAAGUUGGCCUGCAUGCAACACAUGUAGCACAUGAAGCAGCCAAAAAAAGCAGAACAAGCUGCUCGAGCAAUGUAUGUUGCAGUUGAAGCCAAUGUUGCUGAUUUAGUUACUUCAAAUUGAUGUUUUGUAACUUAGUUUUAAUAGAACUAGGUUGGUAAUGUACCUUUGUUGACAUUUGAGCUGAUAAAUCAGCUUUACCAAGUGUGCAAGUAUAGGCUAUCAAGUUUCAAUGUAAUUAGUGGAGUUAAGUAAGAGUUUAGGUGAAAUUUGCUUAUUUUAAUCAGCUUAUAUCUGGUAUAUAUAUUGGCAUUAUGCCAUUCUUGAAGGUUAAUGAGAAAUACACAACUUCUUAUUCAUUUUUCUGGUUCAUCGCUCAAGCAUUUUUUUUCUUUUCUAAAGUCUUUAGUCCGAUUCUGCUUUGUUUGCUCAGUAAGACAUUGAGCCUUCAAGCUCAAGUCUCUAUUAAACUCAUUCAAACUAAUUUUCUAAGUUCCAACAAUUGGUAUCAGAGUAGUAUUCUUAGUGACCUGUCAUAUUUUUCAACCAUUAAAGCCAUGUUUUCAUCCGGAUUCUCUCCAGCAGCACCACCAGUCUUCAAUGGUGAAGGUUACCACAUAUGGGUGGUCAAAAUGAAGACCUACCUGCAAGCAUUCGAUUUGUGGGAGGUGGUCAACUCAGAUGUUGAACCAGUACCUCUGAGAGUCAAUCCAACAGUGGCUUAGAUCAUGCAGCAUGCUGAUGAAAGAACCAAAAGGCAUAAAAUUAUGUCUUGCAUUCAAAACAGUGUGUCAGAUGUGAUAUUCAUAAGGAUUAUGGCUUGUGAACCACCAAAGCAGGUUUGGGACAAGCUGAAGGAGGAGUUCCUAGGGAUUGAAAAAACAAGGCAGCAACAGCUACUGAAUUUGAGAAGAGAUUUUGAAAACUUGAAAAUGAAGGAGGAAGAAACUAUCAAGCAGUACUUAGACAGAAUCAUGGUUGUGGUAAACAGCAUAAGACUACUUGAAGAACAGUUCAGUGAAGUAAGAAUUAUGGAAAAAGUGAUCUCAACCUUACCUGAGAGGUAUGAGGCAAAGAUAUCAUCCCUUGAAGACUCGAGGGACCUGACCAGCAUCUCAUUGACAGAGCUGAUUAAUGCUAUUUAUACUCAAGAGCAAAGGAGAGCUAGUAGACUGGAAGAGCACCAAGAAGGUGCCUUCCAAGCCAAAACCAGACCAGCCUCAAGUUCCUUUGCCUACAAAGGCAAGAAAUCCUGGAAAGACAAGCCUAAGUCAAAUGGUGCAAGAAGAAGAGAUCAACCUUGCAGACAUUGCAAAAGGCCUGGUCAUUUAGAGGCAAAUUGUUUGUAACACCCCCUAGCCGUAUCCAUUGCCGAAAUAGGGUACGAGGCAUUACCAGAGUUUACUGAACAUUUUUAGAUAAUUCUGAGUCAUUUAUUAUUAAUAUUUUGAAAAUGAUCAUAACGUCUCUCUAUUGGGCCUACGAAGUCCCAAAAAUACAUUAGAAACCAACCGAAAUUAAAUCUGGAUCAUCAAAGAAAAAAUUUCACAAAAUCUUAAAUUUUAUUUUCAUCUAAGUACUUACUAUUUCAAUGCUCCUUAUAAUUAAUCAUGUUACCAUUCAAUCAAUAGCUUGACACUUGACUAAGCGUCAAACAACAUCAUUAUUAGUAUACUUGCACAUAUUUCAUCUAAAUUCAACAUUGAUAUACUUAUUUUCUCGACAUAUCGCACUUGAGUUUAAUAAUAGUCUCAACUUUCGUAAUUUCCUUGUAUCAAUAUAUCAAAGAUAAUCAUAUAUGUACAUGUCAUGAAACAUACCAUUCUCUUACCGUUUCUUCAUAAACAUAUAUCAUUCAUUUCAUUAUAUCAAUAUUCAUGCUCCAUCAUUUCCAUAUAUUUUAUGUAUAUUUAUUCCGAUAAUAUUUAUAUCAAACUUAAGAUAAAUUAUAUUCCAUGUACUUAUACUUAUUUCGUUUAUCUAUCUUCAUAAUUAUUUCAUACAACUAUUUUGUACAUAUAUUUCCAUAUGACCAGUUCUUGUAAACAUUUCACACAACCAUUUCAUGUAACCAUUCGUCAUCUAAUACAUAUUACCUGAAUAUCAAUUGUUUAAUAGAUAUCAUAGCGUCUCCCAUCCACGGUCUUAUUUAUCUUUGACAUGAUGCCAUAGUGUCUUUCAACUAUGGUCUUACUCAUUUUUUGUCAUGUUGCCAUGGUAUCUUUCAACCAUGGUCUUAUUCUUUUCAUGUCACGUUGCCAUGGUAUCUUUCAACCAUGGUCUUACACAUUUCAUAUCAGGUUGCCAUGGUAUCUUUCAACCAUGGUCUUACACAUUUCAUAUCAGGUUGCCAUGGUAUCUUUCAACCAUGGUCUUACACAUUCCCGCGAACCUCACCUUUACAGUGGGAUUACCAGUCCAGGCUAAAUCCCCUGUAAUAUAAACUCAUAGAGUAUUGUCGAGAUUACCAGUCCAGGCUAAAUCCCCUGCAACGAUAAUUACUCUAAUGAGCUUGGAUCUGAAUUACCAGUCCAGGCUAAAUUCAGACCCUAAUUCGGAUUACUCGUCCGGGCUAAAUCCAUUUUCCACAUAUUCUUCGGGAGGGCUAUAUCAGGAUAGGAUCAUCCGUCCGGGCUAGAUCCUUUUCACCGUCAAUUCCUUCUCAGAGAUCCAUCAAAAUUUCCUUUCAUUCAACUGGGAUUUCUUCCUCUUUUAUCAAAUAUAUCAAUGUUUCAUCAAUUUUCAUACAAUGAACAUUCAAAUCAUAUUCACAUUAAUAAUAUACAUUUCAAGCAUUUAAGUUACACGAACUUACCUCAUUGCUUGUUUGUGUUUAUAAUUUCAUUAAUCCGAUAUCUUUUCUUUUCCACGAUCAAGUCUCGUAUUUGAGUCGUUUGAAUCUUUAUAAAUAAAUUUGAUCAUCAUUUUCAUUCAUUUCAUAUUCUAAUGCAUUUAAUUAAUGCUCUAGGAAAAGUUACCAUUUUGCCCCUAAACUUUUAAUUAAUGACGAUUUCAUCCUUAGGGGCAGGAAAAUAAAAUUCUUGCAAUUUAAUACUUAUUUCCAGCUAUUAUUCUUAUACAUAUUGAAAACAAUCCAUGAAUUCUAUAAAAUAUCAGAAUUUUUCCAUAAUUUCAACACUUUUCAAUUUAAUCCCUAAAACAUGUUUUCCCCCCAUCUUGAACUAAAUUAAUAAUUUCAUUCAAUUUUGUAAUUUAAAUAAUAAAAUUAAUCCAUUUCAUGCAAUUUGGUCAUUUUUGACAUUUUUACAAAAUUGCCCAUAAAGUUUUACUUUUAUUCAAUUUAGUCCCUGAGCCUAAAACAUGCAAAUUAGUCAUGCUAGAUGAAUAUUCAAACAUAUUUUCCUCCUCCUCCUCUCCAUUCCACAUCCUUAGUGUAUAAAACACACUUGUAAGUAACAUUAUCUAUAAUUUUUAUUAUUUACUUUUAUGAAUAUUCAAGCUGUCCAUCUGUGUCAUAGUGACUAAAUUAUUUAUAUCUGGAGCUAUAGAAUUCCAAUUUAAGAUAAAAUAAUUUUCCCUAAAACUAGACUCAUAUAUAUUCUUACCAUAAAAUUUUUAGAAUUUUUGGUUUAGGAAAUAAGUAUAUUUUAUUCUUUAAAGUUACCCUUGUUCUGCUGUCUGACAGUUUUGACCCUUCUUCACUAAUAAUUAAUUAUCUCCUCGUAUAGAAUUCGAAUGAUGUUUCUGUUUAUUUCUAUUUAAAAUAGACUCAUUACGAAUUCUAAACAUAUAAAUUUAAGCUCAUAAUUAUUUUUAUUCAAGUUUUUAUGAUUUUCCAAAGUCAGAAUAGGGGAACCCGAAAUCAUUCUAACCUUAUCUCACAAAAUUCAUUAUAUCUCAAGAUUUACAAAUCCAUUGCUUACAUUGUUUCUUCUAUGAAAAACUAGACUCAAUAAUCUUUAAUUUUUUUUGUUUUUAUUCUUCUAAUUCGAUUUCUGUAAUUUAUGGUGAUUUUUCAAAAUUAGACUACUGCUACUGUCUAAAACUAUUUUAGUGUAAGAUAUUAAUUACCAUGUUUAUAACACCCUUAUUUUCUUUUUCUACACUAUUUCUCAUCACUUUCUCUUAUUUUCUCUUCACUAACAUAUCAAGAACAUAGGACCUUAUGUAAGAAAACUAUACUAUAACAUUAUUUCCAUGCUUUCUCAAUAAUAACAACUUAAAAAUAUAUUAAAAUCUUGAUGUACUUACCUUGUUUUAUUGAUUCCAAUCUUUAAUUUGAUUUUCUCUCUCCUCCAGCUUCUAUUCCUUGAAUUCAAUUUGACAUUCUAAAUCCCCAUAAUCUUCUUAACAUUUUUCUCUCUUGGUAGCUAUGGAAAUUCUUUUGAUUUCUAGGUGAAAAUAGUGAAUUUUUGGUAGAAGGAUCAAAUUGUAAAGAAAAGAAAACUUUCUUUCUUUUUUUCUCUUCUAACGUUUGCAUGCAUGGAAAGAUGAUGAGAAUUCUUCAUCAUUCCUUCCUUAUAUACUAAACAAAUAAUAAUAAAACAAUAAUAAAUAUCUCAUUAAAAUAUUAAUAAAAUAAUAUUUAUCUAAUUAAUUAAUUUAAAAUAUCAUCAACAUAAUCAUUACAUUCUAGAAUUCUCUCUCUUACUUAAUUGACCAUUUUGCCCUUCAUGAUCUUUUAGAAUUCCAUCCUUGAGUUAUCACUUAAUUUGGUAAAAUUGUCAUUUAGUCCCUAAUAAUUUUUCACCUAUUCAGUUUGGUCCUAAUUCAUCCAUUUUCCUUAGUUUCUAGAUCAUUCUACCCUUAAAAUAUUUGCACUAUUGGUCCUUCAACUUUUUCAUAUUUACACUUUAACCCCUCAAAAAUUGAGUAUUUACUCUUGUGCAACAAGACUUUUCUCAUCUUUACAAUUUAGUCAUUUCUUGAAUUAAUAUAUCAUAAUAUACUUCCCAAGGUUGACAUAACUCAAAAUUUUCUUUUUUUGCUACUUUAUUUUCUUAUUUUACUAUAUCGAGGAUAAUACUUACUGUAAAAAUUUUCGGGGUAUUACAUUGUUGGUUCAGGCUAGAUUUGUAAUGCCAAGUCUACAAAAAGAUGGGCCGUGUUGAGAAGGUUUGCAAAAACAAGGGCAAACCAAGACAAAAUCAACCCCAGCAGCCAAGUGUUGAGGCUCGAAUAGCAGAAGAAGGCAGUGAUCAUGAAGAGCAAGUUUUUAUAAUCUUUUGCUCAACUGUCAAAGAAAAAGUCACAAGUGGAUGGCUGAUAGAUAGUGGUUCCACAAACCACAUGAUCCCUGAUGCUGCCAUCUUCAAGUCAAUUGAUAGAAGCUUCAAAACAAAGGUGAAGGUUGGAAAUGUUUCACUUCAUCAAAGCAGAAGGCAAGGUAGAUGUGCUGAUAAACACUCCCAUAGGAAAGCUUGUUUCAAAUGUCCUAUUGGUGCCUGAAAUUGAUAGAAACCUACUCAAUAUAGCUCAAUUGCUAGAAAAGGGCUACUCAGUGGUGUUCAAAGGUAAGGAAUGCCAGACUACUGAUCCAAGUGGAUCCAAACUCAUGUCAGUGACCAUAGCUGAAAAAAGCUUUAUUGUUGACUAGAACAAAGACUUAAAUAGUGUCUACACAGCUAUUUCAGAUAAAUCCAAGCUAUCGCACAAAAGGCUUAGCCAUGCUAACUACAGAUCAAUGGCUUAGCUAACCAAAGAGGACCUGGUUGAAAACUUUACUGAUUCAGUUGAGAAAAAGGAGGCUUGUGAAGUAUGUCAGCUAGGAAACCAAAUCAGAAGUAUGUCAGCUAGGAAAGCAAGUCAGACUUCCAUUCCUUUCAAACAAAGCCUGGAGAGCUUCUGAAAGACUGCAACUUGUGCACACCGAUAUGUGUGGUUCCAUGAAAACUCAGUCUCUAAAUGGCAGCAGGUAUUUCAUCUUAUUCAUUUAUGAUUACUAAAGGCAUUGCUGGAUUUACUUCUUGAUGCAUAAGUCUGAGGUAGCCUCAAUGUUUUGAAAAUUCAAUGCUACAACAGAAAUAGAAUCAAGAUGCAAGCUUAAGACUCUGAGGUCUGAUAAUGGAACUGAGUACACAUCAGCUCAGUUUCAAUCCUUUUGUGAUGAAGCAGGCAUCAAACACCAACUCACCAACACCUACACACCUCAACAGAAUGGUGUUAGUGAAAGAAAGAACAGAAGUUUCAUGGAUAUGGUCAGAUACCUGUUGUUUAAAAAGAAUUUGCCCAAAACUUUGUGGGCUAAAGCAGUCAACACUGUUGUGUACGUCCAAAACAGGCUCCCAACUAAGGCUUUGGCAUAGAAAACUCCAUUCAAGACCUAUAUUGGUUCAAACUAUCACUGGCUCACCUGAGGGCCUUUGAAUGCAUAUGCUAUGCAUAUAUCCAGUAGUGAAAAGAGAUAAGUUGGCCAAGAAGGCUCAACCUGGCAUCCUGGUAGGCUAUAGCAAUCUAAAGAAAGGUUACAGAAUCUUGGAUCCCUCAUUCAACAAAGUGCUUGUAAGCAAAGAUGUAGUGUUUGAUGAGAAAUCAAGUUGGAAUUGGGAGAAGUAUGAACCAGAGAUAGUCUCUGAAGUUUUGUGACAGAUAAGACUGAACCUGAUCAAAAUGGUCUUGAAAUGGACAUUGAUGAUGAACCAGUCAAGGGCACUAGACCAUUGGCUGAGAUUUAUGAAAGAUCUCAAGUGGCUACAGUUGAAUCAAACUGUUUUGAAGAGGCUGAAGCUCAACAAGGCUAGAAACAGACAAUGGCUGAUGAAAUUAGUAUGAUUGAGAAGAAUCAGACCUGACAGCUAGUUGAGAGACCAGCAAAUAGGAAGGUCAUUGGGGUGAAAUGGGUGUUACAAGCUAAGCACAAUGCUGAUGGAAGUUUGAAAAAACUAAAAGUAAGGUUGGCUGUAAAAGAAUUUAGCCAAAAAUAUGGCAUAGACUACUUUAAAACCUUUGCAUCAGUGGCUAGACUUGAUACAAUUAGGCUGCUAGUUGCCUUAACUGUACAAAAUCAGUGGAAAAUACAUCAACUCAAUGUAAAAUCAGCAUUCCUCAAUGGUUUCCUUGAAGAAGAGAUUCAUGUUGAACAACCUUAGGGUUUUAAAGUGGCUGUUGAAGAGUCAAGGUGUACAAACUGAAGAAAGUCUUGUAUGGCUUAAAACAGGCACCAAGAGCCUGGUAUAGUAGGAUCAAUGGCUACUUAGCUAGCUUUGGAUUUGAAAGAAGCAUAAGUGAACCUAUCUUAUAUGUGAAGAAGCAAGGUAGUAAAACUCAACUGAUAAUGUCUUUAUAUGUUGAUGACCUGCUAGUGACAGGAGGAGAUCAAGCAAUGCUGACAGACUUCAAAUGCAAAAUGCAACAAGUGUUUAAGAUGUCUGAUUUAGGAAAAAAUGUCUUACUUCCUUAGUAUGGAAGUGACUCAAACACAACAUGGAAUCUUCCUAAGUCAGAAGGCUUUUACUUCUAAAAUUCUGAGCAAAUUCUCCAUGCAAAAUUGCAAGGCAACAAGUACACCAGUUGCCAUUGGAGAGAAACUAUCGAGCCAAGGUGACUUUGAGCAAGUUAGUGAAUCUAUCUAUAGGAGCUUGAUAGGUUGUUUGCUAUAUCUGACUGCCACUAGACCAGACAUUAUGUUUGUUGUGAGUUUACUUUCAAGAUUCAUGCAUUGCUGCAAUGAAAAACACCUUCAAACUACCAAAACAGUGCUCAGGUACAUCAAAGGUACACUGAGCUAUAGAAUGUUGUUUAGCAAAGCUGAAAGAGUGAAAUUGGUUGGUUAUGCUGAUAGUGAUUGGGAUGGUUCGAUAGAUUAUAUAAAGAGUAACUCAGGGUAUGUUUUUACUCUUGGUUCAGCCAUGUUCUAUUAGAGUUCAAAGAAGCAAUCUGUUGUUGCUCAAUCGACAGCAGAGGUAGAAUAUUGUCAGCUGCAAGAGCUGUCAACCAAGCUAUUUGGCUAAGGAAAAUCUUGGCUAACUUGAAUCUUCACCAAAGGGAAGCAACAAAGAUUAAAUGUGACAAUCAAUCUGCUGUUGCAAUUGCAAAGAAUCCAAUAUUUCAUGGAAGAACAAAGCACCUCAAGAUUAAAUUUCACUUUGUUAAGGAGAUGGAACAAGCUCAAGAAGUGAAACUGAUUCAUUGCAGUUCUGAGGAUCAGCUUGCUGACAUCUUGACAAGCCUCUUUGUGUGUCAAGGUUCACGGAUUUGAGAGCUAAGCUAGGAGUAUGCAGCAUGCAAGCCAAGGAAGAGUGUUGAAGUUGGCCUACAUGCAGCACAUGUAGCACAUGAAGCAGCCAAAAAAAGCAGAACAAGCUACUUGAUUAAUGUAUGUUGCAGUUGAAGCCAGUGUUGCUGAUUUAGUUGCUUCAAAUUGAUGUUUUGUAACUUAGUUUUAAUAGAACUAGGUUGGUAAUGUACCUUUGUUGACAUUUGAGCUAAUAAAUCAGCUUUACCAAGUGUGCAAGUAUAGGUUAUCAAGUUUCAAUAUAAUUAGUGGAUUUAGGUAAGAGUUUAGGUGAAAUUUGCUUAUUUUGAUCAGCUUAUGUCAGGUAUAUGUAUUGGCAUUAUGCCAUUCUUGAAGGUUAAUGAGAAAUACACAACUUCUUUUUCAUUCUUUUGGUUCAUCACUCAAGCAUUUUUUUUUCUUUUCUAAAGUCUUUAGCCCAAUUCUGUUUUAUUUGCUCAGCAAGGCAUUGAGCCUUCAGGCUCAAGUCUCUGUUAAACUCCUUCAAACUGAUUUUCUAAGUUCCAACAAGUUUUCUAGUUCAUCGAAAACAAAUUAUAAUAUUUUGAAUUUUUGAAGAUUAUUUGGUAGUGUCGAAACCAUUUUUAAAGGGGUUUGAAAAACAGGGUUUGACUUUUUGAAAAACGAAAAUGGGAGUCGCCACUAACCUUUUUAGGUGUGAUUGGAUCACCUUUAUAAAACAUUUUGGUCUACGAAAUUCAAGAAAAUAGGUUCGGGAGUCGGUUACGCACAAGGAAGGAUUAGCACCCUCGUAACGCCCAAAAUUGGUACCGAAUUGAUUAUUUAUUGUCCUAAUGUCAAAAAUUUGAAAAGAUUUUAAAAUUUGAACAAUUUAAAGUUGAAACUUGAGAUUCUUUUGUUCCGAAAGUAUACAAACAUCACAUCCAGCAUGUUAGGACACGAUGUUUUAAAUCCUCGUAACUAAAAUUAUCUCAUGAUUUUGAAAACUUAUUAAAAAGGAUAUUUGGUUAUUUAGUCAAACGAAAAAAAAUCGCAACCCAGCAUGUUAGGGCACUAUUUUCCGAAUUUCUAAACACCAAACAUUGCCUUAUUUAAGAAAAAAAUUUCAAUUAAAUGAAAUAUAUUUUUUAAAACAAUGAAUAAUAUAGAAUUUAAUAAAAAAAUAAUUUGAUAUAAUACUAAAAUUAUUAAAAAAUAAAAUAUAAAAGAGAAUUAAAAAAUCAAGGAGAUAGGGAUUAAAUAAAAAAGGUUGAAAUCGAAGAUGAACAAAGAAUAAAUAAGAACAAACCGUAGAAAAUAAGAACGCAAGAGGGAGAGAAAUUUGAGUGAAUGUUCUCAAGAAUUCUUAUUGCUUCCCAAAACUCAAGUGUGUUACAAUGAAGGGAGAGGCCUCUAUUUAUAGUUGAGCCUCCCCAAAUCCAACGGUACAGAUCAAUUACAUCAACGGUUAAGAUUAAAAGGUAUCUACAAAUUAAAUCUCUAAGAUUACAAAAUCAUAUCUUCUAAGAUUGCAUAUCAUAUCUAAGAUUGUAUCAUAUCUAAGAUUGCAUAUCAUAUCUAAGAUUGCAUAUCAUUGAAGAUUAGAUUUCCAUAUAAGUCAAGAUUGUAGAUGGACCUUAAAUCUUUUCAAGUAAUGGGCCAUUCCAAUCGGGCCAAAUUAUAUUUGUAAUUCUGGACUGAACUUGGACUUCGGUUUUUUUUUGGGUUUAUUAUAUUUUUGUUUUUGGACUUAUUUCUGAGCUCGGGCAAAAUUGAGUGUCUACAGGUAGUUUUUUAGAGGGAUAAAUUUUCAUUUUUUCAAAACUAUUAGAGAUCCAAGGGAUAUUUACAUUAAUUUGGUAUUUGAGUUUUUCAAAAUAUCUGAGUUGUGAAAUUCAAAUUGGAUCGAACUUGAAAAAUCGAGUUAUUGAUAAGAGUUGAUUCGAAAAAAAAAUUAAAUAAUUCAAUUCAUUUAACUCGAAAUUUGAAAAAAUAUCAAUUUUUUUAAUAUGACUUGAGUUUUACUCGCCCCUAAGUUCAUGCGUUCACCGCCAUAUUAUGGCUAGGAGUUGACUCUGCCAUCAGCCAAAAAAAAUAUUUGAAAAUAUUGAUGAACUUAAAAUAUAUAUAUACCCACAUGAAAACAUACCGCCAAGGAUGCCAAAAUAAAAACAAUAUGUUGCAGUACUGGCCACUUUGGUUUUCCAUACUAAAAGGAUAAGUGUAUUUUUCAUAUUAUCCUACUAACUAAUUUGAAUAAAGUAGUUGUGAAGAUGAAUGUGCUAAAUAUUCUAUUAAUUAGUAAUUUGAAAGUAAAUAUUUUGAAGUAAAAAAAUGAAUGUAAUUCAAUAAAACAAUAAAAUUUUGAUAAUAUUUCGACAACCAAUUGCAGAGUGCUCCUAAUAGUUCAUCGUCUACAGAAUGGGGUUUGGAGUCUGGACACUUCUGUUGGAAUUCUCUAGGGCGAACCUUCUUGUUAUAAGCACGCAUCAUUCACUUUUGGUACAUUUGACCAUGGCGACUAGCUUUUAGCCUUUUUUCUUCAAUUAAGUUCAGCUGAUCAUAUCGAGACUGGAUCCAUUCUGUUUCGUCUAAAUUUAGUUCUGACAGCACUCGUAGAAAGGGAAUUUCAACCUCAAUAGGCAGAACCACUUUCAUUCCAUAAACCAAAAAGAAAGGUGUUGCCCUGGUGGAGGUUCUGACUGACGUUCGGUAGGCGUAGAGGGCGAAUGGUAAUUUCUCAUGCCAAUCAUUAUAAGUCUCAGUCAUUUUUCCCACGAUUUUCUUGUUGUUUUUAUUGGCCGCUUCCACCGUGCCAUUUAUUUUUGGGCGAUAUGGUGACGAGUUAUGGUGUUUGAUCUUGAAUUGGCUACAAACAUUCGUUAUUGUGCUGUUGUUCAAGUUCAGUGCAUUGUCUGAUAUGAUCCUCUCAGGCAUCCUAUACCGACAUAUGAUCUCUUUCUUUAAGAACUUUCUGACUGCGAAUUUCAUGAUGUUGGUGUAAGAAGUGGCCUCUACCCACUUAGUGAAGUAAUCGAUGACCACAAAAAUGAAUCGGUGUCCGUUAGACACCUUCGGCGAGAUCGACUCGAUGACAUCCAUGCCCCACAUGGAGAAAGGCCAUGGAGAAUUCACGACAUGAAGAGAUGAAGGAGGUACAUGAAUUUUAUCUCCGUAAUUUGGCAUUUAUGGCACUUUUUGGCAUAGCUGAUACAAUCCCCUUCCAUAGUGGACCAAUAAUAUCUGAAUCUCAUGAUUUGUCUGGCCAUUGUGAAACCAUUAGCGUGUGUUCCACAGACACCCUCAUGGAUCUCUUCCAAGAUUUACUUCGCCCCAACAGCGUCCACACACCUUAGCAGUACCUGAUCCUUCCUUCUUUUAUAUAGGAUCUUUCCAUCUAAGACAUAGUCACUGGCUAGCCUUCUCAAUGUCCUUUUAUCAUUCUCCGUCGCUUGGUCUGGGUAUUCACGAUUCCUUACAUAUCGCAAUAUAUCAUGAUACCAAGGGUUAUUUUCCUUUUCUUCUUCUUCCUCGAUGUUGUAACAAUGGGCCGGAGUCUCAUAGAUAUUCAUCUGGAUAGGCUUCACAUCCUCUUGUUUGUUCACUUUGAUCAUAGAAGCUAAAGUCCCCAAGGCAUCAGCCAUCUGGUUUUCAUUUCGUGGGAGGUAGCAGAAAGUGAUAUCGUCGAACUCCUCAAUUAGUUCCAGAACCAGCCUUCGGUAAUUGAUCAACUUAGGGUCUCUUGUCUCCCAUUCACCUUUGAGCUGAGAUCACUAAUGCAGAGUCCCCAUAUACUUCAAGCACAUUGAUUUUACGUUCAAUGGCCGCACGGAUACCCAUGAUGCACGCUUCAUACUAUGUCAUGUUAUUUGUGAAAUCAAAAUCCAAUUUACUAGUAAAGGGGUAAUGAUUUCCAUUCGGGGAUACCAGAACUGCCCCGAUUCCGUUACCCACAGCAUUUAAGGCUCUGUCAAAAUUCAGUCUCCAAGGAUGAUCUUCUUGAGAGUCUUCUUCAGUGGUUGCAACAUACAUUAGAUCUUCAUUUGAGAAAUCAAAGCUCAAAGGCUCAUAAUCUUCUAGAGCCCUACUGGCUAAAAAAUUUGCUAUUGCACUCCCUUUUAUAGCCUUCUGGUUCACGUAGACUAUGUCAAAUUUAGAAAGUAAAAUUUGCUAAUGAGCCAUUUUCCGUUCAAAGCAUUUGACUCCAUCAUGUACUUCAGAGGGUCUAGUUUUGAGAUGAGCCAAGUCGUGUGGUACAGCAUGUAUUGUCUCAGUCUUCGAGUUGUCCAAAUCAAAGCACAACACAAUUUCUUGAUCGACGAAUAUCUUGCCUCACAUUCAGUGAAUUUCUUAUUGAGAUAGUAUAUCGUUUUUUCUUUUCUUCCUGACUCAUCGUGUUGGCCUAACACACAUCUCUUGGAGUUUUCGAACACUGCCAAAUACAGUAUCGAUGGCCUAUCUAGGCAAGGUGGCAUCAGCACUGGGGCAUUGGACAGGUAAUGUUUGACCUUAUCAAAAGUUUUCUUGCACUCCUCAUCCCAUACACCUGGGUUGUGUUUCCUAAGGAGACGGAAUACCGGGUCAUAUUUGUUGGAGUUCAAAGAAGCAAUUUGUUGUUGCUAAUUGACAGUAGAGGUAGAAUAUGUGUUAGCUGCAGGAGCUGUCAACCAAGCCAUUUGGCUAAGGAAAAUCUUGGCUGACUUGAAUCUUCACCAAAAGGAAGCAAUAGAGAUUCAAUGUGACAAUCAAUCUGCUAUUGCAAUGGCAAAGAAUCCAGUGUUUCAUGGAAGAACAAAGCACUUCAAGAUUAAAUUUCACUUUGUUAAGGAGAUGGAACAAGAUCAAGAAGUGAAAUUGAUUCAUUGCAGUUCUGAGGAUCAGCUUGCUGACAUCUUGACAAAGCCUCUUUGUGUGUCAAGGUUCAUGGAUUUGAGAGCUAAGUUUGGAGUAUGCACAUGCAAGCCAAGGAGGAGUGUUUAAGUUGGCCUACAUGCAGCACAUGUAGCACAUGAAGCACAUGAAGCAGCCAAAAAAAGCAGAACAAGUUGCUCAAUCAGUGUAUGUUGUAGUUUUAGUCACUUCAAAUUGAUGUUUUGUAACUUAGUUUGAAUAGAACUAGGUUGGUAAUGUACCUUUGUUGACAUUUGAGCUGAUAAAUCAACUUUACCAAGUAUGCAAGUAUAGGUUAUCAAGUUUCAAUGUAAUUAGUGGAGUUAGGUAAGAGUUUAAGUGAAAUUAGCUUAUUUUGAUAAUCUUAUGUAUGGUAUAUGUAUUGGCAUUAUGCCAUUCUUGAAGGUUAAUAAGAAAUACACAACUUCUUUUUCAUUCUUCUGGUUCAUCGCUCAAGCAUUUUUUUUUCUUUUUAAAGUAUUUAGCCCAAUUCUACUUUGUUUACUCAGCAAGACAUUGAGCCUUCAAGCUCAAGCCUCUGUUAAACUCCUUCAAACUAAUUUUCUAAGUUCCAACAAGUUUUCUAGUUCAUCGAAUGCAAAUUAUAAUAUUUUGAAUUUUUGAAGAUUAUUUGGUACUUUUUUAGAGGGAUUAAUUUACAUUUUUUUUUCAAAACUAUUAGAGAUCCAAGAGAUAUUUACAUUAAUUUGGUAUUUGAGUUUUUCAAAAUAUCUGAGUUGUGAAAUUCAAAUUGGAUCGAACUUGAAAAAUCGAGUUAUUGAUAAGAGUUGAUUCGAAAAAAAUUAAAUAAUUCAAUUCAUUUAACUCGAAAUUCGAAAAAAAUAUCAAUCUUUUUAAUAUGACUUGAGUUUUACUCGCCCCUAAGUUCACGCGUUCACUGCCAUAUUAUGGCUAGGAGUUGACUCUGCCAUCAGCCAAAAAAAAUAUUUGAAAAUAUUGAUGAACUUAAAAUAUAUAUAUACCCACAUGAAAACAUACCGCCAAGGAUGCCAGAAUAAAAACAAUAUGUUGCAGUACUGGCCACUUUGGUUUUCCAUACUAAAAGGAUAAGUGUAAUUUUCAUAUUAUUCUACUAACUAAUCUGAAUAAAGUAGUUGUGAAGAUGAAUAUGCUAAAUAUUCUAUUAAUUAGUAAUUUGAUAGUAAAUAUUUUGAAGUAACAAAUAUGAAUGUAAUUCAAUGAAACAAGAAAAUUCCGAUUAUUUUUCUCCAACCAAUUGCAGAGUGCUCCUAAUAGUUCAUCGUCUACAGAAUGGGGUCUGGAGUCUGGACACUUCUGUUGGAAUUCAUGGAUUUUACUGAGCUUAAUGUGGGUUGUUAAUUGCCGGUGAUGCUACAGCUAGACCAAACUUAAUUUACCCCUUCGAUGACUUAAUGUGGAUUUUACAUGGGCCUUAUUUAAUGUUCUUUACCAUGUAAAUGAGCCUCAUGGAAAUCUUCAUCCUUAUCCUCAUAAAAAUGUGAAGAGAUUGAAUCUAUUAAAGAAGUUGAAUGCAAGAUGGGUUAAAAGAGAAUGUUUUCUCUCUUCAAAGAUGUGAACAGUGGCUAUUUUCAAGGAGGUCUUUUCUGAUUAACUUGGGAGUGCAUUAAUCAAAUGAUUAGAGGUUAUCUAGGUUACUUUGUAGUUAGGAAACAUAUAAAUAGGCAGUGCAUCGCAUAAUCAAUGGUGUUGGUUUUGUAUUGGGUAGAGAGUUGCAAAUUGUUAUUUUGUCUAAGUAAGAAUAGACAACCUGAUUUUUUCCCCGCCUGAUACUUGCGUACUAAAAUAUCCACUCUUUUUAUUAAUAUAUAUUUAAUGGUCAAACUUGAAUUCUUUUCUUCACAAUCAAAUUUAAUUUAUUACUAUGUGUCUUUAUUAAAUUUUUAAAUAAUUAAUUAAAGACACGUGACAAUAAGUUAAGUUCAUUUGCAAAAAAAAAAAAUCUACAAAUUAUAUUAUUUCAUAAAAUUGGGUAUUUUAAUCAAAUCAAUUCAAUUGUUUUAUUUUUCUCUUAAAAUACUUACCACAAAAAACUAUCAAUUUUGUUUUAAUAUUUUUAUAAUAAAAAAUAGAAACUAUGCAUAUAAUACAUUUAAUAUUAAUCUAUUUAUUAUAUUUCAAAUAUUAUAUUCUUUAAAAUCAUUUUUAUUUUCACACGCCAAAUGAGGUAAUUUUUAAAUUUAUUAGAACAUGCACAUUUCUCAUGCAUUGUAAAAUCAAAUUAAAUUUAUAUACGAAAUAAUUUUUUUUUGCUUGAAUUUGAUUAUAAUAUGUAAAUUGGUACUUAUUUUUUUCACAUGAGUACUCGAAUUUGGCUUUUAUCUCACAUUUUUUUUUUAAAAUUUUUGUAAUCUUGAUAAAAUAAGAUAAUGUGGACGAAUUAGGUUUAGAUACAUGACACACAUGUCAUGUCAUAUACUUGCCAUGUAUAUUAACAAAGGUACAAAAUUGGACUAAAAUAUGUGAUGGAAGUUAAAUUUAGGUAUCAAUGUGAACACAAAAUGUAUAGGUACCAAUUUAAAAAUUGAAGUCAAAUUGAAAUACGAAAAAAUACAUUUACCCUAUUUAUUUUAAUGUAAGACAUAUCGGCUUGCUAUGAUUCACAAAACCAUAUUAAAAUUUCCAUUUAACAUAAUAUUUAUAUUAAUUUAUGAUUGGUGAGAUGAUUCAAUUAUUAAAAAUAAAUAAAGUAGGAGAAAAAAAUAAAAUGAAUUAUUAUAAUAUAUAUAUAUAACACUCAUGGAGUACUGGACUAAAUCAUGAAACAAUAUUAAAUAUAAUUAAAACAUGCUAUAUUACAAAUAAUAAAAUUAUUACGUCUCAAAUACACAAAUAUGUCAAAAUUUACAUACAACGAUUUAUUAACACGUAAAAGUAUUUUAUAUAAAUGUAUAAAACGUACGCAAAAAUGAGGAGCAUUUAUUUUUUUAGUUGAAUUGGUAUAACACAUUAUGUAAAAUACAUUGUGAAUUAAAGCAUAAUACAAACACAAUAUCAAAAGAUAAAUCAUUUUUUAAAUUUGAUGAUUAUGAAUAAGUAUGUAAAAUAUAAUAUGAUACAAAAUAACUUGAGAGGAAAGAGGAAUAAAGAAUAGCAUUGCCUUUGAGGUUUUAAAAUAUUCAAGUUUUAGAUUCAAUUUUCUAGUUUUCUGAGCUUGAUUUUAGAUUAGAUUUCUUUUUUCAGUAUGUACUAGUGAACUUUUGAUGGUCAAUUUAAUUUACUUCAAAGAGCUCUUGCACAUACAUAAUAAUAGAUUAUGAUUAUACUUUAAAUUUCAUAAGAAAAAAAGGGAAAUAGAUAGUUGAAAAAUGAUAAAACCAAAAGAUAAAGUUAUAAACAAUUCAUCUCCAUAAAUAUAACAGCUUUUAUUCAAAAUGUAAAAAUUUGUUGGGGAUUUGGGACACUUUAUCAGGAUGAAGUAUGAACUUCAGUCUGGAACUUAAACAACAAUGUAAUGAAUCCGGAUGAAGAAUGAAGAAAACUUGAAAAAUUCAAGUCAAGAGAUUUGAGCUUGAAAAACAGAAUGAAAUUGAAGGUAAAGAAAAUAAGCAAAGGAAAUGGAGAGGAUAUUGAAUGAAAAAGAUGAUGAUUUUUCAUUAAUUAAACAUUGGCAAAUUGCCAUUACAUAUACCAAACAUGAGAUGAUCAUUACAAGUCAAAAUGCUACCUAAACAUUUACCUAACACCACUUAAAACAUUGAAAAUUGCUAAACUAGCUUGCACAAGUUGCUUUGCUGAAUUUUCAGUCAAUCAACAUCUAAAAAUACAUCAAAAGAUUUACCAACUAAGUUCUAAAAGAACUAAGUUACAAACUAUGAACUUAAAGUAACCAAAAUGAGUUGAAAUCGGACAGCAUCAGUAAGUUUCUCCUUCUGUCUAUUGGUCUCAAGCUGCAUGGCCACCUUUUCUGGUUCAAGAUGCAUACUUCACCCGGUAAUAAUACAACAGUUUGAUCUCUUUUCUUUACAGCUGGAUGCAUGGCUCGGGCUGCUUCAUGACACUUUGGCUUCUUCAGAUGCUGCAUGCAAGCCAACUUCAACAAAAUUAACAAAAUAUUCAUACUAUCCAACUUAACACACUAAAACAAUUAGGAGAGGAAAUGAAAUCACAACUUUUUUUUCUAAAACAAUACCUGCCAAAUUUAUUGAAAUCUUCAUUAUAGCUAAACACAUUGCCUGAAAAUGUGAUAAGCAAGAAAAUUGCCCACAUUUGAGUAGCGACAGGUGGUGAUGCAUUUCCCAAUUAGAGAAAACCUCGCUCUUCACCAGUCAGGAUUUAUGUAGAGGACAACAAAAAUUGUCAACGCCACAGCUACAUAAGAAACCAAAAAGCUCACACAAAAAUCAUAAGUAUCUAGAAAACCAUCUUCUCCUUUAUCUUCUGGUAGAGUUGAUAUCGUUGAUGGUGGUUUGGAACAACUUUUAUGCAGUAUAGCUCCACAAAGAAAAGGGUUUCCCUCGUAACUGCUUUCAAUAAAGGUCUCAAAUUGAGCUUUUGGUUCGAGAAUACUACCUGACAAGUUGUUGUAUGCCACGCUAAAAGCCUCCAAAGAGUUCAACUCUACCAACUGAUUGGGGAUUUCACCGCUCAAAUUGUUGUAAGAAAGGUCCAAACUCUCAAUUUGAUGAAGUUUUGAGAAUGACGAGGGUAUAACUCCAGUCAGCUUAUUGUGCGACAAGUUUAAAGAAUAGAUAAAUCAAUCCUGGUCAUAUAUGCAAGGAUGAUGCCUCCGUAUGAAUAGAACCCACUCUUUGUUGUGAACUCUAUUGCUUCUUCUAAGUAGCUGGAAGGAUAGGAAUAAACGCCGUGAAGUCGACCCAAUUUGUUCAUUAAUCCAUCCUCUGUUAAACUUGGCCUAUAUUCCCCACGAAAUAGAAUCUUAUUUCCAUCCAUUGAAAGGGUUAAAUUUCCCAAACAAGAAGGUAUAAUACCAGAAAACAUAUUUUGAGAAAGAUCUAUAAUGCUUAAAUAAUGAAACUUGCAUAACUGAACUGGAACUUCGCCAUGAAAAUGAUUAUCUUUCAAGAGAAGAACACUCAAUGUACAAAGUGUGCCAAUCCAUUUUGGAAUACUACCAGUCAAGUUGUUUCCUCUAAGAUCUAAUGUAACCAGUGAAGAGAUAUUAUAAAAAGCAAUUGGUAGAGGGCCACUUAGUCUAUUCCCUUGCAGGUGGACAUGCUUUAUGUUCAGGGUAUUAAAGCAGGACGGUAUAGAGCCAAAUAAAUUGUUUUCGGAGAGAUCCAAAAAUUCCAAGUCAUUUAAGUUGCAAAAUUCCAUUGGAAUAGAACCCUUCAAACCAUUUUGGGACAAAGCUAAUCCCUUCAAAAAGGACACAUUCCCCAUCCAUCUUGGGAGGUUUCUAUAAAACUUGUUAUUUCCGAGAUUGAUUUCCCUUAGUGAAGUUGGAAACUCAGAAAUAGUGACAUCAACAUUUGCCAUCUCUCCAGAAAAAUUAUUUCCAUCCAAAUAUAAAUUUGACAACCCAUUUGCAUUGAGAAUCACAGGAAGCACAUGUCCACCGAGAUUGUUGUUUGAUAGUCUCAAAAUGGUCAAUGAGCUUUUUGUGAUUAGCUCUUCAGGUACUCUUCCGGACAAUUGAUUGUUUGAUAAAUCUAAAAUCGAUAAAUCCUUCAUGCCACUCAAACAAGGAGGGAUAUCACCUUCGAAGGCAUUCUUGGAUAACAAUAAUUGCCUCAAUUGUGGAAAAGGUGAACAGACAUUGGUUGGAAUCUGACCUUGCAAUUUGUUUUGGGAUAUGUCAAUUAAAGACACAUUAGAAUUAGGAGCUGACGGUGAUGAGAGAGGACCAGUAAAAGAAUUGCCCAUCAAGAUGAGAUCUUCUAACUUUGUGUUGUUUUCUAACAAGCAAGUUGGUGUUGUUCCAAUAGGGUCGGAAGCGUGUAAAUUAUUGUACUAAAAAAUCACACAAAGUUCAAUUCCCAGGGAAGAGAGGUGGAUCACAUGGAUCUCUUAAAUACCAAGUCUUUCCUUAGACAGAAUAUCCCUUCUAUAGUAAUUUAAUAGCACAAUUAAAUACUACUAUUAUACCCUCAAAUAUUGAAAGAAAAAUAGGACAAGAAAGAACACAAGAGUUUUAACGAGGUUCGGUAAAUUAUACCUACGUCCUCGGGCACUAACACCAGAUGAUAACUUUACUAUCUCCAAAGUAUUACAAACAAAUAGAAUUCCUUAAGAAUUCUCAAAUGGGAGAAGAGAGAAAACUAAGAGAGAAAGAUUGGUUGGGAUGGUUGAAAUGAGAAAUGGUUAGGCCUAUUUAUAGUUGAGGUUCAGGGACUAACUUGCAAAUGGCCUAAAAAAUUAGGGACCAAAAUUGCAAUUAUCCCAUUCAACUUUAAACAGCUUGCCUAUCACUUUUUUUCUUUCGGUGCCACUUGCACCUUCCAUUUUUGACUUUUCAACAAUCUCCAUCUUGAAGAUUUGAUUAGGAUAAUCACAUCUUCACACACUUCCUUCAACUCCCCAAAUUCGAUAAAGCUAUCUUUUGUAGUGCCUCCAAAUGCGCUCUCGAGCGCCAUACACCUAAAGGUGCUCAAAUUCUCAGGAUGUUAAUCAAGUUCAAACAAUGAUUAAACUUGAUUGUUGUUACCACCUUGGUCAUCAUAUCUGCGGGAUUAUCUGCUGUCGGAAUCUUCUGAAGUAGAAUUUUUCCUUUUUCAAAGACUUCCCGCACAAAGUGAUAUCUUACGUCGAUAUGCUUGGUUCUUGAAUGAUAGACUUGAUUUUUCGCUAAAUGAAUAGCACUCUGACUGUCACAAUAUAAACUUAUGUGACUUUGAACAACUCCUAAGUCUUUCAACAAUCCAUUAAGCCAAAUAGCCUCCUUAACAGCUUCAGUAACUGCCAUAUAUUCUGCCUCUGUAGUAGACACAGCUACUGUAGACUGUAAGGUAGACUUCCAACUCACUGGGGCUUUCGCAAGAGUAAACAGAUACCCCGUAGUUGAAUGACGUUUAUCUAAAUCACCAGCAAAUUCGGAAUCAACAUAUCCAACUACAAACUGACCAAGUGCUUCAUCCUGUUCAAAAAUUAAACCAACAUCUACGGUUUUUCGAAGAUACCGUAGAAUCCAUUUCACAGCUUGCCAAUGUCCUUUUCCAGGAUCAUGCAUAUACCUGCUCACAACUCCAACAGCUUGUGAAAUGUCAGGCCUCGUACACACCAUCGCAUACAUCAAACUCCCAACUGCAUUAGCAUAUGGGACUUUCGCCAUAUAUUCUCUUUCUUCUUCAGUUUUCGGAGAUAAUUGAGCACUAAGUUUCAAAUGAGAAGCAAGUGGGGUACUUACAUGUUUUGUGUUUUCAUUUACACCAAAACAUUGUAAUACCUUUUUCAGAUAUUGCUUCUGAUUUAAACAGAGCUUGCCUCUCGGUCUAUCUCUACUUAUCUCCAUACCGAGAAUCUUCUUGGCCUUACCUAGAUCUUUCAUCUCGAACUCUUGAUUCAACUGAGCCUUCAGCUUAUCUAUCUCAUUUUGGCUCUUCGAAGCGAUUAACAUAUCAUCAACAUACAAGAGUAGAUAAAUGAAAGAUCCGUCAUGCAGCUUCUGCAAAUAUACACAAUUGUCAUAUUUGCUUCUUGUGUACUUCUGCCUUCUCAUAAAGCUAUCAAAUCGCUUGUACCACUGCCUCAGGGAUUGCUUCAAUCCAUAUAGCGAUUUGUUCAGCUUACAAACCCAAUUUCUACCACCAGCAUCUGUGUAUCCUUCGGGCUGAGUCAUAUAGAUCUCCUCUUCUAACUCACCAUGCAAGAAAGUCGUCUUAACAUCAAGUUGAGCUAGCUCCAAAUUCAACUGUGCUACCAAGGCCAACAAAAUUCUAAUGGAGGAAUGCUUCACAACAAGGGAAAAUACAUCAUUGUAGUCAAUUCCCUCCUUCUAAGCGUAGCCUUUAGCUACCAAUCUUACCUUGUAACGAAUAUCCUUCUUGCUAGGAGAUCCAUCUUUCUUUGCGAAUACCCACUUGCAUCCGAUUGCCCUUUUACCUUUCGGUAAUUGCGCCAACUCCCAAGUAUUGUUCUUCCGGAGAGACUGCAUUUCUUCAUCCAUGGCGCUUUUCCAUUUAUCACUUUCUAAGCUUUGCAUUGCUUCUUGAUAAGUGAUAGGAAUAUCAUCAACAACGGGAAGGGCGUAGGCCACCAUAUCAGUAAAUCGAGCAGGUUUACGAAUUUCUCUCCGUGGCCUUGCAACUGCAACUGGUUCUGGUGUACUUAGUGGUUCUUGGGUCAGAACCUCUUCAACCUCUAAUUCCUCCAUUGUGACUGGAGAAUUAGACUUAUUAACUGGGCAAAUCCCCAUCUGCUCAAACUCCACCUGUUUUGGAGUACACUCCACCUGCUGUGGAGUAUUGCUCGUCUGAAUAUCUUUAUCUGCUACCUUUUUCAAUGUGGCAGAUUCAUCAAAGGUAACAUCUCUGCUACAGAUCAUUUUCUUUGUGCUUAAACACCAAAGACGAAAUCCCUUCACUCCAGAAGUGAUUCCCAUAAAGAGAGCUUUCUUUUCCCUCAGAUCUAACUUUGACUCCUUCACAUGGUAAUAUGCAGUGGUUCCAAACACAUGUAAGGAAUCAUAAUCUGUAGCCGGUUUUCCAGACCAUACCUCCAUAGGAGUUUUUCUUUCUAAUGCAGAUGAUGGCAAACGAUUAAUAAGAUGGCCAGCGUAUGUCACAGCCUCAACCCAAAAUUGCUUGCCCAACCCAGCAUUGGACAACAUACAUCAAACUUUCUCAAGCAAUGUUCGAUUCAUACGCUUUGCCAAUCCAUUCUGAUGUGGUGUAUCCCUAACUGUGAAGUGUCGAACAAUACCAUACUCUUGGCACACAUCGAAGAACGGAUCACUUUUAUAUUCCCCUCCAUUGUCCGUCCUAAGCCGCUUGAUUUUCUUGCCAGUCUGGUUUUCGAUCAUAGUUUUCCGUUUAAGAAAAACUCUAAGCACUUCAUCCUUAGUUCUCAUGGUAUACACCCAAACUCUUCUGGAAAAGUCAUCAACAAAAGUAACAAAGUAGUGUUUUCCUCCCAAUGAAGGUGUCUUGGAAGGCCCCCACACAUCUGAGUGAACAUAUUCCAAAAUACCUUUUGUAUUAUAGAUAGCAGUACCGAAUUUCACUCUCUUUUUCUUUCCCAGAACACAAUGCUCACAAAAUUUUAAUUUGUAAGCCUUUGCACCUUUCAACAAUCCUUGCUUUGCCAGAAUUUGCAAGGAUUUUUCGCUGGCAUGUCCCAACUUCAUAUGCCACAACUACAUUGAGUCCAAUUCUUUGUUACUGGAAGCUGUAGCGACUGCUCCAAUAACUGUACUACCUUGGUAGUAAUACAAGUUAUUUUUCCUGAUGCCCUUCAAUAUCACAAGUGCGCCAGAUGUCACUUUCAAAAUCCCAUCUCUCAUAGUAACAACUGAACCAUUGGAUUCCAAGGCUCCCAAUGAGAUGAGAUUUUUCUUCAAACUGGGCACGUACCGAACAUCAGUCAGAAUUCUGGUUGAUCCAUCUUAAUUCUUUAAUUGGAUUGAACCUAUCCCAACAGUUUUACAGGCAUUGUCAUUGCCCAUAUAAACAACUCCUCCAUUUAGUUCUACUAAAUCAGAGAACCACUCCCGGUUAGGGGCAUAUGAUAGGUACAACCCGAAUCCAAUAUCCACUCAUCUGAAUGGAACGACGAUGAUGAUGUAACCAGUGAUAGUUCAGAGUCACUAGUAUCAUGCUUAGCAACACAAGCAUCUACAGCAGCUUUUCCCUUGUUCUUCAGCUUUGGACAAUUUUUCUUCCAGUGGUCUUUCUCAUGACAAAAAGCACAUUCAUCUUUCCCGAGUCUGGACUUUGACUUUGAUCUCCCCUUUUGAGUUUUCUUCCAAGUGUAUGAACGACCUCGGACUACUAAAGCUUCUGUAUCUCUGAUUGAGUUUUUUUGUUUGUCCUUCUUUCUCUGUUCAUAACUGUAUAAGGCCGCACAGACUUCGCUCAGAGAUAUAUCACUCCUGCCAUGAAGUAGAGUAGUUUCUAGGAACUCAAACUCCUCAGGAAGUGACCCCAACAGCAUCAAAGCCAAAUCUUUAUCUUUGAAUGUCUCAUCCAUAUUCAGCAAAUCAGUGACUAACUGAUUAAAUUUGGUGAUGUGAUCAUUCAUUGUGGUACUUGGGACGUAUGUGAAGCGAAACAGUCUUUUCUUCAAGUGGAGCUUAUUUUGACUAUUUUUCUUCAAAAAAUUUUCUUCAAGUGCCACCCACAACUUAUUUGCAGAAGUCUCCUUUGAAAAAGCAUACCUCUGCUCUCGAGAAAGGCAUGAUCAAAUUGUGCCACAUGCCAACCGAUUGAUCGCCUUCCAAUCUUUCUCCUGUACAUCAUCUGGUUUCUCUUCAUCAAUGGCAAUGUCUAGACCCUGCUGAAAAAGGGCAUCUAGAACCUCACUUUGCCACAUACCAAAAUGGCCUGUGCCAUCAAAGAUCUCCACGGCCAGUCUUGCAUUUGCAAUUGUCGGUCUUGUCCACAUGGACGAUGUUGAAGCUCCUACACCGACCGUUUUCUCCAUAAUCUUUCAAUAUACCUAAGGAAAUCUUUUCUGAUGUGGAAGAUCAGUUUAAACUGCAACCACAGAGCAUACUACGAUUAACCUUCGGCUCUGAUACCACUUGUUGUUCCAAUAGGGUCGGAAGCGUGUAAAUUAUUGUACUAAAAAAUCACACAAAGUUCAAUUCCCAGGGAAGAGAGGUGGAUCACAUGGAUCUCUUAAAUACCAAGUCUUUCCUUAGACAGAAUAUCCCUUCUAUAGUAAUUUAAUAGCACAAUUAAAUACUACUAUUAUACCCUCAAAUAUUGAAAGAAAAAUAGGACAAGAAAGAACACAAGAGUUUUAACGAGGUUCGGUAAAUUAUACCUACGUCCUCGGGCACUAACACCAGAUGAUAACUUUACUAUCUCCAAAGUAUUACAAACAAAUAGAAUUCCUUAAGAAUUCUCAAAUGGGAGAAGAGAGAAAACUAAGAGAGAAAGAUUGGUUGGGAUGGUUGAAAUGAGAAAUGGUUAGGCCUAUUUAUAGUUGAGGUUCAGGGACUAACUUGCAAAUGGCCUAAAAAAUUAGGGACCAAAAUUGCAAUUAUCCCAUUCAACUUUAAACAGCUUGCCUAUCACUUUUUUUCUUUCGGUGCCACUUGCACCUCCCAUUUUUGACUUUUCAACAGUUGGGACUGUGCCGCUGAAAUUGUUUUGAGAAAGAUCAACAUAUGUCAAGUCAUAUUGGUAGUAAAGGAAGGUAGGAAGUUCUAGAUUGAGUUGUUGAGAUGUAAUGCACUUUGGCAAACUGAUGAUUGUCAAUUGAAACUUUGGGACUGAGGUAUAAAAGGAAGUUUCCAUUACCAUCUUGUUUUCACCACUCAAAAGAACUUUGAGGUUUGAAAGGUUUGCAAAUGGUGCGAAUGACAGUGGAAUUUGAAAAUGGUUUCCUGAAAUAUAUAACUCCCGAAGAGAUGUCAAGUUACUGAAACAAUGAGGAAGCCUCCCCUCAAGUGCAUUGUCACUCACAUCCAAUACUUCAAGGUUCCAUAGAUCACACCAUCCUGAAAAUUUUAUAAAUUCAUUGAAGAUAUUGUAAUUAAAAAAAGAAAAUGAGAUAUUAGAUAAAGAAAUCUCACAAAGAAAUUGAUUUUCUAGAAGUUAUAUUUGAAAAUUUAUGGACUCAUAAUUUGUGCCUUAAAUUAGUUUACCUUCAUUAGGUAAGGAACCAAUAAGUCCACAGCUAGACAAUGUUUUAAGAGAACUGAAUACUCCAAUGCCUUGUAAAAUGUUGGUGUUGAGACUAGAAAAGUCAAAAUAUAAUUCCUCCCCAUUGCUCGACACAUUUAAUUCUAAAGGAUGAGAAGAGAUAUUAGAUGUUAAUCAAAUGUAAUUUGUUUUGGAAAAGAAAAUAAUGACUUUCACUUACCUUGAGUAGUCCGAGUCAUGUUCAGAUAACUCUCUUGUAGAUAAAAGCUUUUAACUGAUGAGAAAGCCUCCACUAAAUUUUGUAAUGGAAUGCUUCCGUCGGUGAAAACGUGAUCAAGAUAAACAAUUUCCAAAUUUCUCAAUCCCUUAAUUUCUGUAAGUGAAAGAAACAUAUAAAUAUUUUUUUUCAUCAAUAAAAUAAAUUUUUAAAAGAGACAUAACAAUUCAUUCAUUUUAUUAAUUAAACUAAUCGUUUUUUUUUUAUCUUCUUUUAGCAUUCUAAGAUAAAAUACAUUUUGAAAAUAUUUUGUUCUUGAUUCAUAUCAGAUUUGAAUAUAUGAGCAUAUUCUUUUAAAAAUUUAAAUAUGUUUGAAAUCAAUUUAGCAUUUAUUAAUAAUAUUGAUUAAUUUCUACUAUCACUAUUCUUCUUCAAUUUAUAAUUUUCUUUUUAAGUCGUAAAACUAUGCUAAAAAUAUAUUUAUUCAAACAAAAUAAUUAUAAACCCAAAUAUUUGAAAAUUGCGCAUUUUGAAAAAUACUUUAAUUCCUAAUCAUACCACAAAUGCCUUAAUUGCCAUCUCCAACUUCAGUUUUCCGCAAACCUACAUUAUUACUAUCUUCAACUUCAAUUUUAUUUUCAAAGAAUUGAAACUAAACCUCUCAAUUAAAAUAUAAAACAAUUACCAUUAUUAUAAAAUCUGAGAAUUUAAACUAAAUAUUCAAUAAAAAAAAGUUUAAUUAAAUGAUAAGUUUGUGGAUCACAAAAUCUUUCAAUUCAUUUUUGCUCAUAUGUAGUUACCUUAAAUUAAUAAAUGCAUCCAAAUCUGGCAAAAGAAAAAAAUAACAAACAAACUUCAUUAUAUCGUCUUAACAGAGUCAAAAUUUUAGCAGCAAAAAAACUAAUAAUUUUACCUUUCAUAUCUAUUGAUCCUUUCAAUUGAUUGCCACUUAUGCUCAAAUAUUUCAAAUUUGAAAGCUUGUUAAGGAAUGCAAAUACACUGCUAUUGAAGAGAUUUCGAUCUAAAUAAACCUCUUCUAAGUGGAUCAACUUCAAUUUUCUAUCACCAUCUACAAAAGAUUUACAUAAUUUCAUCACUAAAAAAGAUUAGUUAUAUGUAAGAAUUUAGCUAAGUCAUCAAAUAUAAAUGCAUACCUUUGAAGGAUUGAAAGCUUUCAAUUUGAUUAUCACUUAAAUCAAGUUUCUUCAAAUUUGUCAAAUUACUCAAUCCUAUAUGUAUCCAAGUUCAAUUCAAAUAAACAUUUUGUUAGUAAUUUUAAAAUCUAACAAAAAACAGAAAAAGUAAACCUAAAAUUUUAAAUGAAGAUUAAAAAUCCCUAAAUGGGGUGCUGAUGUGCUUGACAAAGGGAUUUGCAAAAGUUGGUGGCCAUUAAACAUGUCUUGGUAAAUUUGUGAUGCGGUGUGUUUGUGAACAAUAAAGUCUCAUUGUUGAGUCGAAUUCUGUUACUAAACAGAUGUGGGAAUUUAGAAGCAAGUUGAUUUGAUGAUUUUGAAAUUGGGAAAGAAACACUGGACGAGCAGUUAAAGGAAGGGUGGAUACCCUCGCCAGUCGCCAAAGUAGUUUGAUCUGGUUGAUGGGUAAAAGUAGGAAUGGAUUUUUGGACUAUGUUGGCUUGGGUUAUUAUGAAAUCCAUGUACUUUAAGUUUGACUCUUGACUACUGUUAAGGGUGUUUCUUGGCAAAGGAUGUGUGGAGUUUCAAAAGGGGCUGUUUGUGGUUGAUGUUGGUGCCUGUUGUGUCAAUGUUAGUGUUAGUGUUAGGUGUUUUCAUCUCAUGGAUUUGCUAUUGUUUAGGUGAUUUUAUGGUGCUAAUCGUUGGACAGUUUUUUUCAAGUGGUGUUGUGGCAACUUAGCCUUUAUGGGUUUUAAUAGCAUAAGUUUAAUUUAGUUGAGGAAAAUGAACCCAUAAAUGUGAGAUGUGAAUGUACAAAUUUAGAACAAUUAAUUAUGAAAUAUUUUAAAAAGAAUUAUCAAGAAAAAAAAGGUUAUAACUUUAGUACCUUUAAUAUCUAAUGAGCCUUGCAGAGUGUUAUUAUACAUAUCCAAGGACUUUAAGUUUGGAAGUCCUUCAAGAAAGGAAAUUGUGUUGUUCCGGAAGAGGUUAGAACUCAAAUAAAGUUCCUCCAAGCUUGUUAGCCUCAGUGGUGUUUCAUCUAUGGUUGCAAGAAGAAUCAUUUCUAUAAUUAAUAUCACUCAAUUUGAAAAUUCUAUAAGUUCAUCACUUAAUUUAUUGAAUAUAUUCAAUGUUGAUGUAACUUAAAUCCAAGUGCUUCAAGUUUGUCAAAUUAUUCAAUUCUGAAUUAUUCAAUUCUGAAAUUCAAUCCCAAAUAUUAAUGAUAAAAUCAAAUUGAUUUUAAAGUUAAAAAGAAACAGGUAAAAUCAGUCUACCUUGUACAUGAAGCAGCCUUCCUUCCAACUGAUUAUGGCACAAACUUAAAAUCUUCAAGGAUGAAAGAUUUCUCAUAUGGGAAAAAAGGCUAUUCUUCAAAGAAUUCCCAAUUAAAAGAAGAGUUUCCAAUUUGGUGAGUCUUGAAAGCCAUUGGAAACCUGAUAUAUAUUAAAUUACUAGUUAAUUGUUUUUGCUUUUUCAGAUAUAUGAAAAUUUUACCAAAGCAAAAGCAGAGUUACAUUACAGGGGAUAAAAAGAAUUGAAAACCACUGUCAAACGCCACAAUACAAAUAAAAACUAAAACCGGACCAUACUUAAAUUACCUCUUGAAUGCUAUCAUUCAAGUAAUUGAAACCUAAGACAAGCAUCUCCAAAUUAUUCAAUGUGGAUGAUAACUUUCCAAAACCUGCAAGAGUGUUCUUUUAAAUAUAAACAAUGGGUUAGUGGUUUUUCUUCAAUAAAACAAAAUAAAUAAUAAGGAAUUGUAAAUUAAAAGUGAGUACUUAUGUUGGAAACUUGUACGUAGUAGAAUAAUAAUAUAUGAAAUUAAGAGUAAAUUAAAAGCACGACCUUCAUUUUCAACGCAACCAGCUAUGGCAUUUCCUGAUAAAUAAUGACUCUUCAAUUCCACAAAGGGAAGAAACAAAGAGGCAUUGAGAUAUCGAUAUUUAUCUUUUAUUACUUUUCCACUGAAUGGCUCUGCCUCGCUUAUAUAAGAAGAAAGGAAGAGUCCAAUGAGUCGUUUAGUGGUGGUGUUGCAUUCAACUCCUUCCCAUUCACAACAAUCUAAAUUCUUCACUUCAUCCCAACUGCUCAGAUCAGUAUAAUAACUUAUGAAGUGUUAAGAAAUGGCUUAAAAUUGGUAGUGGAUUGUUGUUGUUGGUAGUGGGUUGUUGGUGGUAGUGGAUUAGUGGAUGGUUGUUGGUGUCCAUUUUCAACCACAAAUCUUUGCCAAAGUUUUGGACAAUUAUGUCCUUGAACUCUCUUAUAAAUAGAGAGGUUCAUUAGCCAUAUUGAUCAUCCCAAACCAAGAGAGAGCAAAGCUUGUUCUUUGAAAGCUAGGAUUUUAGCUUUCGGGUUUUCUAUAGGGGUUGAGAGUUGUGAGGUUCUCGGGUUGUGUCUUGAGUGUAAAACACUUGUAAUCUUCAUCUUGUUAUAGUGAAAUUUCUUUUCGCCUCUGCCCGUGGACGUAGGCAUUAAAGCCGAACCACGUAAAUCCUUGUGUUCACUUUAUUUUUCGUUUCGGUCAAUUUACUUGUAGUCAUAUCGGAGUUCUCGAAUCGAUCCUUUCCACAACAAAUUGGUAUCAGAGCGUAGUUGAAGGAGUGAUAAUAUUUUCUGAAUUGCCCUGUGACUGCAGCUUUGUCUGAUCUUUCACAUCAGGAAGAAAAUAUUAUCAUUCAUUCAAAGGUUCCAAAUUAUGGCUACAAGUGUUUCAUCGACUAAGUAUGAUGUCGAGAAAUUUACCGGGAAAAAUAGUUUCAGUUUAUGGCGCAUCAAGAUGCGGGCAGUGCUGGUUCAACAAGGAUUGCUAAAAGCAUUGUCUGGUAAAGAUAAAUUACCAAGCACGCUUUCGGAAGAGCAAAAGGAUGACAUACUAGAAAGAGCACAUAGUGCUAUUCUGCUAUGUCUAGGAGAUGAAGUGCUACGAGAAGUAGCGGAUGAGAAAACCGCGUCCGGUUUGUGGCUCCGGUUAGAGAGCAAGUACAUGACGAAGUCAUUGACGAACCGGCUCUACCUCAAGCAAAGACUCUAUGCCCUGAAGAUGGAGGAAGGUACACCUGUUUCCCAGCACCUGGAUAAAUUCAAUUCCAUUAUCAUGGAUUUGAAUAAUAUCGAUAACAAAAUCGAUGAUGAGGACCAAGCAAUAAUUGUUUUGUGUUCUUUGCCUCCCUCGUAUGAGAAUUUUGUUGAUACAAUGAUGUACGGUCGUGAUGACCUGACUCUAGAGGAGGUGAAAAAUGCCUUAAGUUCCAGUGAGUUGAGGAAGAAAAUCACUGGUAAGGUGGUCGAAAACAAUGAAGGCGAAGGCUUGGUUGCUCGAGGAAGAUCCAAGGCAAAGGGUGGAAGUUCAAGUAAAAGCCAUCCUAGAUCGCAGUCCAAGAAGAGAAUACAGUGCUACUACUGUAAGAAGUACGGGCACAUGAAGGUAGAUUGUCCGAAAAGGAAGGAGAAAUCAGAAUCACAGGAGCAACAAAAUGAUCGUGCGAAUGUAGCUGAUGCAGAUUCUUCAAGUGAUGCCGAGAUCGUUCUUGCAGUAUCCGACUCUUACGCUGGUGGGAGAUGGAUUCUUGAUACGGGAGCUACAUUUCAUAUAAGUACUUCGAAAGAUGCAUUCUCAACAUACGAGAAGCAUUCUGGUUCAGUACUAAUGGGAAAUGACCACGCAUGUCAAGUCAUGGGGAUUGGCACAGUUCGUAUAAAGAUGUUUGACGGUAUUGUUAGAACUCUAACUGAUGUUCGGCACAUUCCAGAAAUGAAGAAAAAUUUGAUCUCUUUGAGUACGUUGGACAAGAAAGGCUUUCGGUACUCUGCUGAAGGUGGAGUUCUCAAGGUAUUCUCGGGUGCUUUGACUGUGAUACGUGGUAAUUUGGAGCGGGGCCUUUACUUCCUCGAUGGUUCCUCGGUUACAGGUGUUGCGGGAGUGUCAUCAUCAGAUGAUCUAGAUUCUGACACCACGAAGUUAUGGCAUAUGCGGCUCGGGCAUAUGAGCGAGAGAGGCUUAUCGGUGCUAAGCAAACGAGGAUUAUUGUCUGGGCAGUGUACAGGAAAGUUGAAUUUCUGUGAGCACUGCGUCUUCGGUAAGCAGACUCGGGUAAAGUUCAGCACUGGGAUUCACAAGACAAAAGGCACAGUGGAUUACUUCCAUUCUGACCUUUGGGGGCCUUCUCCGACAAUUUCUAAAGGUGGUUACAGAUAUCUGCUUACCUUUAUCGAUGAUUACUCGAGAAAGGUUUGGGUGUAUUUUCUGAAGAGCAAGUAUGAGGUUCUCAUCAACUUCAAGCAAUUUAAAGCUUUGAUCGAAAAUCAAACAGGAAAGAAGAUCAAGCGAUUCCGGACGGAUAAUGGCUUGGAGUUUUGCUCAGGUGAAUUCAAUGAGUUCUGCAAAAAUGAAGGAAUAGUGAGACACCGCACUGUUCGUCGAACACCACAACAAAAUGGAGUUGCAGAACGCAUGAAUAGAACUCUCUUGGAGCGAGCUCGUUGCAUGCGAUCAAAUGCUGGGCUCGGUGAAGAAUUUUGGGCUGAAGCUGUUAAUACUGCUUGUUAUUUGGUUAACAGAUCUCCGUCAACAGCUAUUGAGCUGAAGACUCCUGAGGAAGUAUGGUCUGGUUCUCCUGCUGAUUACUCUGGUUUAAGAGUGUUUGGCUGCCCUGCGUAUGCUCAUGUAAAUGAGGGAAAACUCAAACCGAGGGCGAAGAAAUGCAUAUUUCUUGGAUACGGCCAAGGGGUGAAAGGAUACAGGUUGUGGUGUCCUGAUCCGGUUUCGUCCAAGUUCAUCAUCAGCAGAGAUGUGACUUUUGAUGAGUCAUCCAUGCUUCGAUCCACCACAAAUUCCCGGGAAAAGGAGGAGUCAGAUAGAAUGGGAGAUCACGGUGUUGAGAAGCAGGUGGAGUGUCAGGUGGACGCUCCAAUUCCUACGGAAGGUACUUCAGUCCAGGAUGAUCAAGUUGAGGUGCAAGAUUCCGAUGAAGAUGAGUCACCUCAAGAAAAACCAUAUAGCAUUGCCACUGGAAGAACGAAGAGACAAAUCAAACCAAAUCCGCGUUACGCUAAUCUGGUGUCUUUCGCGCUCAGUGUGGCGGAGUCCAUUGGUAUAGAACCUUCCAGUUAUAAUGAGGCUGUCACGUGUGAUGAGUCGGCACAGUGGGCAAUUGCUAUGAGUGAGGAGAUAGAAUCUCUUCACAAGAACCAUACUUGGGAGUUGGUUAAGCCGCCAAGUAACCAGAAGAUAGUUGGUUGCAAAUGGGUCUUCAAGAAAAAGGAAGGCAUCCUAGGGGUUGAAGCAACUAGAUUCAAGGCACGAUUGGUUGCUAAAGGCUUCACUCAGAAAGAGGGGAUUGACUACAAUGAAGUUUUCUCCCCAGUCGUAAAGCAUUCUUCCAUUCGUGUAUUACUUGCCAUGGUGGCCAAGUCUGAUCUAGAACUUGAGCAGCUUGACGUAAAAACGGCGUUCUUGCAUGGUGAGCUCGAGGAAACAAUCUACAUGCGUCAACCAGAGGGUUUUACAGUUCCUGGUAAAGAAGACCAUGUCUGUCUAUUAAAGAAGUCUUUAUAUGGAUUGAAACAAUCCCCAAGGCAGUGGUACAAGCGGUUUGAUAGCUUCAUGAUUCAGCAUGGUUACACAAGAUGUGACUAUGAUGCUUGUGUCUAUCAUCGGAAGCUCUCAGAUGGUUCGCACAUUUAUUUGUUGCUGUAUGUUGAUGACAUGUUAAUUGCUUCCAAAAACAUGUCGGAAAUCAACAAGUUAAAGUCGCAGUUGAGUGGUGAGUUCGAGAUGAAGGAUCUGGGUGCUGCCAAGAAAAUUUUGGGCAUGGAUAUUCACAGAGAUCGCAAGGCGGGCAAGCUUCGUGUGUCGCAGAAGAACUACAUUGAAAAGGUUCUUCAACGCUUCGGCAUGGAUAAAGCGAAAACUGUGAGUACUCCGUUGGCACCACAUUUCAAACUCUCUGCAGAGUUGUCACCACAAUCUGAUGAAGAAAAGCAGCAAAUGUCUCACAUUCCAUACUCGAGUGCAGUUGGAAGCGUGAUGUAUGCAAUGGUUUGCACUCGUCCAGACAUUUCACAUGCAGUUAGUGUGGUCAGCAGAUACAUGAGUUGUCCUGGCAAGGAACACUGGCAGGCCGUGAAAUGGAUUCUCAGGUACUUGAGAGGUUCUGCAGAUUUAUGCUUGGUAUAUGAUCAGAGUGACUGCACUAGCAGUGUCACGGGCUAUGUGGACUCUGAUUAUGCUGGAGAUCUGGACAAAAGAAGAUCUCUGACGGGUUAUGUUUUCACUUAUUCUGGAGGAGCCAUUAGUUGGAAAGCUGUGUUACAGUCUACCGUAGCCUUAUCUACGACUGAGGCGGAAUAUAUGGCGUUAGCAGAAGCAGUGAAAGAAGCAUUGUGGAUGAAAGGUCUAGUAAGCAGUUUGGGUUUACAACAGGAUUUCACUGUUGUAUUUUGCGAUAGCCAGAGUGCCAUACAUCUGACUAAAAAUCAGAUGUUUCAUGAACGGACCAAACACAUUGAUGUCAGAUAUCAUUUUGUUCGGGAACAUGUUACGCAAGGUGACAUUGUUAUCAGCAAGGUUGCUACCGAGAAGAAUCCUGCAGAUAUGUUAACUAAGGUGAUCCCUGCAUAUAAGUUCAAGCAUUGCUUGGACUUGAUAGGUAUUCGGGAUUGAUUAGCGCCAGAGAGGCGUUUGGAAGAGGUGAUCCAGUUCGAGGAAUUCACUAUGAUGUUCAGCUUGGUAAAUUUCAAGCCAAGGUGGAGAUUUGUUAAGAAAUGGCUUAAAAUUGGUAGUGGAUUGUUGUUGUUGGUAGUGGGUUGUUGGUGGUAGUGGAUUAGUGGAUGGUUGUUGGUGUCCAUUUUCAACCACAAAUCUUUGCCAAAGUUUUGGACAAUUAUGUCCUUGAACUCUCUUAUAAAUAGAGAGGUUCAUUAGCCAUAUUGAUCAUCCCAAACCAAGAGAGAGCAAAGCUUGUUCUUUGAAAGCUAGGAUUUUAGCUUUCGGGUUUUCUAUAGGGGUUGAGAGUUGUGAGGUUCUCGGGUUGUGUCUUGAGUGUAAAACACUUGUAAUCUUCAUCUUGUUAUAGUGAAAUUUCUUUUCGCCUCUGCCCGUGGACGUAGGCAUUAAAGCCGAACCACGUAAAUCCUUGUGUUCACUUUAUUUUUCGUUUCGGUCAAUUUACUUGUAGUCAUAUCGGAGUUCUCGAAUCGAUCCUUUCCACAACAUGAAGAAAGGUUUGAGAUGCAAGAGAGCAAUUCUCUCCUGCUCCAAACAAGCAUUAGUAGUGCACCACCUGCAUCCUUCUAACAGCAACGCACUCAUCACCGCCAUCCUCAUAAACCACACCCAUUUGGACUCCAUCAUCUCUCUCUUUUCACUUCUCUCUCAACUCUAUGCUACUUUUAACUUCUAUAUGAAUAUUGUCGUAACCAUUUUUUUGCAAAAAACGGAAAUCGACUUUGGUUUUGAAAAUGAAAGAACGGGAGUCGCCACCAAUCCUUUUUUAUGAGGUGUGAUCGGCUCACCUUUAAAUUAACCAUUUUAAUAAAAGUUAAGAUUUACUAAAAUGAUAAUUUUGGUCUACGAAAAUCAGAAAAUGAGUCUGGGAGUCGGUUACGCACGAGGAAGGUUUAGCACCCUCAAUGCGCCUAAAAUUGGUACCUAGUUGAUUAAUUAGUGUCUUAGUGUCGAAAAUUGAGAACUUGAAAGACUUUAAAAUACGAUCCCUCUUUUGUAAAGUAAACAUUGAAACGUUAAAGACAUUCGCAUCUCGAGGCAACGACACGUCAUAUCCAGUGAGUUAGGGUACGACAUUUCGAACUUUUGAGAAUGAGCUUGCCUUUUAUUUAAAAUCGAUGUAUUUUAACUUCUUUUAAAAGGAUAUUCGGUUAGUUAGGGUGAACGAAGAAAAUCGAAACCCAGUAAGUUAGGGUACGUUUCCUCGAAUUUCUGAACACCGAACAUUGCCUUUAUUUGCAAAAGAUCUUAUUUCGAAGUAUAAAAGUGUCAUACCCGGUAAGUUAGGGCACCACACCUCGCAUCUCUGAAAAUAAGCAUUUUUAAGACUUGUAUCGUGAUUUAAAAGGAUAUUCCGCUUAUUUAGGUUAAAUGAGAAAAAUCGAAACCCAGUAAGUUAGGGCACAAUUGUCUCGAAUUAUCGAGUACGGAAUGUUGCUUUUAGGAAAGAAUUAUUUUAUGGUAUUGAGUAAAAAGUAUAGUGUGAUUUAUAAUGAAAUAUAAAAGCAAAUUACAGUGCUAAUACGUAAUAAUAAGUGCGACAGUGUCAAUAACAAUGAUAGGAGCAAUUAUAACAGAUGAAAACAAGGCUAGCAAUAUAAAAAUAUGAAACGAAAGCAUAAGGUAAGUGAAAUGAUCGAAUACAAAAAAAAAUGACAAAAAAAAUGACAAUGAUAACAAAAAUGAUAAUAAUGGUAUAAAAGUACGUGUAUAUAUGUAAGCACAUAUGUAAUAAUAAAAAUAUAGGAAUGUAUAUAUAUAUGGUAAUAAUAGUACGAUUUAAAAGACACAUAAAAAAUGUAUACGUAAUAAUAUUACAUAAUUUAUAUAUAUGUGAGUAAUAAUAAUAAUGAUGACACGAAUAAUGAAUGAUUUAAGGUUUGAAAGAAUUUACAAAGAUAUAAAUAGGUGAUGAAACGGUAAUAAUAUGAGCAACAGCAUAUAUAUAAAAAAUGUAUAUAUUAUUAGUUAGUAUAGAAGCAACAGCAUAUAUAUAAAAAAGUGUUAUAAAAGCGAUAAUAUAAUAGUGAUGGUAAUGGAAGAAAUAAUAAUAAUAAUGGUAACAAUAUAGAGAUAAUGAUAAUAAUAAAGAAACGUUGCAUAAAUAUAUUAAAAUUAAAUAUAUGAUAAUAUUGAAUGUUUAUACAUAAUAUGUACGUGAAAUACAAAAUAAAGUAUACACAUAAUAUAUUAAAACAUAUACAUGACCUACAUAAUAUACAUGAUAGAACAUAAUAUGAUAUUUACAACAUAUAAAAUGAUAUACACGAUAUAAUAUUAAUUUACAUGGGCAUAAUAUGAAGUAUAACAUAUAUAUUAAAAAGUGUGUAUAUAUGACACGAAUGUAUUUAACAAAACAAUAAUAUCAAAAACUAAUAAUAAUAAUAAUAAUAAUAAUAUAUAAAUGUAUACGUAUAUAUAUGUUAAUUAAAUAUAUAUAAUGAAACAUAUAUUAAUAUUAAUAAUACACAAAAAUAGGGGCAAACAUGUAUAUCACGUGGUAUUAAUAUGUGUAUUGUUAGAAUUGUGUGACCCAAAUUCUAAGAGAUUGCUUGCAAGUCAAGUUAAACAAAAAUAUAUUUUCUUUCUAGAAGAUUUAGUAUUUAUUAGUAUAAUAUAUUUAGCAUUUAUUAGCAUAGUUUAUUUGACUUACUAAUUUAGCCUAUAAAUAGGCUCCUUUACAAUCUUAGAAUUAAGAGACACCCAUUAGAUUAGAACUCAUAACACAUUCAGAGAAUUUUGUGUUUACGUUUGAGGGUUCUUUGUUUUUCGGGUUUUCGGGGUUUAGUUUUUAUCUCCAUCUUUUGUACUCUUCAUUCUUUUGCCAUUAUAGUAAAAUUAUCUUUGCCCGUGGUUUUUUAUCCUCUUUUGAGGGGUUUUUCCACGUUAAAUUUGUGUGUUCAUCUUCUCAAUUUCUUAUACUAUUUUUACUUGUUCGUUGCUUAUUCGGGACGAUCCUAACAAGUGGUAUCAGAGCUAGUUUAACUUUCAUGGAUCAGCCCGGUCAGAGAUGGCAGCAACAAGGUUUGAAAUUGAGAAGUUCGAUGGUGAGACAAAUUUCAAUCUGUGGCAAGUUCGGAUGAUGGCAAUUCUAGUUCAAAAUGGCUUGAAAAAGGUUGUUACAGGGAAAAGCCUGAGAAUCUAAAUCAAACAGAAUGGGAAGAGCUUGAUGAAAAGGCCUUGUCUGCAAUCCAGUUGUGCCUCGCGAAUACAGUAUUGCAGGAGGUAUUGAUGGAGAAGACCUCAUUCGCCUUGUGGAAAAGGUUAGAAACUCUUUAUGCGACUAAGUCUCUGGCUAACCGUUUAGUGUUGAAACAACGUCUAUUUACGUUUCGCAUGAACGAAGGUGAGCUUCUUAAAGAUCACAUCAGUCAAUUCAUUACUCUUUUAAAUGAUUUAAAGAACGUUGAGGUUCAUAUUGACGAUGAAGAUCAAGCUAUGCUAUUAUUGUGCUCUUUACCCUCUUCAUACAAGUCUUUCAGGGAGACCCUGAUUUAUGGCAGAGACAAACUCUCGUUCGAAGAUGUGAAGGGUCAUUUGUUGAGUAGAGACAAACUCGACAAUGAGUUUGAUUUGAAUAGCAAAGCAGAUAGACAAGCUUCCGUUUUGGUAGCAUCAAAGAAACGAGACAAAAGGUGUCGCUAUUGCAAAAAGUUAGGUCACGUCAAAGCAGAUUGUUAUAAACUGCGAAAUAAAAGAGCUGCUGAGAGUAACGAGAAAGAUGUAGCUGGUGCUAAUUUGGUCGAUGAAGGCGGUGAUGAUUUCUUGUUAGUGUCAACGAGCGAUAACUCCAAGCUUACGUCUAAGUGGAUCCUAGAUUCAGGAUGUUCUUUCCACAUGUGUCCCAAUAGAGAAUGGUUCUCCACAUACAGUUCAGUUGAAGGUGGAGUUGUGCACAUGGGAAACGAUUCAUCUAGUAAAAUAAUCGGUAUUGGUACUGUUAAAAUUAGGAUACACGAUGGGAUGAUUAGGACACUCUCAGAUGUCAGGUAUGUACCUGAUUUACGAAAGAAUCUCAUCUCCUUGAGUAUUUUAGACUUGAAAGGAUGCAGAAUCAACAUCGAGUCGAGCGACAUUAAAGUAUCUCGUGGAGCUCUCGUUUUGUUAAAAGGUAAAAGAACCGGCAGUCUUUAUAUUCUGGAAGGUUCUACAGUGACCGGUGAAAUUGGACGUCCCUCGUCCGUUACGGAGUCAAAGUCAACUCAUUUGAAGCGGAGGCAACUUGGUCAUAGGAGGGAAAAAGGUAUGACCAUUUCGUUGAAGAGAGGUUCUCUUUUGGAUGCAGGUUUUGAAAAGUUAGGGCACUGUAUUCGUGAAAAUCAGACCCGGGUUAGUUUUGAUUUGGCAGUGCACAAGUCGAAGGCUAGAAGUCUUCCAGCUUCUAAGCAUAGAUUCGACUCAGUUAAUUCCCUGCAUAGUUCAAGAUAGGCCCGUGGCGGGUUUUGGCAAAGAUGGCAUUGAAAGAAUUCGUGUCAAUGUGGAGAUUGUUAGAAUUGUGUGACCCAAAUUCUAAGAGAUUGCUUGCAAGUCAAGUUAAACAAAAAUAUAUUUUCUUUCUAGAAGAUUUAGUAUUUAUUAGUAUAAUAUAUUUAGCAUUUAUUAGUAUAGUUUAUUUGACUUACUAAUUUAGCCUAUAAAUAGGCUCCUUUACAAUCUUAGAAUUAAGAGACACCCAUUAGAUUAGAACUCAUAACACAUUCAGAGAAUUUUGUGUUUACAUUUGAGGGUUCUUUGUUUUUCGGGUUUUCGGGGUUUAGUUUUUAUCUCCAUCUUUUGUACUCUUCAUUCUUUUGCCAUUAUAGUAAAAUUAUCUUUGCCCGUGGUUUUUUAUCCUCUUUUGAGGGGUUUUUCCACGUUAAAUUUGUGUGUUCAUCUUCUCAAUUUCUUCUACUAUUUUUACUUGUUCGUUGCUUAUUCGGGACGAUCCUAACAUGUAUAAUAUGGUGUUAAAUGUGCAUACAUACAAUAUAUAUUAGGCAUAAUAAUACAUAUAUAAAACAACUAUAAAUAUAUAUAUCUAAGUAUUAAUCAAAAAUAAAAUGUUUAAAUAAUAGUAAAAUACGUUAAUAAUAAUACGAAAAUAGUAAAUAGAAUAAUGAAUAAUAUGUAUAAUGAAAAGGUGAAAAUAAUUCCAAAAACCACAUUAAUUCUCAAAAAAUGACUAAAUCCGAAACAAACAUGAAGUUCAGGGGCCGAUCUUAAAAUAAAUAUAAAGGAGGGGACCCUUUUGAAUGCGUGCGCGACUACAGAGGGCCAAAAGGGCAAUUUACCCGAACCCUUAAAACGACGUCGCUGGAAGGGGGACCGAAUUGAAAACGCAAUAAAUUCCAGGGCCAAUUUAAAAGAAAUUAAAUCCUGAUUGCAAAAUAUAUAAAAAGCGGAAGGACCGGGCAUGCAAUUAGCCCCUAAGAGCAAAAACACGCGGAUCCCAGGGUAAGACGGGUCGGGUCUUCGGGUCGCGCCUAAACGGCGCCGUUUCUAGGUUUUAAAAGGGGCGGGCAAAACGGCGCGUUUUGCCGGCCUAUAUAAACUAAUUUUUUUUUAUUUCAUUUCCCUUCUCCCUUUUUAAAAAAAACCUCUUCUAAUCCUCUCUUUUCUCUCUGCAGGUACCCCGGGCCUCCACUGCCUGACCGGUCGCCGUCCUUCGUGCCGUCCGCCGCUCCGGCCACCGUACACGGUGGCCAAAAAUUGCUCGAGGGUAAAUUUUCUUUCUUUUUUUUCCAUUUUUAUAUUUGUUUAGUAUAUGUAUGUCAUUUUUACUUAUAUUAUAUGUUUAUGUAUAUAAAGAAACUCGAAAAAAAAUGGAAAAAUAAAAGGAAAUCACCUUAGGUACGGGUUUGAUUUCCUUGGGCUUUGGGUUUAUUUUGAUGUCGUUUCUCUUGUUCUUUGCUGACUAAUAUUGUGGUUUUUUUUGUUUACAAUCUAAUAUUGCUUUUUCAUUUCACAAAAUGCCGAAUGUUACAAUGGUUUUUGGAUUUGGCCUUUUAUAGGCAUUUUUCUACAACUUGCUUCUUGCUUUCUGUCUUGUCUCGUUAAUGCCUGUAGGUACAGCUUUGGGCGGUGGCACAGUGAUGAGGGCGGUGGUUGCAGCAGGCAGGAGGUGGCAGACGGCCAAAGGGUCCUAGGUGAGGCUAAGUGGGAUUAGGGUUUUCAUUUUCUGAUUUUAUUUGGGUUGGGUUAGUGUUUUGGGCUAAGUUUAGGGCUAAGGGUUUUUGGAUUUGUAUUGAGUUUUAAUUGGGUUUUAAUUGGGUAGUUGGGUUAUGUUUAUUUGGGCCCAAAAUUGGGCUUGUACAAAUAUAAUUUGAAGAAGCCUUGAUCAAAACUUCCUCAUUUAUAUACAAGCAGGGCUCUUAUCGAACUUUUCAUAUUUUUAUAUUCUUAGAUUACAUUAUUGCCCUCAAUAUAUAUUAUUAACACUAAAUUUAAUUAUUGAGGCGAGCUCAAGCUCGAGUACAAAAAUUGAUAAACGAAUUUAAUUUCGAGCUUAAAAAUAUAUAUUCAAUUGAGAUUGAACCGAGUAUCAAACUUUAAAUUUCAAAUCAAACUUAAGCUUAAUAGUAUUUGAGCUCGAAUCAAUUCAAUUACACCCCACAAUUAAAUAUACCAACAAAACCUACAUUCCAUAUUUGCUUAAAAACUUUGCUAUAAAUUUUAUAUAUGUGUGUGUUUAACGUGACUUCCUUGUGAGUUCCAUCUAUGUCCAACUUGAUGACGAUGAAAGUUCCUAUGGUGUAAAAAGUUUUAGUUAUGUGGAAAAAUAAGGUCUUCUCUUCACACGUUUAAUAUGCUUGUGACGGUCAUUUCGGGCUUGACAUCAAUUUUCAAAAAGUUGUAAUUGGUGGAAAACUUAGGUCUUUUCACUUGCUUUUAUGAUUCUUUUUACAUGAUAUUACAAUAUAACAUAGUGAAAUUAAGAUCAAUUGAAAUACUGAUAAAUUUGAACCCAUAUCAUGCAAGUCUAGGCAUAAAUUUUACUACUGAUCUAAUUUCUUGAUAUUUAAUUAAUUAGUAUAUAUACUUUCAAUUAUAAGAAUUGAAACAUAACUUUCAAGUCAAUUGGAGUAUGCCCCUGUUACUCUUCAAAAGAAGUACAUUUUGAACUCAACAUGAACCUGUGAGAUUUGACACCUAAAAUGUAGGUAUAAGGUUUCAAUUCAUGGAAAUGUUGGAAGUCCUGGAAAUUUCUUAGUCUCCUCUCUUUGGAUGUUUUGAACAAAAAUGUUUUAAGUCUCUUUCGAUGCUAAACUUCUGAUUGGUCGUCGGUUCAGUGACCCUUUGGUACAAAGCAAUAUGAAGCAUUGACCAUUCAAGGCCAUUGCUGGUCCUGGUGAUAAUCCAAUGAUUGUACUACUAUAGAUUUGAAUAUUUGUACACAUUUGAUCAGCUCUUUGUAAAUUUAAAUUUUACAAAUUCGGAUAAUAUUAGAAUUUAAAUAUUUUAAUUACUAUCCGCAAUAGAUUAAAAACAAAUCAAUCCUUGGAUAUCCACAUACAGAUUAUGCAAUACAAUCUCUAAAGGCAUAUAGAAUUUAGGUCUUAACCAAGCUAUGUUGCUUAAAAGCUUGCUAAAAGCACCCCUAACAAAGGGGUAAAUGAAUAAAAUAUCAAGCACCAGUUAUCAAAGCACAUUGACCACCUUAUAUCUAUGUAUGCUACUACAAAACUUGCACCAUUAAAAUCUCAAGCUGGUAAUUGGAGCUUCAUGUUGUUCUUCCAGCUGCAGGCAUAAUAAUCAAAUAAGUUGCAAUCAUUAGCAUAGGAAUGAAGUGCUUUCCAGAGUGUGAGAAAGGGGGUUACCUCUGGAAGUAAUAGUAGAAGAAAUCAGCACAAAGCAAUGUCUGGACAAGACCGCAAAUCCAAGCUGAAAGGCAGCAAUCAUGUAAACAAGGUGUUAGAAAUAACACAUAUAGCAUAGAAUAUAACAAAUGUGUUGGUGUAGAUAUAUUGACACACGCUUCAUACACCCAUGGCUACCGAUUUGGAGUAAAAGAUGAAGGGAGACAGAGAAGAGUACAUACUUAUCCAGUGGACAAAGUGGUCUUCAGUAAAGUACCGAUAAAUCCAGUUCACUAUGUACAAUGCUCUGUAUGCACUGCAAUAACAAGGAACUAUAUUAGUCCAUAACCAAGAAUUAGACAUUAGGAAGUUGGUAACCUAAAAAUACAAAGAGAGUGCGCACAUAAGCCAACAAAGCCACAGUUGUAGUGGCAAGGGUUGUUGUAAGUUGGCAUCAAUGUACCAAAUAAAUUUCUCCAAAGGAUUCAUACAACACUAUGCUCUUGAAGUUUUUAGGCAUCUUUGAAGUCACAUGUACCGACUAUCAUCGCUGUGACCCCCAACUCCCAAAAACUACAUAAAGAAAGGGAAUAAAAGGUAGAACUGAAGGCUAAAGGGAUAUGAAUUUUGAGGUCACAUUGCUCCUAAUGGCGCCUUGUCUCCUAACUUAGGAUAAUAGCAAACAAAGAUAGACAGAACACAGUGUAAAAGACUAAAAACGACAUGAAAGCACAUAACAAAAGUUAUACAAGAACAGUCAUACUCGCAAAAUUCAACUGCAGUUAAUCACAUCUGAAAAUAGACAACUUUGGUCCAACAUAUAAUCAUAUCAACUUUGCAUCAAAAGGAAAUCAGUGGCAACCAAGCGGCAAUACGAUGUCAACUCUAUUUAAAGACUUUCUCUCUUUUGUUUCCUCAGGAAGGAGGCUACAUUAUAGGGAACUGAGCCAGGAAAUAAGGGUCCUUCAAGCAAGGUAAUAAAAUAGAAAACUUGCAACUGAUUAGGAUUUUUAAAGAAUACAGUGGUUACCCAAGGAGAAACACAUAUUGUCCAGUCAAGUUGUCAAUAUUUCUAGUCCUUUGCAACAAUACAAGCUGAGGAAGUAUCGCGACAGCUUCCAAAUACAAGGAAAAUGUCCACAUGACCUGCUCAACAAUUUUUUUUUAAGACAAUAAUCAAUAUAUAAAAUUAUAACCAGAAGGAUAAUAAUGAAUAAUUAAUAUAAAACAGAUCAACAGUUUAGAGAGCUUCUAAGUUAACCAGUAAUUAAUAUGAACAUACUGUUAUCAUAUUCCAACAAACAGAAGGAUGUCGAUACCUCUUUGAAGGUGAACUUCUCGUUUAUAAGAAGGGCAAGAAUCAGGCAAGGCAGUAAAAGGAUAUAAUGUCGAAAUGUAUCCUGGUCCUUAUCAUAAGAUCUACGAACUAUUUUGUGAUACCGCAUGUACCAUACAAUUGAGAAAGAGCUGCCCAGGAAUAUUAGCUUCAUGAUUGUGUUAUAAGGUGAGAUAUGAUUAGUGAAUAUGUCCAAGUAACGAGUAGCAAAGACAAUAGCAUAGAGUUCCUGAGUCUUCAGUGAAAUGCCUGCACAAAAAUAUCAUAGAUAUUUAGAGCCAGAAAAUCACUCAUAAGACAUGAUAGGGAUUGUUAGACAGAACUGAAUGUCGAACACAAAUACAGAAUGGCACAGUGGAGGUAUAUAAACAAGGGAACGAACAAGAAAAGACCAGGCCUAAAACGGAAUCUUGCUCAAGUUAAAUCAAAUGUUGUAAAAUGCCUAUGAAUGAAUACAAGGAUCUAGGAUUCCUACUUUUUGAGUUUCAUUACAUGCUGUACAGUCACUUAUUAUUAGCAAGCUUUUGCUCACUGCAUCCUCAAUUGAUAUAGCAUCUCUAACUUCUAAAAAUAACAGCCUCAACUUCUAGUGAGUAAGAUGGCUUUAGCCACCCAUUAAUCUUCCCAUCAUCACACCACACAUAAAAUUUGAAAGUGAAAAGGACAGGAGCAAAGAAAGAAAAUAUUUCCAACAAGCUAGUUGUGCAACUGGAAAUAAUCAACUUGAUCAAAAGAAUAUAAAUUUAGUUGACAUUGCCACCCCAAAAAACCUUCCAAUAGCAUGAUACGAAAUAAAUCACUACCUCGGCUAUGUUUAUAGUUUAAUGCCCUCAUCAUAUACAGAUUUCAUGAUGUUCAUCUCAAAACCAUAGGCCAGCAUGACAUAAAAACCACUAACCUGACUGUAUGAUCCUACAAAAUGUAAUUAGCUUAUUGAUUUCCAUAAAAACUCGCACAUAAAAAAUAAUCAGUUGCUAAUUUCAAAACCUCUAGAGGUUUAUCGGUACAAAUAGUAAGGAAAUCAGCUAAAAUAAGAUGCCAACAGUGACACUAAAUCCAACAACUAACUACACUUUAACUCAAAAUAGAUGCAUCACAUAAAGUCCUAAUGAUCAGACCUCCUUCCUUCUAAACUUCCAAUGAACAUACAUACAAAUUCAAAUUACUAAAGACAAAUUCACAAAAUACAAGAAUUUAUAUUCCAUACAAUUAAAAAAAAAAAGGUCACAUUUUCUGUUGAGCUAAAGUUUCCACAUUUUACAUGGCUCCAAUUUGAGUAUUAAAUAAACUAGCAAAAACCCACACACAAUUUAACCUAAAUAUUCGAUUCUUUUAUAUUAAGCAGUAAAUUACUGGGAAAAAAGUGCAACAUAAAAUGAACUGAACCCAGAAACAAAAAUUAAAGUAAAUAUUUGGAAAAUGAACGUACCAGCACAAGACUUGAUUGUGUGGAUCUUAAGAAGCAAAACAAGAACACUAAACAAAUGGGUCAUGUCCCCUGCUAAUCUGAAUAUAUUCAUUUUCGCUUAUCGUUCUAAAUUUCCCAAAAUAUGAAAUAAAAUAAAAUAAGAGAAUGAAAUUUGAAUUUUUUUUUUUUUAGUGUGAGAAUCAGCCGGGAAAGUUUAUUUCUGCAAAGAAAAAGAAACAGAAAAUCUCAGAUUGAUCCAGAAAUUUCUUAACUUUUUUCAGCGAAUUAAUUAUUUCCUUUCCUUGUCCAGAAAAGUAACGCAGGAAAAUGAAAGAAAAUCAAUGAAAAUAAAGAAUUGUGUAUUACUAAAUGGGCCUUUGUUUGGGCUUUGAAUCUAAAAUAGCUAAGAGGAUUAAUUGAAGGACAGGGACCUCAAUUUGGGCCUUUUUUGCCACACAUUCAAUAAGUUAAUUAAAGAUUAGGGUUAAUUCCAUGUAUCUAAAAUAUAGUUUAAUUUUCGAUUUGAUAAAAAUUACAAUUUUAUGAUGCCCACUCAAAAAUACAUCAAAUUCUAUGUAAGGAUGAAGAAAGACCCAAAAAGAGUUCCAAUUCCAUAAUAUUUACAUAAGUUCAUACUAUUUAAAGUUUAAAAAAAUACAUAACACGAAAAAAAUUUGUACAUCGAUAAUAAGAGAAAAUUCUAGACAAGUGACAUGGGUGAAUAGAAUGAGGUCCACUAAUAUAUAUGGCAUCAAUCAAUUGUUAGUUAAUAAGAGCUCAAGCUUUUUAAGACUCGAAACCUAUUUGUUAACAUGAUAAAAUCAUGUGAUACGAAAAAGAUCUAUAUAUUUAUAAUUAGAGAAAAUUUUACACAAAUAAUCUUUGGCUAACCAAUAGAUUUGAGCAAUAGACAGGCUGCUAAAAGAUCAACUAUGUGUUGUUCCAAUAGGGUCGGAAGCGUGUAAAUUAUUGUACUAAAAAAUCACACAAAGUUCAAUUCCCAGGGAAGAGAGGUGGAUCACAUGGAUCUCUUAAAUACCAAGUCUUUCCUUAGACAGAAUAUCCCUUCUAUAGUAAUUUAAUAGCACAAUUAAAUACUACUAUUAUACCCUCAAAUAUUGAAAGAAAAAUAGGACAAGAAAGAACACAAGAGUUUUAACGAGGUUCGGUAAAUUAUACCUACGUCCUCGGGCACUAACACCAGAUGAUAACUUUACUAUCUUCAAAGUAUUACAAACAAAUAGAAUUCCUUAAGAAUUCUCAAAUGAGAGAAGAGAGAAAACUAAGAGAGAAAGAUUGGUUGGGAUGAUUGAAAUGAGAAAUGAGAAGGCCUAUUUAUAGUUGAGGUUCAAGGCCAAACAAUAAAUAGCCCAUUAUCUCAAUGACCAAAAAAAAUUAUCCCUUGCCACUUUUCUAAAGUUGGUGGUUGUCAUUAUUGAUUGUCUCCCAUUAAUGUUAAUGGCAACCAUUAUUAAUUGUCUUCCAUUAAUGUUAACAAUCUCCACCUUGAAGAUUUGAUUAGGAUAAUCACAUCUUCACACACUUCCUUCAACUCCCCAAAUUCGAUAAAGCUAUCUUUUGUAGUGCCUACAAAUGCGCUCUCGAGCGCCAUACACCUGAAGGUGCUCAAAUUCUCAGGAUGUUAAUCAAGUUCAAACAAUGAUUAAACUUGAUUGUUGUUACCACCUUGGUCAUCAUAUCUGCGGGAUUAUCUGCUGUCGGAAUCUUCUGAAGUAGAAUUUUUCCUUUUUCAAAGACUUCCCGCACAAAGUGAUAUCUUACGUCGAUAUGCUUGGUUCUUGAAUGAUAGACUUGAUUUUUUGCUAAAUGAAUAGCGCUCUGACUGUCACAAUAUAAACUUAUGUGACUUUGAACAACUCCUAAGUCUUUCAACAAUCCAUUAAGCCAAAUAGCCUCCUUAACAGCUUCUGUAACUGCCAUAUAUUCUGCCUCUGUAGUAGACACAGCUACUGUAGACUGUAAGGUAGACUUCCAACUCACUGGGGCUUUCGCAAGAGUAAACAGAUACCCCGUAGUUGAACAACGUUUAUCUAAAUCACCAGCAAAGUCAGAAUCAACAUAUCCAACUACAAACUGACCAAGUGCUUCAUCCUGUUCAAAAAUUAAACCAACAUCUACGGUUUUUCGAUGAUACCGUAGAAUCCAUUUCACAGCUUGCCAAUGUCCUUUUCCAGGAUCAUGCAUAUACCUGCUCACAACUCCAACAGCUUGUGAAAUGUC
rnacentral:lncRNA from 1 species